UUGGAGCAUUGGGCAGUUUUCGAUCGACAACAUUUCAAGAGAGGUGAGGUGCUGAAGACCCACUUCUGUCAAUGAUUGGAGCCUCGAGCAUCCAUCAAUUUCUAAUCGUUUUAGAGAGAUAAGGUGUUGAAGAACCGAUCCUGUCGAGAACUGGAGCUCUGGGCAGUUUCUGAUCUUUAAUUGUAGAAGAGAGGUGAGUUGUUGAAGACCCCUGCUGUCAAGAGACUUGAGAUUCGAAAGCUCUACAAUUUGAAGAGAAGUCAGAGAAGAGGGCAGCAAACACUCCUUGGGAAAUAAUUCAAUGUCUUCACAUCCACCGGUGAUUGUGAAAUGAGUAAGAGAGGUCAGCCUUUGCAAACCCCACUCCACCUGGGGUGUGAGUUGGUUGCACUUCUUAAUUUCAAGUUCACGUAGGUUGGAAGGCAAACCCUCUCUCUGAAACAACAAUUCUGGACAAUCCCAUAAAUUCAACGACCUGAGCUUGGAGCACCUAUAAAUCUUACAAGACUCCAAGUUGAGAGCGUGCAAUUCGAUAGAUUCAAGAUCAGGGCAACCAUCUAGAGACAGGGAACAUAAAGAUGUGGGAUCACCCUCUGAAACCAAAAUGGAGAGCUUCUCAAGCCCCUUAAGAUCAAGGAUUGUGAAAUUAGUCAACUUUGGGAAGAUGCCUAAUGAGAAGGAUAACGAGAGAGAAUCAUCGAUAACACCAUCUUUGAUUUCUAGACUUUCAAGGACUGGGAGAUGGCAUCUGAACAACUCAGGUAGGAGAAACGCUAAUUUCGAGCAGUCAGAGAUGAAUAGUGAUUUCAGUGUAGUGGGUAAACCAACUUUGUGCAGGGAUCUAGAAAAACUACAAUCAUAGAUUUUCAGAUCAUGUAUGUUGGUUUGCGAGAUUUCCUCCUCUAGCAGAGACUCCACAUAAUCACAUUUUCUAAUUGACAGCUGGUGUGGUGCCAUUGGAAGUUGACUCCACUGAGACACAUCUAAAAUUUCAAUUUCUGAAGUUUGAAGAGCUGUGAAGUCACAACCUGCCAUUUGCAACUGCAGUUUACCAAAAUCCACCAUCCUCAAUUGACGAAUUGCAGGAACUGUGAGUGAAGCCAUAAGCAGUUGCGGACAUUCAUGAAUUUGAAGUUCCACCAAUGAAAGAAGCUGUUCUGGUAAUUUCCCAAUGAGUUUGGGACACCUUCGUAUAAAAAGCUUUUGAAGAUGAGGGAAUUCUCCACAACAUAACCAUUUCUCCCAGUUCUGCAUAUCCUCAAAUGAUAGUGUUUCUAGGAAUUGAAAGGAAGCAUUCCCAUAGAACUCAUCACCCACACACUCUACUCCAUUCAUCCUUGAGAUUUGCAGAUAUUUAAGUUGGGUUAGCUGUCCAAGUGGUGGCAAUGUUGAGCAAUUGCCACAACCCCGAAGCUCAAGGGACACGAGAUUCAACACUGAAGGAUCUCCAAGCCAAUUUGGAAAUCCUUCACCAGGAUAGUUUGUGAUGGAGAGUUGUUUUAAAUUUGGAUGAGGUUGUAACUUGUUGAGUAUAUCAUGCGUUGUUGCACCACUUUGUGUAACACCAUUGGUACACAUGUAACGCCAAUCAAAGAUCAACUCAUCAAGAUAACUUUUAUCCUGCAUAUUAGCUCUUGAUGCAUCAUUAACACUCACCACAUUCUCCAUGUUUGAAAUAUAAAGUUUUCCUCGAAGCUCUGAUAGCUCCCCCAAUUCUCCAAUUCUUAAUCCAUUGUUUUGGCCCACAAUAAAUCGAGUCAACCUUUGUAAAUUUUUUAAUUGACCAAUUCCAUGACUUGACAUUGCUCUCAAUGAACGACAUCCAUCAAUAUCAAGAUAGCGCAAAUUAAUCAAUUUUCCCAUCUUUGAAGGCAAUUCAUCAAGUUCUGAACAAUUUCUCAGCAUCAUCGUUUGUAAAUUGCAUAAACAACAUACUGAUUUAGGUAAUUUUUUAAUCCUCGUGACAGACAAAUCCAAGUAACGCAAAUGUUUUAAAUUACCUAUCGAUUUAGGCAAAUCAGUUAUUGUAUAUGCACAUAAUGAUAACACACGUAAACACCACAUUUUUGGUAAUAUAUCUUGCAAAACUCUUUUACUCAAAUUAUAUAUCGGAUAGUCUUCCAUUUGCUUCACUCCUAAGAAUGUUCGAAUAGAUUUAGCUUUAGUGAUAGCCUCAAAAUUCUUAAAUGCAACAAGCCUCUCAUAAUCACUUUUAAAGUACAAAAAGUGGUGAGCCUUCUCAGAUACUUUCAGUAACUUAUCAUCCUCUUCCACUCGAGCACAAAAAUCUCCAGACACGUGUUGAGCCAAUUCGUGUAUUAGAUCAUGCAUUACAAAGCAUGAUCCUUUUGUUCCAAUAGAUUUUUGAAAGAAUGACUUGGCGAGAAGUUCAUUAAAAUAUGACUCACCUAUCUCUUCCAUUCUCCUUCCUUCGUUUUCUUGUGGAUGUAAAAGACCUUCUGCCAUCCAUAAUAAAAUCAGCUUCUCUUUGUUGAAUUGGUGGUCCUGGGGAAAAAUAGAACAAUAAGCAAAACAAUGCUUCAGAGGUAGAGAAAGAUGAUGGUAGCUUAAUCUCAAAGAUGGAAGAAUUUCGGAGCCACUCUGCCGCCAUAUGUCACUGUUCAACACAACGUUCCAUUCCCCUUUGUCGGCCUCCGAAUACAAGAGACGGCCGAGUACUUUCACAGCCAAAGGCAAUCCUUGGCACUUGUCCACAAUCUGUCUGCCUAUGGGUUUAAGCUCAAGGAAUGCGUUGGGGUCUCUAUCUCCAAAUGCAUGCUUUUUAAACAGGGACCAACUAUCUUCAGAGCUUAAUUUCCCAAGAUCAUGAGUAGGGGCCGCUUUCAUGGCUUCUGCAACAGAUUUAUCACGACUGGUCACAACAAUCUUGCUUCCCUCUGCUGCAGCGAGGAGUGGAGUUCGUAGACGUUCCCAACCUUCACGAUCACUAAGCUCCAUGUAACCUUCAUCACGAGGCUUCAAAUUCCAGACGUCAUCAAGAACAAGCAGAAAUUUCUUGUUACUAAGUUGCUCUUUGAGUUGAAGCUGAAGCUUAUUUAGGCUGUCAAAAUCAUCAGUUUUAGAACCGAUUUCGUAUAGAAUUGUUUUAGUGACCUUGAUAAGGAGAAACUCAGUGGAAACACAGACCCAUACUUGCAAGUCGAAGUGUUUCUUCACUUCCUCAUCGUUAUAGAGGUGCCGAGCAAGCGUGGUCUUGCCGCUGCCGCCCAUGCCCACUAUGGACAUCACCCCCAUUUUGCCGCCUGUUGUAUUGUCAGAAAGCAACCACUUCACCAUCUCCUUCUGAAUUUCAUCCCUGCCGAGAACAAUGGAGUCAUCCUCCAAAGAAGUGGACGUUGGUAAUCUUGGUGUUGGUGACCGUGAUCCUGCUAGCCCCAACCGAACAAUUUCUCCUCCGAUUUUUUCCAGUAGAUCAAUCAUGCCCCUGACCCUGGACUCCAUGCUUUUGAUAGCAAAUGGGGCCUUCACAGAAGCAGAGAACUUGUUCCAUUUCCACGCCUUAAGAGUUCCGCCGGUUUGGGAGUCAGCAGCUUCCAUCUUGCAACGCAAAGCGUCGGUAGCGAUCUCGUCCAACAGGUCUUCCGCAUCAUACACAGCAUCCUUGACAUGGACGAGCCACUCUUUGACAUUUGGGUUGGAAAAUUGCUUCACCUCCGCAUCAUCGAGCACAUUGAGAACAACCACGAGUUUCCUCUUCAACUCGUUGAGGAGUUCAUCGCUAAGGUUCCGUCGCCGAAUGAAGUUUAUGAGCUCUGGAGAAGCCAACCUUUGGAAUAGAACUUGAAGCGAAGCUGAGAGGAGGGCGUCCGCCAUAUCUGUGUCGACUGUUGCUUUGCAAUAGGAAUUCAGAGGAUUGGUUUCUGUUACCGCGAUACCACCAAAGUGCAAAAGACUGGGUUUGGAUUACCACACUGCAGAAUGCUUGAAGGAAUCAUUAUUGGUGGUGGACCCAGCUGCCAGAUAUUUGUCAAACACCAUAAUUGAGUGGUGAGAAAAAGAACAGGAAAAGCAAGUGGGAGAUGGAUGGUGCUUUCCCAACGGAAAGCAAAAGCAACAACAACAUUCGGUAUUUUUCUUUUUCAUCUACGCAUUUCUUCUUUCUUCUUUCUUCUUGUAGUAUUAUUAUUAGUAGACGUAUACACACAAAUAUUUGUUUAUAACAUUAUCAUUCCUAAUAUUAUAAAAUUUAUUAUUAAUAGAAUUUAUUAUAAAAUUUGUUAUUAAUAAUAUUUAUACUAAUAUUAUUUUUUAAUAAUUAAUUAGUAUCCUUACUUUUAUUGUUUAUAAUAAUAAUAAUAAUAAUAAUAAUUAUUAAAAUUUAUUAGUAUUUUCAAGUAAACAAUGGUAUAUGCAUAAGACAUAUUAAAAUUUUGAAUAUUAUGGUUAUUAUUAUUUGAUUCAAAAAAAGUUUAUAAUAUAAUAAUAACAAAAAUAUUUUUUUUAAUAAAAUAAAUUAUAAAAAUAUAAGAAUUUUAUUAUUUAUAAAAUAUAUUUAUUUUAAUAUAAUUAAAAUAAUUAAAAUAAUUUUAAAAUUUAAAAAAAAAGUUAAACGUGACAGGAUUAGGAUGGGACCGACCUAUCCCAAUGCUGCCCAUUGCCAUCCCUAACUCACCUAGUGGUAAUUAAGGCCAUUUUUUAUUAUUAUUUUUUUAAAAUGGUCUUUUAUUCUUAAAAAAAGAAAAAGGAAAAUAUAUUUAAUAAUUAGAAAAUAAAACAUAAUUUUUGUUUUUAAAAAUAAAAAAUAAGGCAUUUUUAGAUGAUACCCUUUUAGUUACUUUUACUUGUUUUAAAAAAAUUAUUGUAAAAGUAAUUAUAUAAAUGUAAAAAAUAAAAUAAUCUAGGUAAAAAUUAUUUUUAAAAUAUAAAAAAUUAGUUAAGAAUACUCUAUCUUCUCAAGCUCGUUUUAUAAAAUAUCAUAAAAUAAUUUUCAAAAACUUGUUUUUUCAUUAUUUUGACAACCGGAAUAAUACACAAUAAAAAUAAAUAAAUAAAAAUAAAAAGAUCCAAAGAAAGACAAAUGUGUUGCAGUAAUGCACUUAAAUUCACUGAACCUAAAAGCCAAAUGUGCAGUGUUGACUUUUCAACCGAGAGUUCACACAUGCCCAUUUUUUUUAAUUAAAGCACUAUUAAUAUAAAAUAUAUAUUUAAAUAAAAAUUAGACUUUUAAAAAAAUUAAAAUAUAUUUUUAAAAUGUUAAAAAAAUAUUUACAAUAUUUCCUUAAAAAAAAACAUCUUCCAAAAACAUUUCUUUAAAAAAUACUUCCACCUAUAAUAAUUCAGACACACUUGUGAUUUAAUAGUUAAAUAUUCUUUCUAAUAGGAAUUCAACUAUCGGUUUGUAUUACCACGAUACCACCAAAAUACGAAAGACUAAUUUUGGAUUACCAAAAUGCAAAAGAGCUGAAGGAAUCAUUGAUGGUGGAUGAUUCAGAUGUCCACAUUAUUUGUCAGACACCAUAAUUGAGUGAUGAGGAAAUGAAAGAAAAGCAAAUAAAAAACAAAAAAGGUGAUGCCAAACAUGGUCUUAUAAGGUGGGUGGAGCGAAAGCAACAAAGGAAACUAGCAGGAUUUUUCAUUGCUAUUACAUACCUCAAAGGACAAAUUUUGAAUUACCAAAAUACAAAAGACUUAAAGGAAUCAUUGAUGGUGGUGACCAGAUGUCCACAUUAUUUGCCAAACACCAUAAUUGAGUGAUGAGAAAACAAAAGAAAAAGCAAAAAAGGUGAUGCCAAACAUGGUCUUGUAAGGUGGGUGGAGCAAAAGCAACAAAACAAACUAGUAGGAUUUUUCAUUGCUAUUCCAUAUCUCAAAGGACUAAUUUUGAAUUACCAAAAUAUAGAAGACAUGAAGGAAUCAUUGAUGGUGGUGGACCAAGAUGUUCACAUUAUUUGCCAAACACCAUAAUUGAGUGAUGAGAAAAUGAAAAAAAAAAAAUGAAAAACAAAAAAGGUGAUGCCAAACAUGGUCAUGUAAGGUGGCUGGAGUGAAAGCAACAAAGUAAACUAGCAAGACUUUUCGUUGGUAUUCCAUACCUUAAAGGAUUGAUUUUGAAUUAUCAAAAUACAAAAUACUUGAAGGAAUCAUUGAUGGUGGUGGACCCCGAUGUCCACAUUAUUUGCCAAACACCAUAAUUGAGUGAUGAGAAAAUGAAAAAAAAAAGUUAAGAAAAAACAAAAAAGUGAUGCCAAACAUGGUGUUAUGAGGUGGGUGGAGCGAAAACAACAAAACAAACUAGUAGGAUUUUUUGUUGUUAUUCCAUACUGAGAAAAUAAAGGGCUACUCUAGGUGAAUAGAAGUUAAAAAAUGUCUUUUUAAACACAAUAAAAUGAAGCACAAGAAGUACAAAUAUAAAGAGGUAAGGUUAUAGAAAGUAAACUCAAAUUUAUAGUGGUUCGACACUUCCGUGCUUACAUCCACUCUCCUCAAGCUCCUACCUGAGUGAGGGUUCCACUUAUACUUGAAGUUUCAACCAAGCUUCUAAUCACUUUUUACACUUGGAUUCCAGCUCCAAUGGAUUCUUAUACAAUCUCUUCAAGUCUUUACUCACUUGAAUGUUUUAACACUCAAUUAACAAGUUUGAAUCUCUCAACCUAGCUCAACAAUGACUCAAAUACAACUCAAGGCUAGGAUGAAUCACUAAGGUGCACUAAAGAAUAUGCAAAUGGAAGUUUAAUGCACUAAGAAAAUAAUGAGAGCUUUUAUGACAAUAAUAAGUAGGUAAACAAAUAAAUGCAAGUGUUCUCUUGCUCAUAAAUGAGGUAGAGCUCUCAAUUUAUAAGUUUCUAACCUCAGGAGCUAAAAAUCCAAAAAGCAAUCUCGACUAGUCGAGCUGGGGGUUGACUGGUUCACUAGCCGUUGAAACAUUAAAUGCUUGGCAGGUGACCGUUACCCUCGACCAAACCUUAACCGGGAAGGCAAAUCCAUAAACCAGGAAAGAAAGGCUACUGGAAGAGAGAUAAUGUUUUUUGCAUCUCUUGACUUAGAAGGAGUAAUCGGUAGACCGGUACCUAGCCGAUUGAGCCGGUUGACCAGUGCCUCGACUAGUUCACCAUUUUUAGUUCGAAAACCUAUCUUUUUCUGGUCUUUUUGCUUCUAGCACUUAGGCAAGGACUUUAGAUAAAAUAAUAUGCCAAUUUUGAAUGUUUUGCCUAAGGUUCAUUUGAUAGAACUCAGAUUUGGAUGGAAAUGUAACUUUAAUGCAUAAACCGAGUUUUAAAGAUGUAUGAAAUGAUAUGAAUAUCCUAAGUACACCCAUGCAUUCGUCUUACGUAUGUUUCUUAUGAUUAAAAGGUCUUUCAAAAGUCUUAAUCUUGCAUUCAUUAGGUCCUUUAAUGAAUUUCCAAAUUAACACCUGAAAUUCUUUAUAAUUCAAAUCAAUUAGUAACUUAACCAUGAUUUGUUAUCAUCAAAACAUGAUUAGAAGAAUCAUUGGGCUAACACAUACCCAAAGGACUAAUUUUGAAUUACCAAAAUAUAGAAGACUUGAAGGAAUCAUUAAUGGUGGUGGACCAAGAUGUCUACAUUAUUUGCCAGACACCAUAUUUGAGUGAUGUGAAAACGAAAGAAAAGCAAAGGAAAAACAAAAAAAGGUGAUGACAAACAUGGUCUUGUGAGGUGGGUGGAGCGAAAGCAACAAAGCAAACUAGCAGGAUUUUUUGUUGCUAUUCCAUACCUCAAAGGAUUGAUUUUGAAUUACCAAAAUACAGAAGACCUGAAGGAAUCAUUAACGGUGGAUGACCCAGAUGUCCACAUUAUUUUUCAAACACCAUAAUCAAGUGAUGAGAAAAUGAAAGAAAAGCAAAGGAAAGGAAAAAAAACGUGAUGCCAAACAUGGUCUUGUAAGGUGGAUGGAGUGAAAGCAACAAAGCAAACUAACAAGAUUUUUUGUUGCUAUUUCAUACCUCAAAUGACUGAUUUUGAAUUACCAAAAUACAGAAGACUUGAAGGAAUCAUUGAUGGUGGACAACCCAGAUGUCCACAUUAUUUGCCAGACACCAUAAUUGAGUGAUGAGAAAACGAAAGAAAAGCAAAAAAGGUGAUGUCAAACAUUGUCUUGUAAGGUGGAUGGAGCGAAAGCAACAAAGAAAACUAGUAGGAUUUUUCGUUGCUAUUCCAUACCUCUAAAUCACCAUAAUAAUAAUAACAAUAACACCAAAUUUUAAGGUUAUUUUUUGUUAUAAAAAAAUACUAGGAAAAGAAAAAAAAUAAUUAAGGAAAAUAAUUUUUUCAUAUUUGGUUUCACUAUAGAAAAUAUAUAUAUAAAAAAUCAAAUAUAAUUAAAAUUAAUUUGAAAUUUAUAUAUUUUAAAAGUAUUUAAUCUUUUUAUAAUUUAGAAAAAAUAAGUAAAACGAGUUUGAAGAAAUGUAUAAAAAUAAUUUAUUAAAUUUAAACUUAUUUCUUAUUUUCCUUCAUUUUUUCUUUUCUUCUACUUUUUCUUUCUAUUUUCUUUCCUUCUCAUUUUCCCUCAAAUUUUCCAAGAACCAAACAUAGCUUAAAGGUUUAGAAUCUUAUGCACAAGACUUUCAAUUUUUUUUACAAUAUUAUUUUAUUAGUUAAGAAUUAAAAUUUAAUGUACCAUAUCUAACACUAACAAAAAAAAUUAUAACAACCAGUCUUAUCUUUUAAGAAUGUAUUGUUUAAAUGAGAUUAAAAAUUAAAAAUAAAUUUUAAUUCAUUUAACAACUAAAUUAAAAUGAAAUUUAUAUAUAUCAUAAAUUUAUACAAUUUUGAAUCAUUUUAUAUGGAGGAUUGAGAAUGGAGAGAUUGAAGAAUUGUUUGGUGACGAGGAGAUUGAUUGAAGAUUUUAUAGUCUUAAGGUUCUAUGGGAUGAAAUUUUUUGUAAAGAGUUUAAAUUUUUGUAAAAAAUAAAAUUAGUUUUAUGUUAUCUGAUUUCAUGGAAAUAUAAAGUUUUAAUUCAAAGAUUAUGUUUUAAAAAUAUUAUUUUUAAAAUAUAUUUAGCAAAGAUUUAUAAAAAUUUAAAAUUAAAAUUAAUUAAUCUAUCAACUAAAUUAAAAUAAGAUUUAUAUAUAUUUUUAUAGAUUUACAUGUGUAAAAUCUUUGAAAUGCCUCAACUUAAAAUAACCUUACAAAAUUUCAUUAAUCUACUAGAAUUUGCAUUAGGAUGAAUACCAUCAUAAUAAUAAUUACGCUCCACAUAUGACGUAUCUUAACAUCCACUUGGAGGUUAAAAAAUAAUUAAAGUAAGGGAAACUAAUAUAUUUAAAAUUUAAAAAUCAUGAUGAAGAUUUGGACAAUAAUUCAAGUAGGCAUCUUUGAAAUUUGACUUCCAAAUCCAUUUGUCAAUAUACACCACCCUAUGACAAUUAAAUAAAUUAAAAGAAGGAAAAAAAAAUGUUAAAGGAAUGACAUAAGAAUUAUUUAUGUAUGACUAGAUUUAAAGUUUAAUUAUCUGAGGAAUCCUUUAUUAUGAAAAUAUAGGGAACAAUUAUAUUUAAGGAGUAGACGGGGUUGAUAAUGACUAAAGGGUACAAAUUUUGCAUAAUUGAUCUAAAAAGGUAGAGAAGGUUUGUAGAUUGUUGUGGAGGAUAUAAACCCAUUUUGUGAGUCGAAAAUGCUCAAAAUACCCUUAAGAGUGUUUUUUUAAAAAGGACAAUUAAGUACUCAUGAUAAUUAAUAUAUUAAGAUUUCAAGAAAAAUUAAUAAUAAAUAAAAUCUUUUUCUAAAUCUAUUUAACAAUCAUAUAGUUUUUAUUUUAUUUUAUUUUUUCAAGUUGCAACUAUUAUCUUAAUUUAUUUUUCAUUUUAAGGUUCAAUUAUUAUUAUUCUUUAUUUUGAUUAAUUAAAUGAAACUGUACAAGACAUAUUUAUAUUAAUUAGCUAAAAAGGAUAGAUUUUUUAGCAAUACGAUUAAAAUAAAUAAAAACAAGGAAUUUGAUUUUCUUUAUAAAAUAGAUUGGGAAAAGUAUAUUUCGAUACAUUCGUAUGAAAAAAAAAAUCAUAAAAUAGGAACUCAAGUUUAUAAAAUACAAAUUUUAAGCAUCCAUCUAAAAAUAAUUAUCAUUUCAUGCAUUUUUUUGGUUAAAUAUAUUAUAUUUGACAAUUUAAGUAUUAUCUUUUAAUAAUGUAGGUAAUACCUUUGACCUGCAUACAACUUGAAUUAUUUUUAGAUAGUUUCUAUUGUAUAAUUAGUUCAUCAUUUGAUAUAAAUAUCAAAUAAUUAAAAAAUAUAUCUUUUUUUUUUAAGAAUUUUAAUUAUAUUUGACUUUCUUUUGUAUUUUCUAUUGUGUAAACCACAUAUAAGAAAAUCAUUUUCUUUAACAUUUUUUUUUCUUUCCUUAAUAAUUUUCGAGAACCAAACAUGGCUUGUAGGUUUGGAUUAUAGGGUAUAGAUGCCAUAAAUACUGGAAUGAGUUCGGGUUUUCCAUGCUAAAUGUCUUUAUUAUUAUUUGGUAGCGCUUUUCCAAAAUUGUUCCAUUCCCAAAACCACUUAAUUUGCUUAAAUAUUUUAACCUCACGAUAUCAUAACAUUAUAAUGGAAUAGAUUUUGUUGGUGUUCAAAUCAUGUCAACUCAAUUUCCAAACCAUUUGGAUUGUCAUUUGGUGAAAAAUAGAAAGAAAUUUUACUUGAUUGAAAAGCAUUUCAUUUUUAUUUGAAUAUGCUGCAAUGAAACAGUUACUAAACCAUGGGGUAGCAGAAGAAGUAAUCGAGAAAAUGAAGAAGGAUGUUUAAGAAUUCUUUAUGCUGCCAUUGGAGGAGAAGAAUGCUUACACAUAGCUACCAAAUAGCAUUGAAGGUUAUCACAAAGAAUGCUUAACAGUUUUCUUAAAUUUUGUCCAAAGUUUAUGAAUUUUUAUUUUUUAUAAUUUUUUUUUACUUAAAUUGAAACUUAUUAAUCAAGGUAAGAUUUCAGCCACAUCGAGAAACAAUUUACGUGAAAAGGGACUGAUAAAAUCUUGAGUUAACAGAUGUAAAAGACAUAAGGCCAAAGACUCUAGAACUCCAACCCACUGAAUCAAGAAUAGAAACACAAAUUUAUCUACCAACCUACACUAAUCUCAUAUCUACAAUGCAACACCAUCGUACUCUUAAGUGACUUGAAAGGAUGUGAAUAUUUCUCACAAGCUUCAUAAUGAAAUUCAAAUUAGCUCUGAGAGUUUUGGGUUAGGCACAAAGAGUAAUAAUGCAUAGCUUUUGUGUGUGAGUUUUUAAGUGAACUUAAGACUCAAUUUAAAGCAUGUAUUUUACUAAAAAUAAAAAAAUAAAUUUAAGAAACUUCAAGAAUUUUGGAAAGAUAAAUUUUAAAAAAAAUUCAAAGAGAGUCAGAAAAUGUUUCCUUUUUAAAUUCUCAAUUUAAUUUAUUUUCAAAUUUAUUAAGAGUUUAAGAAAUAUUUUCUUUUUAAAUUAUCAAUUUAAAACGCUCUUUUAAAUUAUUUUAUUAUUAAUUUUCAUGCAAGUCUACUCUAUACAUUUUACAUCAUUAUUCUCAAUUAACUCAACAAUAUUAGAGUGUAACAUCCCCAAUUGAUUUUGCACCAACCUUAAGUCUUCAAAGACAAUGAUUGAGGCAUUUCUUCUCCUAUUUUCUCCGAUGUAGAAAAAAAAACUUGAAUAAGGUUAAAGUUGGUCUAUAGCAAAAAGUCUUAAUUUGAGUUAGCCUUUUUUUUUUUUUUUUUCCAAAUGAUAUGCAGGUCCAUCUAGCCUUCAACUCAAAUUUUUUAUUCAAAAAUCACAUGUGGAUAUGUGAACAAGUAAAAGUUGAGUUUUACCUAACAUAUCAUUUUGAAAAUUAGGAAAUUUAAAAGGUAUUAGUUUGUUAAACUCACCACCCCUGUCUAUUCUACAAAACAAGAAGAUUAGCAAAGAAAAAGUAUUCAUAUUUGUACUACAAAAUAAAAAGAUUAGCAAAGAGAGAAAUUGUACGCAUGAGUGCAGAGUUUUGGGUUAAAACAACCCUUUUGAUGGGAAAAAUAUUAAAUUUAACCACUUUGUCAAACUAAUGUGUAAAAUGAUCCUUUUAUUAUCACAUAGGAGUCAUAUCACUAAUAUAUAUAUAUAUAUUUAAUUUAAGUUGAAGCCUCAAUUGCCAAUUAAGGCUUCAAUUAUCAAUUACGACUUUAUUUUUUAACCCGAAACCUUACUUGCCAAUUGAGGUUUCAACUAAAAAAAGAAACCUCAAUCGUCAACUAAGACUUAAUUUUUUAAUUGAAGCCUCAAUUAACAAUUGCGGUUUUAUUUUUAAACUGAAAUCUCAAUUGUCAAUUGAGGCUUUAUUUUUGUGAAAGGAUUAUGUGACACUCACGUUACUAGAAAAAAGCCAUACUGAAUAUAAGUUUCAAAAGUGGCUUAAAAGGUAUAAAUUUUAUGAUCAAAGAUGCCAUUUUGACCCAAAUCCCAUGGGUGCAUGAGACUCUAGUUAAUCAUAGAUUUCAUAGAUAAAAAUCAGAGUUAGGAUGAUUCAACCCCUAAGCGUCAAGAAUUCUUUAACAUAAUGUUAGAACAUUUUCCAAUUUAAAUUUGAGAGUUGACUUUAUUUGAAUAUGCUUUUGAUUUUUUUUUUUUUUUAAAUAAGCUUCAGUGUUUUUUUUAAAAAGAAAUAAAAAUAAAUAAAAAUAGGAGCUUCUAUAUAGAAAGUAAAAAUUUUAUCCAACAAAUAUAAGGCUCACCUUAUAUCCUUAUAAAAUAAAAAAUUUUAAAUUUUUUAAUACCUCAAAAUUUUUAAUCAAUAUUUAAAUAUCAUUAUAUUUUCAAUAUGAUCCUUUAAAAGUUAAAAUUACUUAUAUUUUUUAUUUUCAAAAAAAAAAAAAAGAAUGAAUUUUUAUGUUUUUUAAUUAUUAAGAUGGAUGAAAUAAUCCCAAAUUUGCAAAAAUAACUUCUUCCAUGUUUGAAUUUGAAAAAUAACUCAUUUCCAACAUAAAUACUCUUCAAUAUUUGGAUUAUUUUAAUAUAAAUUUUAGAAGAAAGUGUUAUUUUGACUGGAAAACAUGAAAGACAUUUUUGUUAAAAAUUGAUCUUUUUUUAAGGCUAAAAUAUAUAUAGGUUUAUAUUUACAAAUUUGAGACUAUUUCGUCCUCUUAAUCAAAUAACUUAAAAAAGAAAAGAGUUAAUUCCACAAGUGGGUUUAAAAUACUCACAAAAUUGCAAUAUAUAUAUAUAUAUAUAUAUAUAUAUAUAUAUAUAUAUAUGAAAUUACAAAUUUACCCUCGUGUGUUGAGCACAUGACACUUCCAUUCAUUAAAGCUAACAUUGUUAAAUAACAAAUGUACAUUGCAACUAUUUAAGAAGUAUGAAGGGCACAUUGCUUGAUUUUAGUACAUGGUGAGAAACUUGUUGAACAAGUUAUGUGUAAAGUUUUAUGGUUCAUGUAUGAUAGAAAAUACAGAUCUACUACAACACUGGAUUUGCAAUUUUGGUUAGUAUUUAAAGAAAAGACCAUAGGACAAAAAGAAUUAAACUUUUGGUGGAAAACAAUAAAGAAAGGACUACAUGGAAAAAGGGAAGAGAUCAUUAUAAAGGAAGAUUAUUGAAUAGAAAUAAUUCCAAGAACCUAAGGCAAGACAUAGAGUAUCACUACUACUAUCACAAAAAGGGGUAUAUCAUAAAAUUUAUGAAAUUUUGAAAAAGACCUAAAAAACGAAGAAAAAAAAAAAAACAAAUCAAAGAAGCCUACAAGUGUAACUAGUGUUCUUAAAGUUGCGAAAUGUAAAUCAAAAGUAGAUUUGUUAAUAGUUUUUAAAAUGCUUAAAUUAGGAAUUGUCUACUUGUACCAUACAAGCCCUUGUAGAGACUGGUUUGACAUGUAAAUUGUUUGUAAAAUCAUUUUAAUGGGCAAUAAUGCACCAAGUUGCUCCACGAGAAGGGGAGGGGUUUGUGAAACCAUCACUUGUCGUGGCAUACAUCGUCGGGUAAUCACGGAUGAGGGCAUCCACGGGAGGCCAAUGUCUACCCUCGCUCUACACCCCUCUAGUACAAGGCUCUAGGAGGGAGAGAGGCAACAAGUGUGUGACACCAAGGUAAAUAUGCUUGACCUUAUGGCUUUGGGAGCAACUUGCAUUUAAAGACUUGAUGAUUCACAAGAUUCUACAAUUCAUACCAAGUAUUGCAUUUUGCGACGUUCUUCAUCAAUGAGAGAGCCUAGAUAUCCAUUGUCAAGAAUUAUUUAUGUAUGAAAAUAAAGGCGCCUAACCGACAUGCCCAAGAUCAAGGCAACUGGAGUGUGUUGCUUCGCCCAAGUUACUUAGCGCGUUUUGUGCCAAAGUUUGUUGUUCGCUCAAGAGGGCUUUUGUGAAUCUUUGUAAUAAAGGGAUAAUACAGAGUGGGCCGUAAUUUAGCAUCUUACACGCUUAGUUUCUUCCAUUGGUGGCAUAUAUUAUUUUGUCUGUCAUUGGUGAUUAUUUAAUAAAACUAUGAGAGUAUUUCAUGAAAUAUAAAUAAGAGGUUUUUAGGAUAUUUAAUCGAUGGUAAACAAAAGUUGAAAACUAAGUAGGGAGGAAGAUAAAAUAUUUUAGAUUUGAUAGUGGACUUGAGCAUUAGAACAAGAAGUUCACAAAGUAUUGCGAGAAUUCUUAUAUAACUUAACAUCACAUGUAAAGAAAUUACAAAGCAAAAUGGAGUGGUUGAAAAGAUGAAUAGAACACCAUUGGAAUGACUAGGUGGCUAAGAUUAAUCAUUGGGUUACUUAAGAAUUUAAGGGCUAAAGCUAUCAACAUAACUUAUCAUGUAAUUACUUAGUUGUCAAGUUUUACAAUUAUUUUCAAUAUUCCAAAAGAAGUGUCAAGUAAAUCAAUUGACUUUUCAUCUAUUGAAAUAUUUGAUUGUUGCACUUAUCUUCAUAUAUAGGUGAAAAAAAAAUUCAAUCCAAAAUAAAAAAGGUAUAUAUUCCUUGGGUUUGAAAAAAGGAUUGAUUAAAGACUAUAGACUUUGGGAUCCAACAAUUAAAGAAAAAAAAGUGGUGAGUAGAGAUGUAUUCGAUGAAAAACAUAUGUUAAAGAAAGAUCAAGGACAAAUGAAAUUGUUAUUGAAAAAAAAUUCAACUACAUGACCAAUCAUCGAGAUGAAAUUUGAGAAAAAUGUCAUUAAAUAUGAAAUCCCUCCUAAUUGAUGUCCCUAUUAGAACUUUAUAUAGGCAUCUUUCUCUAUUGCUCUAAAGAAUCAUCGUAUUGGGUAAGGACAUCAAUUUUAAGAUUUUAAUUUUUUUUUCAUUAUUUAUUGGAAUAGGAGAUCUUUAAUUUUUUUUGGGGUGCAAUUAGGAAGGAUGAUAGUUAUCAAUGUCUUGGUGCUAUGUCAAAUGAGAAUCCAAUGCACAUGUUGACUAAAGUUGUUCUUAAGGAUAAGUUCAAGCAUUGGUUGAAUGUCAUUAAUUUUUCAUUUUGUAGAACAUGGAAGGUCAAUUUUAUCGAAGAGCCAGGUCAAUCAACUUCUAUUAGGACUUCUAUUGAUUCUUGACCAAUGCACAUGUUGACUAAAGUUGUUCUUAAGGAUAAGUUCAAGCAUUGGUUGAAUGUCAUUAAUUUUUCAUUUUGUAGAACAUGGAAGGUCAAUUUUAUCGAAGAGUCAGGUCAGUCAACUUCUAUUAGGACUUCUAUUGAUUCUUGAUUUGAUUAGAGGGACUCCUAGCAGUAAACUUGUAUGAAGGGGCCCUAUGGAGAUGCAAGAGAUGCAAGAGCUGCCAAUCAGAUCGACCAAUAAAUGAUAGGCCCAUGCAGAGAUGUCCCUGAAAUAGGGGAUUGGUUGAUUGGAAAGCUUAGGCAGUGUAUAAAGGAGAACAAUUUAGCAUAUUGGGAAAAACACAUAUGAAGAUGUUUACAAGUUUGGAAAAUUGAGUUAAAGAAUAGAUGGUCUAAAAAUGUUUCAAAUUUCAAUUUUAUGUUUUUCUAAGUUUGAUAUAUCCUAUUUGGAUAUUUAGGAAGUCUUCUCUUGUUAGAUAAGAUAGUCCUAUGAUGAGAUUUGUUAUGAAAAUAGGUUCUUCCUCGUGUGAAAUAUUCCUAUGAAAUUAAGAAGGAAUAUAGGAAGAGUUUUGAUUGAAAUUAUGAAUCUUUUUUUUAUGUAAUUAGAACUAAAAUAUGAGAGUUUUAUAAUUGUAAUUACACCUUUGAAUAUAAAUAAUUGAUAAUAGUGAAUUAGUUUACCUUCUCCCUCUAAAUGUAGGUAAAUGCUAAAUUAUGUUAAAUCUUGUAUUCUCAUAUGAUUUUUUUUUCAUUUAUUUUUCAUUUUCUUGCCCAUUUCUAACUUGCUACUACAUAAUAACAGGUGGUAUCAGGCUUUUUGUGUUUGCACAACAAAUGGUCUCAGUAUUUCCAGCACCACAAAAAUGAUAUUUUACUUAAUUGCUCCUCAGUGGAAAAGUUGGAAAGAAAAAUUAAAUCAUCGACUAUACCUUUUUUUUUUUUUUUUCAAAACUUUUCUCGUCUUUGUGCAAGAAAAUUAGUAUAUUUUCUCUUUAGUAUUUGUUUCUCUUUUAUAUAUAUUCAAAUGAAACCUUAAUCAUCUUUUAUAUGAAGUAUAAAAGAAUUAGAAAAUAUUCAAAUUUUAAAUGAUUUUUAUUAUACUUUGUCCACUUCCUAUUUCAUAUAUCAAAUUACAAUAGAAUUUAAAAUUCUUUUAUACGUUUUUCCCCCCUUUGCUACCACAUAAAUGCAAAGACAGUAUGUGAGUUAAAUACCUUAAAAGAAAAAGAAAUUAAAAUGUGAUAGAAAACAAAUGUAACCUCUUGAAAUUCAAGGAAACAAAACACUAAACUUUUUCAUGUAUUUUAUUCCAUUUAUAAAUGCAACAUGACAAAAAUAGACAAAAAUAUAAAUGGAAGCCCUUUGGGUCCUUCAUUUUAUAUUUUAUCAACUUCGACCAAUUCUAUUUCUAUAGCACAACCGAUACUAUAAAGUUCAAUGAGUAUAUAAUAUAUAAAGAUACUAAUCAAUACGAAUUAUUCUUUCUUUCAAAUGGCUACUUGUAUUAAAAAUUAAAUGUAAUUCCUCCUAAACAAUAAAAUAUGUUGACACGAUUUCAAUGAAUAUACAGUACAUAAAGAUAUGACCAAUUAGUACGAAUUAUUCUUUCUUUUAAAUAGCUACUUAUACUAAAAUAUAAGUAAAUAUAAUUCCUCCUAGAUAACAAAAUAUGUUGACACAAGGAGGAAUAUAUUUACUAAUUAUAUCAUUUGCAAUAGCCUCAAUCUCGCGACGUUCUUCGAACCAACCAUAGACUUUAUUGAGAUAGGUUAACCAAGGGAGCUUCCACUCUCAUAACUCGUAUAUGAAAAUUUCAUCUUGUACAACUCAAAUAGAAACCCAUAAAUACCAGUUGAAACCAAAAUGUAAUAAAUAAAUAAAAACAUAUUUCAAUGGAUCCAAUUAGUAUUUUUCCGAUCUAGGAUAAACAAACAAAUUUUUCUUCAUUUUGCUUUUUUUUUGUAUUAAUCUUUGUAAGUAAAUUAUAUUUUAAUUUAACAAAGCACUAAACUUUACUUUAAUUUUCAUGCAGGAUCAACUAGCUUAUCAUAAUAAAAUUUAUCAAUAUAGUUGAGCAGAGAUUUGAUGUAAUAAUACCAUACAAAAUUCAAGUAAAAUUAAAUUAAUCAAAUAGGACACUACGGUUAUAUUUGGAUACAUAUUCUAUUUUUUAUUUUUAAAAUUAAAAUUUUGAUAUAAAAUAUGACAACCCUUUGUAUAAAAAAUAAAAAUUUAUCCUAUAAUCUUAAAACUACUUUUCAAUAUUAAAAAAAAAAUGAGGAUGUGUCCUAAAAUUUUAAACAAAUUUAAAAAUAUUUUUAAAUACCAAGAUAUCCACUUUUUUCUUUUUUAAUAAAAAUUCCUAUAUUUGAUAUAAAACUCUAUUUUAAAAAAUGAAAAAUAAAAAAUGUAUCCAAACAUAAGCAAAAUUGUUAGAUUUCAUUGUGAGAUUUCUUAGAUUCUACAAUUCAUAGUGAAAUGAAGACGAGAUAUAACUGACUGAACUAUGAAAAAAAAAAAAUUAACAUUGAUGAGAUUCAAAAAUGCUAGUUAAUGAAAGAGUUUCUCCGCCAGGAUGACUAAGAAAAAUGCUGAAAAAUGUGUCAUGCCCAAAGCAAUGUUACAAUGAAGAAUAGAAUGAGAGCUAACCCGAAACAAAAUCCGACAAUCGCCAUGAAAGCCUGGAUGCAGAGGAAAUGUAACUAGAGACAUGUAAGGAAUCAUUAAACAAGUGAGAACAAUAUCAAAAUCUCAUGUACGACUUACCUUUCCCUGAGAUUCAAACUUGAAUUUUACUGUAAACCAUGACAAUCCUCUAUCUACAAUAGGAGCAAGUGCAAGGGCCCUGCAUGAGAAGCACCUCUACAAAAAUCACAGAAAACCCAAAGGAAAAAAAAAAAAAUAGGGUUGAAUAUGCUAUAGUUGAAUAACAGCCACAAUGCUGGGAAGGUCAAUAACAAAAGCAUUGACUUGAAUGUUAGCAGUGUCAUUUACACUGGCCAUAAGAACCAGAGGUAAUGCGUACAGUUGGUAAGUGGGGAGGAGGGGAUGAGAAAUUGCAAAGUCUUGAAUUUAAUUGUUUCAUGCAAUUCCGUUUUCCAAUACUCUAUAUGAUAAUAUACAUUGUACGGAACAAAAAUAGGGUUGUUUUAAAAUUUUGAACAAAUAAAAAUUUCAUAUCAAUAUCUAAUAUUUAAUAAAAAAGAAUGAAACAAGAGUAAGUACAUUCUCUUCUCCUUAACAUGGUAUUAAAGCAGUCUCCAAACUCUUAACUCCUAGUUGCAAACUUGAUUUCCACUGGAAGUUGCAGUUUGCUUAUUUUGUUAUUCAAGUAAGUUACUUCAAUCUAUCAUAGUUUAAAUGACUUGGGAUGGUAGUUGUCAUGGGCACGAAUUUUCCCACAAAUUUUUUGCAUCCACGCAGCGCUUAGAAGCCCUCUGAGCCAACAUACUCAAACCCACAUGAGAUUGCAAUCAAGAAAAAACUCACAAAGACACACAAGGCUAUGGAGCUCAAUCCCUAACUUGUAUUUUAUUUCUUCUCUAAAUAACAAUACAAGACAUAGCUCAACAAGACUUCCACAAUCUCUUUGGUGAGUUCAUGCUCUCUCUCAAGCUAUGUUUUAAGAAAGUUCUCCCUCUCAAUAUACCUCUGUAUAUUCUCUAUGAUCUCCAGAUUGCACGAUAAUUCAAAGGGCACUCCAGUCCUCCUUUUAUAGGUGUGACACCAACCACUCCCUAUUCGAUAAGGAGCAAUACAUCUUCCUUAAGCUUGUCCCAAUGCCAAGACAUCUUUGUUGUGUUCUGCCUGAAGUCUACCCACUCUUGUGCCUUGAGUCAGUUCAUUCAUGCAUUUGAAUCAGCUGAUGCAUCCGAUCAGCUUGCUAUAGAGUCUCUAGGCAGCCUACUACAUGUGUCUCUAUGCAACUAGUGUGCAUGCCAAGCCCUCUCUUAGCCUACAGAUCUAGCAAUUUUCCUUGGUGCCAAUCUUUUCUUUGGUUCUAGCUCCUUGUUGUUCCUUGAGCGUGUCAGUCAUGCUCAUAUGUGUUCCCGCAUCUGGAUCACGUCCAUGCCGAGGCAACCUGCCCAUGUUUGCUCUGCCUAGUUGUUGCUAUAGCAUCAUGCCAUGCCCAAGCCCUCUUCUUGGUGCAGCAACGAGUCAUGGCAUUGCACCCAUGACUCCUCAUCUCUACGCACAAGGCAUUGUGCCUUUGUGCUAAGCAUUAGGCAUCACAUCUGAGUCGGCUUCCCUUAUCUCUAUGCACAAGCCUCAAGGCAUUGUGCCCUUGUGCCAAGCCACCUUAUUGCACAAGGCAUUUCCCCCUCAUGCUACCGUUGGGAAGGGAAGACUGCAUAGCACCCCAAGUCGUUGCAACCAUGAGUUGCACACCAUCACAUGUCAUGGAGCCCAUGUAUGGCUGCUAGCAAGGCGUUGCCCAUGUGCCUUGCUCAUGUCUGAGGACUUGCACUGAAGCCCCUAAGUGUGGCCAUGCCCAUGCCACCUCGUCUCCCUUGAGUCACCCCCACCCUCGCCCCCCUUAAAAGAGCAUUUUAAGCCCUUUUAAUUAAUUCAGGAAAAUCUAGAAAAUUCCCUUCCACUUGGAGUCUCCCUUUUGAAGGUUCCUAUAAAUCUUUUAUCUCUAAGCAAAUUAACCAAGUCACUUAAUUGUUUUGCAACAUUCCUUCCCUUCCCAUAGUGUAUUUCAAGAUCUCUUAAUGAACAAGACAAUUGGUGGAGGGCAUGAAGUAAAUGGAAUUUAUCACCAUAUCGGCCCACCUCUUACUCCAAUUGCUCUACAUACUUCCAUUUCUUCUAUGUAGUGGCACACCUUUCACUUCGCAUCUUUAGCAUAUGGGACUUCUAGUUAUAUUGGACUCCAAGUUAAAGCACCAAGUUUGCGAGUCAAGAAAAUAGCUUCAUCAUAGUGUUGUUCUAGUCCUUUUUGUGCUAUAAUCAAUAAGAGGAGUACUAGUCCUUUUCAUCUUGUUCAUUUAGACAUUUACAGUUUAUGUUGUGUUGUUCCUAAUGUUGAACUAAACUUUCUUAUUGCUAUUUUAUUAAUUAGAUCAAUGAAAAUGGUAUGAGCAUAAAGAGGCUGAAUAAUAGGUACUAAUCUCUUAAAAAAAAAAUUUUAAAAAUAAUCUUAUAGAAACAUCAUCAGGUGACUAUGCACAAGUAAAUGGUCUGACAAGGCGUGAGAAAAACAUUCAUUUUUGUGCAAGAACCAAGUAUUUGCAUCUUAAUCAACCAAAGAAUAAAUGGCUGAAGACAAUAAAUGACUGAACAAAAAGAAAAUCAUAAGUUUUAGGCCAGACACUUUUUUCAUCAAUUAUAUACAACAACAAUAAAUCAAAUAGUCCUAAAUUUCAAGAGAAUAAUGCUCAGCAGCUAUGCAUACUCACAAGUCACAAAUACCUCAUCCUUAACUAAUUUACAUGAAUGAAUUAUUUACUUACCAUACCAAGAGAAACGUUGUAAGAUAGUAUGCAGUAUUCAGGAGUCCAUAGGAUAAUAUUCCAGAAAUUCCAUAUCUCUUCAGUUUCUUUAGAAGACUGAAAGGUUAAGCAAGAGUGAGCUCUCAAUGUAAGUAGACAUGCAUUUAUGCAUACAAAGGGCAAAAGGAUUGAGGUAUCACUUCUUACAGAUUGUUUGCAUGAAAUUCAGUAGUAGAAGAGAAAUUAAUAUGAUUGGGACAAGAUCACUCAUCCAAACAAUAGUUUAUUUACUGAGAAAAGGUCUACAGCAUACUCAUGCAGUAGACAAAAUGAAUCUUUUGUGUCAUGUUCCAAUAAUGUUAACAAACUACAUUAAAUUCAUAAGGUUACAUAGAAAAAGAAAGAAAAGACAUUGUUGCAAUAGUUUGUCUGUUACACUGCUAGCACCCAGACUACGACCAAAUCCUUGCAUUCAAAUUGAAUUUCAAACUCCCAAUGUGAAAAAGGAAGAUACAAAAAAGAAAAGAAAAAAAAGAAGAAAAAAAAAAGUGGGAAAGAAAAGAGACAUGGGAUUUCUAUGUAUAAUAAAUACAUAUUAUAUGUAUAGAUAAAUGCAUGUAUGUGCAUAUGUGAUAGAGGCUGGUCAGACACAUUUCAAGAAGUUUCACAACUUGCUUUGGAAUGACAAACACCUGGAUCAAUAAAUGGCUUGUCUCCAUUAUUGAGAAAUUGCAGAUAAAUUUCAUCCACUACGGGCAUGGGGUGGCUGGACAAAGUUAUGCCAUUUGGUGGGAUGUAGUGGACUUAAGACAGAAAAUUCUCAAUCAUUCUUCUGUCCCUUGUGCAGUGUUGAAGCUGACAAUAUUAUUGAGCAUACAAGGAAUGUGAUGUAAAACAUCAUUGAGGAGCCAUGAGCUGCGAAUGCAUGGAGAAAUUAAGUUAUGAUUAAGUUUUGGUGAGGGAUUUUCAGAUGCAGAUCAUAUGGCAAAUUAUCAACUUCAGAGAAUUGCACGUUUUUAUUCAUUUCCAUACACAUUGAAUAAUCAUAUUUAAAAUCUCUCAUUCACUUGUUUCGCUUCCAUUAGUGCUCCUUCCACAUGCCUAUUAGCAGCACAGACCUCAUGAUAGUUUGGUAAAGGUAAGACAAUAAAAUUGAAAAAUACAGCUAAAGCCUAAAAUAUUGGCUAAUAAAGAGAGAAACCAUCCAAGUUCUAUCUUAAAUGACUCUACAAGUUCUAAACAGGGAGACAAGGACUUCAACCUGGUCCAUCAAUGCAUAUAAAUGGGUAAACAUUCCAACAGCCAUUACGUUAGAAGUACACUAAAAGAAAAUUAUUAAACAAUGUUGUUUCCAAAAAAAUUCCAUGUUAAAGAAUAGAAGAACAUACUGCUAUAAAUGAAAUUCAUUCAAAAUCAGUUCAAACAGUAAAGUUAAGAAUUGUGACUGCAAUUUUUUUCUAAGAAAGAAACAACAAUUGUGACUGCAUAUCACCCACACUUGUUUUAUUUACAAUCCACACAAUGUAUUCUUCCCUAGCAUGUUAUCCCAUUAAGUAGCCUCCAGAUAAAAUUCCCUUUCCAACUCUGUCAAUCAGUCAAAAAAUUUCAUGUAAAAUGUAAAAUACAUGGGUACACAAAAACAACUAUAUAAACUGCCAUCCCAUCAUUAAUAAAUCAGUUGUCUAUAACAUAGACUAAUAGCAUUGUAAGGCAAGUAGGAAGUACUCUUUUGAUGUGUGCAGUUCUCCUUCACCAUUUUCGCCCUUUGCACUUGAGUCUAUAAAAAUAUGUAUAAGUAGAUUUUUAGAAAUAUCAAGUUUAUCAAAUGUAAAAUAUGGUAUCACAAAAAGCUACACCAUUUUUCCAGUUAUCAUUUGAAAGAUAUUGAUACCUUCAUGGUUGGCAGAGUAGUCAUGACCAUUUGACAUGCCAGAAGCCUAACCUACAACAAAGGCAAUGUUGAAAAAGCAAUAUUCAAAAUUCAAUGAAAAAAAUAGAAGACAAACAAAUGAACAAAUAGCAUAUCAUCACACUCAAUUGUUUUCCACAUAUGAUAAACUAAAUGAAAGAAACAAGGAAUAUAUUGAGAAAAAACCCUAUGAUCAAUGGAUAUGCAGUCGCAUUCCAGCACAGAUAUAGGAUCAAACAAGUAACUAAUCUAGACAUAGCUGCAGCAAAUUUGUGUAUCUCUGAAUGUGUGUCUGCUUUUUGUGGGGGUAUUUAUUAUGACAUGUUCUUGGUGCAGACAAACCAUCUGCAUUUACUUGAGGAUUAGGUAAAAAACAUACUUUUCAUUUAAAAUGAGGCCUUGAACAUCAAGCCACGGUGAGUUUUCAAAUAAGGAAAACGUAAUAGCUUUACAAUGAGUCCCAUAGCAAGAAGGCAUAUAAUUCCAUUCAUCAGCAUACCAGAAUAUAGAAUAGUGUGGACAUGUGGACACAUGCCAGAAUUAGCAUUGGACACACUAACAUGCCAGUCAUACAUAGAAAGAAUUUCCAAAGAUAUUAAAGUAAAACACUGGUAGUAAGCAAAUUAUACCCAGAAAAACAUGCAAGUAUAGGCCAAGAUCAAAUCUUAAUUUUAAUUUCUAGAAAAAAAAAAAUUUAUAUCAACCAAUAGAAAUGGUAUCACCAGCAAUUAACACCAAAACACACCAACAUAUCGGAAUGCAUAACACGUGUACCCAUCUCCAAUCAGCACUACACCUAUACAAGUUAGCCUGUAGCAGGUCAUAAUAGGUUCAGACUAUAAAACCUUCCAAAUCUUCCUUUGCAAGGCUUAGAAACCAUUUUCUAAGUAAUUUACAAUUUUAAAAGCCUGUGACAAGAUUUUGGAUGAAGAGCUUGAAUUAUAUACUCACAAACCCACUCCAAAAUUUCCUUAAGGUAAUACACAUUUUUUGAAGUCCUUUCCAAUGUCUUCUCUUAUUUGAGUUAGAAAAGCCAAUUUUUUUAUGAAUUGAUUACUACGUCUAUUGAGGUUUGAGGUGUAUAACUAAUUUCUUAAUAUAUCAUAAUUUACAUCAGUUAUUAGAAAUUAAGGUUCAAUCCUUUUACACUAAGAAAAUCCUGAGCAAUUAAAAAAUACCUUCUUUAAUAUUAUUAAAUUUAAGUUUCCUUCAGGUCUUUGAGUCAAAUAGAAAUUAGUGUAAAAGGAAUUUUAAUUUUCUUACACUAAGAAAAUUAAAAAAUAGGCAAAAUAAUUUUCAAAUUUUGGAACUUUAUAGGUAAUGCUUAUUAAAAUAAAGCAACAAAGUUUGUCAUUUGCCAUUGAAUGAACCAAUUGUAGAAAACUAUGCAAAAAAUUUUAUUAGUAUGGAUUUUUUUUUUCUACCGAUAAAUAGAAUUCAAUUUCAAACCUGCCCCUCCCAACCCACCACUUGCUGCUUGAGGCAAGCUUAGAGGCAGAAAACUAUUUACAAUUCUACGUAUGGAUAAAAAUUAUUCUUAGAUUUUAUGCCAAAUUCCAUAUUUAUAGGUAUCAAUUUAUUAUUCUACUGUUGUCAAAAGCUUCAAUUUUAGGCGUCCUCAUGGUUAUGCCACCCUUAAAUGAGAACAACUUUGGUCUUCUGUUUUUCUUUUUGAGCUCUUCAAAUUUUUGCAAGGUAUUUUUAUAAUCUUAUUAAGCUCAAUGGGAGAGAGAGAGAGAGAGAGGGCGAGAGAGAGAGAGAGGGCGUGAGGGAGUGUGAGAGCGCGUGCGACGGCGACGACGAUGAGUCCGGCGAGGCGAGUCGAAAGCGAAGCUUCACGGUGGAAUCCAAGACUUUCGAGCUUGCCUUGGAUGAUAGGAAAGGGAAACGCCAGAUUCGCAUUGUGGAGAAGAAGCGGGGGGUCUCGACAUGGGUUCGAUUAGGGCUGGAAAGCUUAGGGCUCUUCAAGGAGGGACUAAUCCAUUGUAUACGAGACGAAAAAGAAGGGAGAUGGGAAAAGGAGUGGAAAGAAAGAGGCAAGCUGUAUACAUUGGCUCGGGGUUUCAACAGAGCGGGUGGUUUUUUAAGGUUGGGGGUUGUGGAUCUGGAACGAAAAAGGUUUUGUAUCUUCUUACCGAGAGGUAGGAGGAACAAAAGAGGAUGGACGACUAUGGCGGAGAUGGUACAUCAAAUGGAAGAACUGGCUAGUGGAAGAACAAACUUGCAGGAGGUAAGGACCGUCGGAAAAGCUACUCCGGCGAAAUCAUACGCAGAAGCAGUCAUGAGAACAAAUUGGAAUGGCUUAAACGCAAUCAAGAUGAAGGUCACUAGGGAGGAGAUUGCUGGAAAUUUACAGAAGCUGGAGCACUGCCUCGUCGCGAGCUGGAAGUCCAACGAAAAGGAAGAAGAAGACUUGGAGAGAUUGGGAAGUCAUUGGGCGAAUUCUUGGGGUCUUAAAGGCAAGCUAGGGCUGGCCAAGUUGGAACAAGGUAGGGCACUGUUGGAGUUUGAAGAUCUAAGAGAGGCACACCGUGUGGUCUCCUCGGGGAGCAGAGUGAUGGGAGGAGCUCACUUAGGGUUGGAUCUAUGGAAUCCAAAGACGGGAUGUCGGGUAGAGGAGGAGAUGGAACAGGAAGCUUGGGUUAAAAUCUUCGGCCUUCCAAUUUCGCUAUGGAGCCCGGGGAUUCUGAAGAAAAUAGGGGAGGAAUGUGGGGGCUUUGUAGAUAUUGACGAGCGGACAAGGUCGAUGGGGGAGAUUCAAUGGGCUAGGAUACUGGUCAAAAUAAGAGGUGAUUUUAGACCAAGUAUGUUAGAAAUUGAGGUAGAGGAGGAGGUAUACACUGUGACACUGUGGUGGGAGAUUAGGCCGGUGGUGAGACGGAUCUUCUCUGCGACGGAAAACAGGAGGAGAAAGGAGGUCAGGGGUGACUCGUAUUCACGCGCGGAGAAGCGCGUGGGGAAGGAGCUGGUAGACGCGGGAAUCGAGGAACUGCACCUGCCAGAUGUUGGGAGUGAUCUGCAGGAGAAUAGGCCGGGUCUAGUGCCCGGGAACCAGAUCCAUGGCCCGGUGACCCGGGAUUGGGCCUAUCCAGAUGGAAGAGUGGCUGGGUCAACCGCAUGUGGCCCAAAUAUGGAUCUUAAUGAGUUGGAGAAGGAUGGUGGGCAGACUAAAAUAGACGGGCCUUUGGGCCGAAAGUUAAAAAAUAAGUCAAAGGUGGCUAGUGAUUCAGAGGCAGGCCCAUCGUCUAGUAGUUGGGCUGCUGAACUGGGCUGCCAUCCUUUAGUUGAGGUGGAAGGCCUGGAAAGGGAGGGCCCAACUGUUCCCCUAGAGAAGGCUGGUUUUUUGGGCCGUUUUAGCUCCAGAAAAGGACCCAUUUCAGAGGAUCCUUUGACGAGCUGGGUGCCAGAGGAGUUUAGAAGGGAACAGAGGGAUGAUGGCUUUUCAAUGACUGAUCGAGCGCUGUAAGAGGAAGCUAAAAGGUAUGUCCUGAUUUCCCAUCCUAAAGGAAAAUGGGUUAUGGGGACACCUCUUCUUCUCUCUUCUAAUUCUGAUCGGGCUCCGGAGGGGGAGUCUUUUGAUCGCCCAGGGGGAAUUGAGGAGGAAUUAAGGGGGGACAUGUCAACAUGGUUAACAGUCUAUGAGGGGAACGUUGAGAAUGAAAAUGGAUCUUGGAAGCUGGGAGAGGACAACAAAAGCAGAGACAAGGUUAAGGGCAAGGAGGAGAACACUGGGGUCUCUGGUUCUCAAGAUACCGAAAAUGAGAAAGAGGAUCUAUGAGAGGACUGUAGUCUUGCAAAAUUUAGCCAAUUCUUGGGAUUCUCUAUGAAGGGGCUGGAAAAGGAGAUAUUGAAUUUUCUGAUUAAAAUCAAAAAGAGGCGGGAAAAGAUUCACAGCAAAGAACUUUUGGAGAAGUCCAAGUUUGAAAGGGAACUAAAGAGGCUGGAAUGCUCUAUCAAUUACGAGGGGGGGAAUAAGCAGAAAGGUCCUUCACAGGGCAAAAGGAAUCAGUUGAUAGUUGCCCAAUGAAGCUGAAGAUUAUAACCUGGAAUGUGAGGGGAGCUAAUGACAGCUCUAAGAGGAAAAUUAUUAAGAGCUAUAUAAGGAACCAGAGGGUGGACCUAAUGUGUAUUCAGGAAACCAAGAUUCAGGAGAUGUCGGAGGGUAUUGUGAGAAGUCUGGGUUCGGGGAGAUUCUUAGAUUGGAGAGCCUUAAAUGUGGAGGGGGCUGCGGGUGGCAUUUUGAUAUGCUGGGACAAGCGGGUUCUGGAUAUUUUGGAUUGGGAGGAGGGUCAGUUCUCUUUGUCUUGUAGAUUCAAGACCACAGUAAAUGGGGCUACUUGGGUUUUUACGGGAGUGUAUGGUCCUUUUACCAAAGUGGAAAGGGAGGGUAUGUGGGAAGAACUUGGGGCAAUAAGAGGCCUUUGGGAUGAUCCCUGGUGUCUCGAUGGGGAUUUUAAUAUCACUCUGUUUCAACAAGAAAGGAGCAGCCAAAGAAGAAUCAGCUCAGCCAUGCGGAGAUUUGCAGAGACUGUGGAUGAUCUAGAGCUGGUGGACCUGCCCCUUCAGGGGGGAGAGUUCACAUGGAAUGGGGGGCUUAAUAAUCAGGCGUGGGUGAGACUAGACAGAUUUUUAGUUUCCCCUAGCUGGUUAGAUCAGUUUAGUGGAUUCACUCAGGGCAGGUUGUCUCGGCCAAUUUCUGAUCAUUUUCCAAUCGUGUUAGAGGGGGGUGGAAUAAGAGAGGCCCAACCCCGUUUAGAUUCGAAAAUAUGUGGCUUAACGUUGANGNUUUAAUGACAUUGUUAGAACCUGGUGGNNNNNNNNNNNNNNNNNNNNNNNNNNNNNNNNNNNNNNNNNNNNNNNNNNNNNNNNNNNNNNNNNNNNNNNNNNNNNNNNNNNNNNNNNNNNNNNNNNNNAGGAAGCUGAAUUAAAAAAGGAAGCUAAAGACUCCUUUAAGAAAUGGGUCCUGUUGGAGGAAGCCCAUUGGAGACAGCACUCAAGGGAGAUUUGGUUAAGGGAGGGGGAUAGAAACAUGGGGUUCUUCCAUAGAAUGGCAAGUGCUCAUCGAAGAAACAACGCUAUGGACAGAAUUAAGGUUAAUGGGGAGUGGCUAGUAGAGGAGCAGGAGGUGAGAGAAGGAGUUGAGAAUUCGUUUCAGCAGUUGCUUUCUGAAGAUAUGGGUUGGCAGGCGGAUAUUGGUAGAAUUCAGGUGGGUUGCAUCAUUCAGCAAGAAGCAGAGAGUCUGGAAAUCCCAUUUGCAGAGAUUGAGAUUCACUCGGCGCUGAUGGAGAUGAAUGGGGAUAAAGCCCUUGGCCCGGAUGGUUUUACUGUAGCCUUUUGGCAAAAUGCAUGGGAUUUUACCAAAGAGGAGAUCAUGGAGAUGUUUAAAGAAUUUCAUGAGCAUAAUUCCUUUAUUAGGAGCCUUAACAAUACUUUCUUGGUGUUGAUACCUAAGAAAAGCGGGGCUGAGGAUCUUGGAGACUUUAGACCUAUCAGCCUGUUGGGGGGGGGGCUCUAUAAACUUUUGGCUAAAAUCUUAGCUAAUAGGCUCAAAAAAGUGAUUGGUAAGGUGGUCUCUAUUGCUCAGAAUGCCUUUGUAAUGGGAAGACAAAUUCUGGAUGCGUCUUUAAUUGCUAAUGAGGUGAUAGAUUCGUGGCAGAAGAGAAAAGAAAAGGGUCUUAUUUGCAAAUUGGAUAUAGAAAAAGCUUAUAACAGCAUUAAUUGGAAUUUCUUAAUGAAGGUCCUUCAAAAAAUGGGCUUUGGGACCAAGUGGGUGGGAUGGAUGUGGAGUUGCGUGUCUUCUGCUAAAUUCUCUAUUCUUGUUAAUGGAGUGCCAGUUGGGUUUUUCCCUAGCACUAGAGGGCUUCGUCAAGGGGAUCCUCUAUCCCCUUACCUCUUUGUUAUGGGAAUGGAGGUUCUGGACAUCCUUAUCAGGAGAGCGGUGAAGGGGGGAUAUCUUUCAGGAUGCAACAUUCGGGGUGGUAGUAGAACUUCCUUGAAUAUCUCCCACCUAUUUUUUGCUGAUGACACAAUUGUGUUUUGUGAGGCGAGCAAAGAGCAAGUUUCUCACCUAAGCUGGAUUCUUUUUUGGUUUGAAGCGGCUUCGGGUCUUCGAAUUAAUCUAGCCAAAAGCGAAAUCAUUCCAGUUGGAGAAGUGGAGGAGAUUCUUGAGAUGGCAGUUGAGUUAGGGUGCAGGGUGGGGUCUCUGCCCUCUCAUUAUUUGGGUCUCCCCUUAGGGGUCCCCAAUAGGGCUACUUCUAUGUGGGAUGGAGUGGAAGAGAGGGUCAGAAGGAGACUUGCGCUUUGGAAAAGACAGUACAUUUCCAAAGGGGGGAGGAUCACUCUCAUAAAAAGCAUCUUGGCUAGCAUGUCAAUUUACCAAAUGUCUAUUUUCCGAAUGCCCAAGUCUGUUGCUAAAAGAGUGGAGAAAUCCCAAAGAGAUUUCCUAUGGGGGGGAGGAAACUUAGAGGGAAAAGUUCACUUAGUUAAAUGGGAUGCGGUCUGUACAGAAAAACACAAGGGAGGGCUAGGAUUAAGGAGAAUAGUCACUCUGAAUAGAGCCUUGCUGGGCAAGUGGAUUUGGAGGUUUGCUUGUGAAAAGGAUAACCUUUGGAAACAAGUGAUCACUAUGAAAUAUGGGCAAGAGGAUUAUGGUUGGAGGUCAAAGAAGGCUAGUGGGGCGGCCGGAGUAGGGGUCUGGAAGGAGAUUAUGAAAGAAUCUGUUUGGUGCUGGGAAAAUUUGGCUUUUAUAGUUGGGAAGGGUUCCAAAAUCAAAUUUUGGAAAGAUAGUUGGUGCACUGACACUCCGUUGUCCCAAUGCUUCAAUCAUCUCUUUGUCCUUGCCGUGCAUAGGGAUGCUACGAUUGAGGAGAUGUGGGAUCAGGACUCGGGCCAAGGAGAUUGGAAUUUUGUUUUUGUGAGGGACUUCAAUGAUUGGGAGUUGGAUAUGGUUGGGGAGCUGCUUCAUACUUUGAGGGGUCAUAGGCCCUCCCUGGAGGAUGAUUCAGUUAUGUGGAGGCAUGGAAGAAAUGGUCUAUUCAGGGUCAAAGAAGCUUACAAGCUGUUAGACAAGCCUAAUGUCACAGUAUUUCCCGCAAGGAGAAUAUGGGUGGAUAGGGUGCCAACUAAAGUCUGCUUUUUUGCUUGGGAGGCUACGUGGGGGAAGGUGCUCACUCUGGACAGACUCCAGAUAAGAGGGGUGCAACUCCCAAAUUGUUGCUUUUUGUGUGGUUGUGAAGAAGAGAAUGUAAAUCAUAUUCUUUUACACUGUAUAGUGACUAGAGCCCUAUGAGAUAUUAUUUUUGGGUUGAUAGAUGUUAAGUGGGUCCUCCCAGAAACUGUAAAUGAGACUUUAAUCUCUUGGAGGGGCUCAUUUGUAGGGAAGAAAAGGAAAAAGAUUUGGAAAUCCAUUCCGUUAUGUAUUUUUUGGACGGUUUGGAAGGAGAGGAAUAGGUUAGCCUUUAAGGGGGGUGCGUUGAAUAUUCAGAAAUUAAAGAAUUCUUUUGUCUGUAACUUGUGGAAUUGGGACAAAGUGUAUUUAGGUGAGGAGUCUUUCUCCCUUAUAGGUUUUUUGGAGUGGAUAGCUUCCACUUAAGGGGAGGUAGUUCUUUUUGUUCCUUUUUCUCUUUUUGAGGCAGUAGCCGUCUUGUAUACUCCCUGUAUGCUUUGUGGCGUUUAGCCUUUUCUAAUGCAUAUCUUGUUUACUUAUCAAAAAAAAAAAAAAUUUGCAAGGUACUUCUAUCCAGGUUCUAGGAAACACCCACUUUUUUAAAUCUCCAAUAAUUUAGUGUUCUGUGGCUGAGGGAAUAGACUUAUUUUUGGUUGAAACACAUAAAAUUCUUGGAUAUGUAUAUAUAUAUUUUUUGGCAUCAGGUCCUUUUAGGUUGAUUUUUCUACUUAUUUUUCACCCACCAAUUAACAUUGCCCUAACUCUAUUAUCUAACCGAGCAAAUGUUUAUGAACUAGCAAAUCAUACUAAAAUUUCUUACUAGUUGACAUGUGCAUCAUCUCAGCAUGUCAUUCCAACACCAAACUACAACCAUAAUCCCACUAACAUCCUAACUGCCUCAAUGAGUAUGGAUUACAGAAAUGCAAUUAAAAUAUACUUCCCUAUUUAAUUUCAUAAUUUUUAUAAUAAUAUUUCAGCAAUAUUUCCACAUAGUAGCUUAUGUGAGAAAUCCCCAUUUCUGUUUAAAAUCGAAAAACCCUAUAGCUUGCGCAAGUAAAUAGGAAAAAAAAAAAACAGAGGUUUUGCAGAAUUGGGAGAGCAGACUCACACCAGCAUGGCCAUUGAUUGAGCAGAAACGUAGAUGACGAUGAUGGUGGUGGAAUUGGGAGAAAUUGUUGAGUUUGGGAACCCUAGGAAAGCUGGGAUUGAAAGAAGAGGAUUGUGAGAGAGAAUUGGAAAUUUAAGAAACAAACACAAAAAAUAAAUCCAAGAAAUAAAUAAGAAGCGUAAAAAUGAAAUAGAGAAGAGUGUGUAUGACGCACCUGAUGAUGUGAAAGCAGCUUCAGCUGGUGAAGGCAAACUUUCGACGGGAGAGACAUCAGGAUACUGGCCUCUGACAACAAUCGCUCCAAAAUAUUCUUUCUAUACCAUUUAUUAUUAUUAUUAUUAUUAUUAUUAUUAUUUUAUUAUUAUUUUCAGGUUAUUGAAGUGUAAUGUCCACCGUACACCCUUACAUGAUGAAGCCUUUAGAACUCUCCAUGGAGCCUAAAUCUCACAUUGCUAAUCACCCUAUAAUAACCAGCAUAUAGUAAAUUCAAAGUAUCAUUAAUGAUAGAUUUCAAACUUAGGACCAUAUAUCAUUUAUUGAGACCACACUUCUUAAUGUUCAUCCUUAACGACACACUCAUAUAUAUCAAAUUACCCAAUGACCUACUUUUCCUAUUUUCUCAUUUUUAGAAAUAAAAAGAAAAAAUAAUAAUUUCUAUUUUUAAUUUUUUAAUUUUUUUUAUAAGUAAAUUUUUGUUCUCAUUAGGACCUGUGGAACCUCCCACAAGUCCUCCCGAAUCCUUUACCACUUGAGUCAUGCCUUAAUGGCUUGUUUUUUUAAAAAAAUUAAUAACAACUUUUAUAUAUAAAAAAAAUACUUAUAAAACAUACUUAUAAAAAAUAUACAUGUCAUUAAAAGUUUAAAGAAAUUUAAAUUUGAUAAUAAUUUUUUAAAUAAUUUAAUGUGUUAAUUGUUCUUAAAAACUUUAAAUAACCUAGAAAAGAAUAAUAUGGUUAUAAAUUGACCAAAUUGUUAUAUGGUUUUAAAUAGUCACCUUAACAAUGUUACAAGUGAGUUAAUUAAUUUAUGGUAGAGAAGAAUUACAAUAGAAUUCAAUUAGUUAUCGUAUUUGAAGUCUUUGAUUAUUUGUUGAAUAAUAUUUGCAGCCAGUUAGCUAGGGUUGGCUAACCCAAGCCAAACCUACUUACUAAUAUGUCCAACCUAUGCUAAACUCGAUUCAAAGUUAGAUUGGUAGUUACUAAACUCAUUGACAACUAAAGUUUCUAUGGAUUCCCACAAGUUUUCAUGGAUUAUCAAAUAAACCACAUAUAAUGGAAUCUCCUAAUAUAAAAAAGACAUAUUUCAAAAUUAUAAAUUAAACCAUAUUAUAAAAUAAAAUUUUAACAAAGUCAUAAAUUAUAUUACUAGUGACUAAUUUUAAUGGUAACAUGAAACACAAGUGUGAAUAUUUAAAAAUAUUUUAAUAAUUAAACAAAAAUGAUAAACUUAUAGUGUAAUGUAAUAAAACUAGCAAAAGUUAUAGUUUUUCCAUUAUCCCUUUUAUAAAUUUCAUAUUUUAAAUAAACUAAUAAAUAAUAUAAUAGUAAUGAAUUUGCUUAGUCUUCAUCAUGUAGAACCAAUGUGAAGAAAUUUUUUUUAAUAGGACUGAUUAAUGACUUAAUUAAGGGUAGGUUACAGCAUACACUAGGAGUCAAGAAAUAAGAUGUCAAGACUUGUACAUUCUGAAUAGGGAAGGGAAGAGUAUCCUAACAUAAGAGACCAAAAACAUGCUCAGGGAGAUUCUCGUUAGGAUCAAAUUGGGGGCAUAGAUGUAUCUCUUUGGUAAGAGUUCCCAUAAUUUAGGUAUUAAUGAAAUAGGUAUAAAAGAAUUAUAUAUCUUGAUAUGAUCAUGUUGUUAAUGAUGAUCUAAUGAGUUGAAAUAUUAUGUUUUCAACUGUGUAUAUCUAAUAAAUACAUCAAGUACUUAAACUUUAAUAUAGAAAUGCUCCAUAAUGGUUUGUAUGACUCAUCCUCUUAUAAACAUAUUAUUUAGAUUAGGCUAAAGUGGUCAAAGUAAGAAGAAAACUUGAUACUUGAUUUGAAGUAUGAAGAAUUCUUCUUAGACUUUGUGUGUAGUAUUGUUUGCUUAUUGUUGUGUUAAAGUCUAUUUUGAUGUAUUUUGGAAAGAAUGACCAACUAGAACCACUAUAAGAUGUUGCAAAACUUAUUUAAACAAGGGCUUGUGAGCAAGAUUUUUUUUUUUCCCUUUCAUGUACAAAUAGUAUGAUGAAUGAAAAUUUGAUUCUCAGUUGUAAUUAGUGUUUUCCUUAAGUUUUAAAUCAUGCAAUGAAUACUUAAAAUUAGUUUAAGAUGUCAAAGAAUGUAAGUAAACAAGGUUUUACAUGUUGGAUAUAUAAUUAAUGCAAAACCUUUACCUUCCACAUUGAAUGAUUACAUUUUUUCUUUAAGUGCCCUUUAAUCAUUCUCAUCUUGUUUAAUCAUUUUUCUCUAAUGUCUUGAGCAUAGUAGAUUUCUAUAAAUUUACAUGAGCAUUCCUUAACUCUUCUUGAGUGAUCCUAAACUUAGCAUUGAAACAAUCAUAAUUUAGGCGAAGAUGCUUACACGUCUUCAUAAUCAUCCUUGGUUGCUAGCCAUUUUUCCUUAAUUACUUUAGGAUGUUUAGCGAAGAUGAUUACAAAUAUUAACUAGUUCACUCACACAUUUUUGUAUGAGUGUAGAACAAUUUUGCAUUCUUUCCACAUCACUUAUGCAUCUUUGUUCCAAGAAAGAAGAUAUAGAACUCUUAUCUUUUGCUUACACCACUUGGUUCUCCAGCCCAUUAUGCUUAUGCGUCAUUUUUAUAUCACAUAUGCAACUUGUUUCUCAUUAAUAUAUUUCACUUACAUGUUCUUAUAUAAGCAUAAUUUAGGGAAAAACAUUUUAAAAAAAAAGAAGCAAAAUAGAUGUUAAUAUAUAUAUAUAUAUAUUUGGAACAAUUAAACUCAAACUAUGCAAAGUGACCUUGUCUACUAUAUAGGUGACUUUGUUUACCCCAUAGGUAGAGUAUAUGAUAGUGAUAGUCAAGGAAGCUAUGUAGUUGCAUGGUUUAGUGGAGAAUUUAAUGUUGCAAAACCGUUUUGUAUUUUUAAUAAAAUAAAAAUAUUUUAAAUUGUGGCCCAUUUAAAUAUUAUUUUCCCUAAAAUAAAUGAAACGUGGGAGCACAUCUCUUAUGGAGUAACCACCCAUGUCUACAAAUGUGGGACAUAUUACUCGGUUGAAAACUACCCAAAGUCUUUUUUGAUGGGAAGAAGAGAAAAUAAAUAGAUAGAUACAAGAUUAAUUCCAAAAGAGGGAAGAAGGGUCUCUGGUCUACAAGAAUAAGUCUGUGAUUAGUUUCAUCAGUCCCUAUUUUGUGUGAAUCUGAUUGCCAUGGCUGGAGGUACGAUCUUGGAUUUUCAUUUUAUUACUUGUAAUUAUCAGAGAUAUUUAUCUAACAUUUGGUAUCAGAGCCAAGGGUCUCUAGUUUGGCUUUCGAUUCAAUAUUUAUGGUCUUAAAUGAAUUAAGUUCUAUAUUCAUACAUGAUAAGAGAAAUUUAUCUCCAUAUUUAUUGGGUAUUUCUAAUUUAAUCCAAAUGAAGAAAAUUUAGUAGACUCCAUAUUUAUUGGAUAUUUUUUAUUUAAUCUAUACAGAUUUGUUUUUCUACAGUUGCAAUAGACAUUUCUCAUAUGACAUGUUAUGUUUCCUGCAAUUGAGACAACUUGAACCCGUGACCAUGGGUUACUUCCUUAACUAGAAUAGUCCUUGAACCAUUGGACUAAAGCCUAUGACUUGUUAGAGAUUGCCUCCUCUAAACUUAAAUGUUGGCUCCGUUAUUGUGAAAAACUUGUAUAAAUUAUUUUUAUAAAGUAGUAUUUAGAAACACUACUUAUAUUUGUUUACCAUUGAUUUGGUAAUUUUUUUGAUGUCAUACUGAGGUAACAUUUGAUUAAUUAAGUAAUAGCCACAACAUUCUUGAUUAUGAUAAUGUUAAGUGACAAAAGAAAGUUUCAUUUUUGUCACAUUAAAUUAAUGACAUCAAUAUUUGUAAAUAAUCAUAAAAAAUAAUAAUUUUACCCCACAGGGUAAUUAUUAUGUUUUGUGUUUAUUUAGGAUGGGAUGGUAAAAAAAAAAUAUGUUGCCCAUAGGCCUAAAAUUACUAGUUCCAUUAUAAAGUAAUUAAAAAAAAAACAUUUGCAUGUUGUAUUCUGUUUCCACAGGAAAGUUUAUGAUCACGUGUUGAUUUUUUGUUGAUUGAAUUAAUUUACAUGAGUAAAUUUUGUUUUUUGCUUCAUGGCAUAUUAGUAAGCUUUGUCAUUUAUUUUGUAGUUCAAUCUAUAUAUGUUCCAAAUUUUGAUUCAUCUCGUAUACCUUUCUUGAAUGGUGAUAAUUAUGCUAAUUGGUAGGAGAAAAUUCUCCUUACAUUGGGGUGCAUGGACCUUGAUUUAGCACUUUGUGUGGAUGAGCCAUUGGUUCCUAUGGAAUCAAGUACCCAAACUGAGAAAGCAUCAUAUGAACGUUGGGAGCGAUCUAAUUGCUUAAGUUUGAUGUUUAUCAAGUCUAGUAUUGGGAAAAGUAUUCGUGGUUCAAUUUCUGAAUGUGCUAAGGUGAAAGAAUAUCUCAAGGCUAUUGAGCAACAGUUUGAGGCUUCUGACAAGGCUUUGGCUAGCACCUUAAUGACAAAGAUGUGUUAGAUGAAGUUUAAUGGCACCAAAGGAGUACGUGAGCACAUAAUGGAAAUGAGAGAUAUUGCUACUCAACUUAAGUCAUUAGAGAUUGAGAUGUCUGAGUCAUUUCUGAUUCACUUCAUUCUUAAUUCUUUUCCAUCUGAGUAUGGACCUUUUAAGAUUUCAUACAACACACAUAAGGAAAAAUGGUCUAUUAAUGAACUUUUGACCAUGUGUGUGCAAGAAGAAGGAAGACUAAAUCAAGAAAGGAUUGAAAGUGCCCAUUUGGUGACUUAAGAAAAGAAACCAGGCAAGAAAGGUAAAAGAAAGCAAAAGACAUCUCUUAAUCAAGUUAAUAAGAGCGAUAUCAAGUGCUUCUUUUGCAAGAAGAAAGGACACAUUAAGAAGUGUUGUCCCAAAUUUAAAGCUUGGCUUGAAAAUAAAGGUAAUCUUAUCUCUUUAGUGUGUUAUGGAUCUAAUAUGGUUCAUAUUUCUUACAACACUUGGUGGAUUGAUUCUGGUACUAAAAUUCAUGUUGCCAAUACCAUGCAGGGCUUCUUAAACCAAAGGAAACCAACAGAAAGUGAAUGCUCUAUCUAUUCAGGAAAUCGGAUAAGUUCACAUGUGGAAGCGGUUGGGACCUACAGACUUGUUCUUAGAUCUGGUUUUGUUUUAAACCUUGAAAACUCUUUUUUUGUUCCAUCAUUUUCUAGGAAUCUUAUUUCAGUUUCGAGACUUUUACCAUAUGGUUUUAGUUUUAAAUUUGUUGUUAUUUCAUUUCAUUUGAUAAAAGACAAUGUCGUUGUUGGUGAUGGUAUUUUGGAUAAUGGUUUAUUCAAACUCAAUUUAAAUCCAAGUUUUAAUCAUAGACUUACAACUAUGCAUGGAAAUGUUGGCAUUAAGUGUGGUGUUAUAAAUAAGAAAUCUUCCACAUUAUGGCACAAGAGAUUAGAUCAUAUCUCUAUUGAAAUAAUUAAAAGAUUGGUAAAUGAUGGAGUCCUUGAGGCUCUUGAUUUUACUGAUUUUGAUAUUUGUGUGGGUUGCAUUAAGGGAAAGCAAACCAACAUGACUAAGAAUCAAAGUGCUAGGAGGACUUCUAAUGUUUUAGAAAUCAUACACACUGACAUUAGUGGUCUUUAUAAUAUGUGCUUAAAUGGUCAAAUAUAUUUUAACACUUUUAUCGAUGACUACUCACGAUAUAUGUAUCUUUUUUUGCUUUAUGAUAAGUGUGAAGCACUAGAUGCUUUCAAAAUCUAUAAUGCAGAGGUAGAGAAACAAUUGGGUAAACAAAUUAAGAUUGUGAAGUCAGAUAGAGUUGGUGAAUAUUAUGGUAGGUACACUGAAAAAGGACAAUUAUCUGGUCCAUUUGCAAGGUUUCUACAGGAACAUGGCAUUGUUGCCCAAUACACAAUGCCUUGCUCACCAUCCCAAAAUGGUGUGGCUGAAAGAUGAAACCAAACCCUAAAGGACAUGGUUAGUAACUCCAACCUCCUAUUAUCCUUGUGGAGUGAGGCCAUAAAGACAACAACAUAUUGAUUACUAUUCAAAAAGUGCUGUUUUGUAGCUUGUAAUUAACUCUUUUAAACACUUUUGAGUAGUAGUUAUUACCUUUUAACUCAAUUGGCAUGUUAAGGACCCUUGCAAUCGUUUCUAAUCAAAUUGUGUUAAGUUUUAGUGUUUUUGAUAUCUUUUUUAUCACCAAAGCAAUCUAAGAUGAGGGAGAGCUUUAUAUAAUCCAUGGCAAAGAAAAUAAAAGCUCAUUUACAAGAAGAAUCCAAGCUUUGGAGCUUUGAAGUCCUUUGCCAAAAGCAAAUCAUGAAUGCAAUGAGGGAAAGCAAAGAGAGAAAUCUAACAUGAAGAAUUCAAGAGGACAGCAACUGUUGAAGACAUUUUGAGUACUUCCUGAAGUCCAUUUCAUGCAUACUAUAUGUCGUUUCGAAGAUCGGGAAGUCAGAAGCCCAACGCUUCAAACGGUACAUGAAUUGGAGUUGAAAAGAAGAAGUUAUGGCCAUUUGAAGACAACCGCACAAAGUUGAGCGAAAAUUUCAUGGCCCAAAGCCCAUUUCGUACCUGCGAAAUAAGCUGCGAAAUGAAACCCACUUGCGAAAUUUUGUAAGGUGUUUUGCAGCUGCGAAACCACCUCCAAGCACACGUGUGCCACUUCGCAAGUUGAAACUCCAUCUUCGCAACUGCGAACCACGUUGCGAAAUCACCUCCAAGCUGCGAAACAAGUUGCAAAUCAUCUCCAAGUUGCGGAAUCACCUCCAAGUUGCAAAAUCACAAAUUCAACUUGCAAAAUCAAAGUUCAAACUUGCAAAAUGGACAAUUCAAAGUGUGAAAUCCACCUGUGCAAUCUCAGAUAUUUGCAACCGACUCAGUUAGAUUUUUUCUCAAGAUAUUUUGUAAAUUUCUAUUUUCUCCUUGUAAUCAGUCAAAGAUAUUAUUGGGAUAUUUCUUAGAAAAUAUCUUCUCUAUAUAUAUCUUUGAACCAAUGUAAAUAAUACGGAUAUAUCAUGUAGAUCAUAGAUCAUGGAUGUAAUUGACGAUAGUAAGAAAUAUAUUUUUACAGAGCACUUGCUCUGUUUUUCCUUCAUAUUUUUGUUUUCUCGUUAUUUUUAUUUCUAGCAAAUCAAACUCUGAGGAUGUUUCCUUAGAGGAUGAGUGGCUUGGCUCUUUGUCUCUUGGAGUGAAGAAAGCCAAGUAAGUUUCCAUAUGCAAAAAUUAGAAGUUUUGUUGUUUCAGUUUUUAAUGAAGAGAAAGUGUGACUCGUUAAUGGUUUUUAUCUUUUUAGUUAACUUAAAACGCCUUUAAGUUACCUAGGCUAACACUUGGUAAGGCAAGUGAUCUCCGUCCAUUGAGAUGCACUAGUUUACCUCUUGCGAGCCUUUGGGAGGUGACUUGAAGGUAGGAUUUUCUAGAAUAGCCAACACUUGGUAAGCUUUUGGACUCUAAGGAGACAUCCAUUAGUUAUCUCUUGCGAGCUUUUAAAGGGUAAUCCAAGGUUAAGGAUCACCUUGAAUGGCAAAUUCUAGGUGAGAGGCAUGAGCCAUUGCAAGAUGCAUCAGUGAGAGAGAUUUAGUGUUUGAACCCAUUAAGGGGAAACAUCUAUACCACAUCGAUUCGGGAAAUAACUAUAUGUUAAAUCCCCAAUGCGAGGAAAAGAUUCAAGUGACCAGAACUCCCUUUUUGUAUAAGGAACCUAAGCCUAGUGAUCUGAAACUCCAAGAAACAUUUUUCUUUGUAAUUAAAAUCAGUUACUAUUUUUGGUUAGCUUAAAACCAACCUUUUCAAACAUCUUUAUAUUUUCUUUUAGAGCUAACCUUGAAAUGAAAAAACACCAAUUCAGCUUUGAAUUAAUAUCAAUUGUGAAGUGAAAACCCAUCCCAGUGAACGAUCCUAGAGCCACUAUGCUAUGCUAGCUGAGGCUAUCCUAGUACAUGGUGUAAUAGGUUAUAAAUUUUGUUGAUUACUCCCGUCUGAGGACCACAAUCAAGGAAUACCAGCUGGACACGAAUCAAAUGACACCGUUGUUGGGGACCAUUGAGAGGACAUGAAUCAGCUGAUACACCAAUUGGGAAUGAAUCACAUAUGUACUAAACCGGGUUCCAACCAAGGUAGUUCCUAAAACGCCUUUUGAGUUAUGGAAAUGUUGCAAACCCAGUCUAAGGCAUGUACAUGUAUGGGGUUGCCUAGUUGAGGUUAGAAUUUAUAAUCCACAAGAGAAAAAGUUAGACUCAAGAAUAGUCAGUGGAUAUUUCAUUGGCUACAUAGAAAAGUCUAAGGAUACAAAUUUUUAUUAUCCUUCUUGUGCUACGAAAAUUGUAGAAUCUCAUAAUGCAAGGUUUUUGGAGAAUGAUGUGAUUAGUGGGAGCAAUGAAUCUUGACACUUAGUGUUUGAGGAACGCCACAAUAUUGAACCCACUCUUGAGUCUUCAAGUGGAUUAAUUAUUUUCCUGGAUAGUCAUCAAGAUUUGACAAUCCAAGAAACACCAGUUGUUAAUGAACCACAUCAUGAGGAUAUUCUGAUGGAUUUAGUUAUUCAACAUCCUCAACAAGGGAAUGUUGAUAUAACAUUAAGAAGAUCUACUACAGAAAGGAGGUCUACAAUUUCUUUUGAUUAUGUUGUGUACUUACAAGAAUAUGACAUUGAUAUUGGUGUUGAAGAUGACCCCAUUACGUUUUCACAAGCCGUGGGUGGAAGUGAAAAGAUGAGAUGAAUUCAAUGGCUAAUAAUCAAGUCUGGGAUCUUGUUGAGUUGCCUAAAGGUGCAAAGGUAAUUGGUUGUAAAUGGGUUUUUAAGACUAAAAGGGGUUCUUUGGGCAAUAUUGAAAGAUAUAAGGCAAGACUUGUAGCUAAAGGAUUCACUCAACAAGAAGGAAUUGAUUAUCAUGAUACCUUCUCUCCUAUUUCCAAGAAGGAUUUAUUUUGGAUAAUCAUGGCAUUGGUAGCUCAUUUUGAUAUGGAGUUACAUCAAAUGGAUGUGAAAACAGCAUUCCUUAAUGGGGAUUUAGAGGAAAAGGUUUACAUGAAACAACCAGAAUGGUUCAUCACAAAUGGAAAUGAUCACAUUGUUUGCAAGCUUAAAAAAUCUAUAUAUGGACUAAAACAAGCAUUCCGUCAAUGGUAUUUAAAGUUCCAUGAUGUUAUUUCUUCAUUUGGUUUUAUAGAAAAUGUUAUGGAUCAAUGUAUGUACCAUAAGGUUAGUAGGAGCAAAAUGAAUUUCUUAGUCUCAUAUGUGGAUGAUAUUUUGCUUGCUUCAAAUGAUUUGGGCUUACUUCAUGAGGUGAGGUGAGGCGAUUUCUCUUGCAACAAUUUGAUAUGAAAGAUAUGGGUGAAGCUUCUUAUGUCAUUGGCAUAAAGAUUGAGAGAGAGAGAUCUCAACGGAUAUUAGGAUUGUCUCAAGAAACCUAUAUCAAUAAAGUGCUUGAGAGAUUUCGCAUGAAGGAUUGUUCACCUGGUAUUGCACCGAUUGUCAAAGGUGACAAAUUUAGUUUGAACCAAUGCCUCAGUAAUGAUUUGGAAAAUAAAGAGAUGAAAAAUAUUCCUUAUGCUUUUUCAGUUGGGAGUUUAAUGUAUGCUCAGGUUAAUACAAGACCUGACAUUUCUUAUGCAGUUGGAAUGUUGGGCAGAUAUCAAAGUAAUCGAGGUCUGGAACACUAAAAAGCUGCAAAGAAAGUCAUGUGAUACUUUAAGGGGACUAGGGACUACAAACUUACAUACAUGCGAUCUGAUUAUUUGGAUGUGGUUGGAUAUUUGGAUUCUAACUUUGCUAGCUGCCUUGAUUCUAGAAAGUUGACAUCUGGAUAUGUCUUCUUAUUAGCUGGAGGGGCCAUUUCAUGGAAAAGUGCAAAACAAACAUUGGUUGCUACUUCGACCACAGAAGCGAAAUUUGUUUCAUGUUUUGAAGCAACGUCACAUGCUAUUUGGCUGAGGAGUUUUAUUUCAGGGCUUCAAGUUGUUGACUUAAUUUCUAAGCCAUUGAGGAUUUACUGUGAUAACUCUACCAUAGUGUUUUUAGCUAAGAAUAAUAAGAGUGGAAGUCAUAGUAAACACAUUGACAUAAAGUACUUAUCUAUUAGGGAACAUGUUAAGUCAAACAAGGUGGCUAUUGAGCAUAUUAGUACUGGAUUGAUGAUUGCGGAUCCUUUGACGAAAGGAUUGCCACCUAAGGCUUAUAAGGAACAGGUUGAACAUAUGGGACUCAAUUCUAUUUUUUAAAUUUUGUGUAAUUGAGACAUCUUUUGUGUUUCAUCGCAUUUUUUGGUUGAUAUGAAAACUCCAAUUAUUUCAAUCUUGUCUUCUCAUUUGGUUAUAUACAUAAAGUUUAGAGAAUGAAAAUAUGCAUGUUAUGAAUGUUAAGUAGACCUUGAAUGAGAAUUUUGGAAACUCAUUCAUAAAGGAAUGACUCACGUAUUGUUCUUAUUCAAAAGAGAAAGUUGCAUUGUAAUACAUGGAAGGUAAUACUUGUUCUUAGAGGACUUACUGACAUGAUUUAUGUGCUUUAAAUUCUUUUGAUUAAGUAUAAGGAUUUAGGGAAAAAUAUGUUAUGUAUUAAUUUAAUUAAUACAUAUUAAGUAAUUUUUAUGGGCUAAGUGGGAGAAAUGUUGGAAACCGUUUUGCAUUUUUAAUAAAAUAAAAAUAUUUUAAAUUGUGGCCCAUUUAAAUAUUAUUUUCCCUAAAAUAAAUGAAACGUGGGGGCACAUCUCUUAUGGAGUAACCACCCAUGUCUACAGACGUGAGACAUAUUACUCGGUUGAAAACUACCCGAAGUCUUCUUUGAUGGGAAGAAGAGAAAAUAAAUAGAUAGAUACAGGAUUAAUUCCAAAAGAGGGAAAAAGAGUCUCUGAUCUACAAGAAUAAGUCUAUGAGUUCCAUCGGUGCAUGGACAUAAGGUCUUGUAAGGACUAGCCAACUAAUCCCUAUUUUGUGUGAAUUUGAUUGCCAUGGCUGGAGGUAUGAUCUUGGAUUUUCAUUUUAUUACUUGUAAUUAUCAGAGAUAUUUAUCUAACAUUUAAGAGUUAAGCAUGAUCACAUUGUGAUUUAUUAUGAUAAUGGGAGUGCCCUACAUUUAUUUAAGAAUAAAGUUCAUCACUCAUUGGUAAGGCAUAUUGAUGUCUAAUUUCAUUUUAUUUAAGAGAUUCUAGAAGAAAGUCAUAUCUUGUUUUAGAAAGAUUGCUAAUGUUAAUGAGGUAGGUCAUAUUUUAAGAAAGAUUUUUCCUAAAGUCAAGUUUAGCCAUUGUUUAAAUGUGAUCCAUGUAGAAAGGAUCAAUGUACCUUUAGGUGUGUAGUAGCAAAAUCCUUAAAGAUUGUUUGGUUAGCUUCAUUUACAUUACUUAGUUAAAUAUUACAUAGUCAAUUACAUAGUCCUUUAUUAUUAUUUUUCAUUCUUAGUUGGUUUUUGUCUUGAAUUUAGAGUGAAGAAGAUGUAAUCAAUGAGUAGGGAAAGAGGAACAAAAAUGAAAAUAACAUUAGAACUAGGAAUUGGAGAAGAGGAAGAAGAUGAGGACAUUUCUAGCAAUGUUGCAUGUCAAUUUUUUGUUUAAUGAUUUCCUUAUAAUAGUUUUCAUAUUUCAUUAUCUCUCUCUAAACUAAACAACAUAUUUCUUAAAUAUUUUGAAUUCUUAUUUAUUUUUAAACUCUUUCAUUCUCUACCCUUUCACCAUUUUCACAUACCUAAAAUUUGCUCUCAAUUUAUUUCAAUAAUGUUGACAUAAAAGUAAAUAGCUAAAAUAGAUAAGUUAACCUUCAACCUAUUUUUUAUUUAUUUAUUUAUUUACAAACCAAAAUCUAGUAUUUUUGUUUAGAAACUAAAAUUGAACAAAAAUGUAUAAACUAAGAGAAAGAAAAAGUAAAAACUAGAGACUUGUAAUUAUAUAAAUGUUAAGAUUUCAAGUUAGUAAUUUAUGUUAGUAUUUGUAUUUUUUUCUUUUUUUUUUCUUGAUUUUUAUAUACCAUUUUAAUUAAUAUUUUCAAUUUUGUGAUUGAAGUCUCAAAUUUUUUAAUUUGUGUUAUGCUUAUUUUAUUGUUUCCAUGUUAAAAACCAAUGUGCAAUUAGUAUGACAUGUACACUUAUUAUUUCGAAGUGUAAUGUUGAUAUCUUAUUUUGUAAAGCCCAUGGCGAUCAAUCAUUGUCUCUCAUGUGUCUCAUUGAUGAUGUGUGAGUUUGACUAAUUAUUUAGCAUCAUGCCUCAAAGAUUAAUGUUACAUAUCGAAGACAUCUCUCUAAUAAACAUGACAUUCAAUACACUUUUCUUGGCCUUAAUCUUUGAUACAUGAUAGGUCCAUGUUCUACCUUCAUAUCUCCUAUGCCAUAGUGCUACAUUAUUUGAAAAUGAAUAUUUAUCUUCAAUAAGACCCUAAGUCACAUGGAUGCCUAUGAAGCAUGGAUGUUGCCCAUAGUGAAUGCCAGGGAGGGGGGUAAAGGUGUUUCUUACUCUAUUCUUCCUUAAGAUGGUAUCAUGUGCUUCUGAUAAUUGUUUUAUUCUUAUUCUAGAAAAUACAUGCUUCCUAAAAACUAAUAGUUUUUAUUGGUUUAUGAUCUUUUAUACCUCCUUCUAAUGUGUCAGCCUUACCAUAAUGCCUUGAUGUUAAUAAAUCUACCUAGUUCAUGAGCAAAGCUCAAGGUUUUGGAAUGGACUUUGUGUCCUUAGUGGUAAAUCUAGUUUCCCUACCCAUUAGCAUUUCAAGAUUAGUUUGAGCAUCUUGGUUUAGCAAUUAGAUCUUAUACUUACCAAGGUUGGAUUAACACACAUUGAUCUCAUUUUAGCUUAAAUGAAAGAGGUGACAAGUGUGUCUUCAUUAUAGGUGUCAUAUGAAGAAGUUUGUAUAUCCUUAUAGAAUAACUAAUAUUCAAAAUACUAUUUUAGAGCAUCAAUAAAAACUUCAUUUCUAUCCAAAUGAAAAAAAGAAGUGAUAUUGUUGUUCUCCUUGAUCUUACUGCCACCAUCUCUACCCAAUCAUCUACUCUCACUUUGUUUUGCUCUCAUUUUAAACUCUUGGGACAUUUAAAACUUUUAAGUUUUAGUUGUAAACUUAUAGAUACUUUUUUAGGAAAAAAAAAAUGGAAGUGAGAUCUAAGAUUUUGUUUUGAGAAAAGUAUUGAAAAAGCCCCAGGCUUAGAAACUUUUAUUUGCCUAUGUCUAAUAUGAACUUUUGAAUGAAAAAAACAAUGUUAUAUAAUUUAAUACUUGAAAGGAGUUAGAAGGUUUUUUCUAAUUUUGGAGCAUGAUGUACAUUAUGAGCCUAAAUCAUGACAACUUAAGUUGUUAGGAAGAUCAGUUGCUUAACAUGCCAAUAGUGUCUUGUUUAGUGGGGGGUUGUGUGUUUGAAUCUCACCUCAUUAUUUCCAUGAUUUACUAAAAUGAGGUUAGUUGCAUAGGAAAAUUUUUCUCUUCAUACGUGGGUAUGGGGUUGCAGUGAAAGAGAGUGUUAAAGAAUGGGAUCAAAUCUUAAUAGUUUAAGCUUUUAGAAAAAUCAAAAGUUCAAUAUGGCAUUAGAGUCUUAUUUAUUCGAAGGUUAUUAGUUUGGACCUAAAGACAUUAUUUCCCUAAUUUAUUGAGUAAAAAAAAGGCUAGAUAUGAGGUUGCUAAUGAGAAGUUAAUAGGGGUCCUGAGUCCAAGUCCUUCCCUCAUUAUUUAUCUAUCUAAUUAUUUAUGACCAUAAAGUGCUCCCCAUGAUAGGUAUGGGCUCACAUAUGAGGAGAGGAGGGGUGUUGGACCAUUAUAUAUGUUAUGUGCUCAAAUUCUAACAACUUAAUUAAGCUUUUAGGAAAAUUUAUUAUUUAACAUUAAUAUUGUUUUGUAAUCAAAGUAAAAUCUGUUGAGGAGAAGAAAAAUGGUAUUCUUCUAUAUAUUGAAAGAUACAGCAGAUGAGGGUUAUAUAUAACCUGUACAUGAAGUUAAUUUGGAAGAAACUAAUCACACUAAUCUAGGCUACAAUCUUGGAUGAUUUACAAUCAAAUAAAACUAACUUGGUAACUAGAAUAUUUUUAUUUCUAUAAUUGCUCCUUCAACAACUCACGUCAAUACUCCCCCUCAAGUUGGUGCAUAGAUAUCAUCAAUGCCCAAUUUGUCAAGUGAGUUGUGAAAUAUUUUGCUAGAGACAGCCUUUGUAAGAAUAUUUGCUAGUUGAUCUUCUGACUUCACAAAAGGAAAUUGAAUGACCUUGUCUUCGAGCUUCUGCUUGAUAAAAUGUCGAUCCACUUCAACAUGUUUGGUGCGGUCAUGUUGAACUGGGUUAUGCGCGAUUGCUAUGGCUGCCUUAUUAUCACAAAACAAGUUCAUUGUAUUCUGAGAUGAACACUUAAUUUCCUCUAAUAAUCUUUUUAACCAAAGUAGCUCACACAAUCCUUUAGUCAUGCCUCUAAACUCAGCCUCUGCACUAGAUAAAGCAACUACCUUAUGUUUUUUACUCCUCCAAGUGACCAGAUUGCCUCCCACAAAUGUGAAGUAGCCCGAUGUGGAUUUUCUAUCAGUAAUGUUCCAUGCCCAGUCUGCGUCCGUAUAACCGUCAAUGUGCAGAUGUUGGUUUUUCGUGAACAUCAGUCCUCUUCUUGGAGAAGACUUCAAGUACCGUAAAAUACGAACCACUGCACUCAUAUGAUCUUCGCUAGGACAAUGCAUGAAUUGACUCACCAAGCUCACCGCAUAAGCAAUAUCAGGUCGUGUGUGAGAUAAGUAUAUCAGCUUUCCCACAAGGCGUUGAUACCUUUCUUUAUUGGUAGGGGUCUGGUUAGGAAAUUCUCCCAAGCCAUGGUUUUGAACAACUGGUGUAUCAGCAGGUCUACAAUCAAGCAUUCCUAUUUCAGACAACAAGUCAAGCACGUACUUCCUUUGGGAUAGAAAUAUGCCUUGUUUUGAUCGAGCUACUUCAAUCCCCAAAAAAUACUUCAACCCUCCAAGAUUUUUCAUCUCAAAUUCAAUUGCUAAAUGCUCUUGUAAUUUAGAGAUUUCUUCCUCGUCAUUUCUUGUAAUUAUCAUAUCAUCAACAUAGAUUAUUAGAGUUGUUACCUUCCCCCGUUGGUGCUUUAAGAAGAGAGUAUGAUCUAAAUUACUUUGCUUGAAACCGUGCUUUCUCAUGGCAAGGCUAAAUCGUCCAAACCAUGCUCUAGAAGACUGUUUCAAUCCGUAUAAUGCCUUUUGUAACUUGCAAACAUCCUUCCCCUGUGUCGAAGAAACAAAACCCGGUGGAAUGUCCAUGUACACCUCCUUUUUAAGAUCCCUAUGGAGAAAGGCAUUUUUGACGUCAAAUUGGUGCAAUGGCCAGUCCAAGUUUGCAGCAAGAGAGAUUAGUACUCUCACAGUAUUUAAUUUUGCUAUAGGUGAAAAAGUUUCUUGAUAAUCUACCCCAUAUGUCUGAGUAUAUCCCUUCGCAACGAGCCUUGCUUUAUAUCUUUCAACUGAUCCAUCUACUUUGUGUUUGAUAGAGAACACCCAUCGACAUCCCACAGUUUUCUUUCCCUUAGGCAAUGGCACAAGCGCCCAAGUAUCAUUUUUUUGUAAUGCUUUCAUCUCUUCCUCUAUCACUUGGAUCCAUUUGGGAUUAUUCAUGGCUUCACUCACUGUAUCAGGAACACUAUCUGCAGAUAAUUUAUGAACCAAUGCCUUGAGAGGUUCAGACAAUUUUUGAGUUGAGAUAUGGUUGGCAAUUGGGUACUUUGACUUGCUCGUUCCAUGAUCGGGUGAAUAGCGGUUUGGUGGUUGCCCGCGGUUAUGCCUGAAAGGUAGUUUAUAGCCAGAAAAAAUAUUGUGAGGAGAGUUUAGAACUUGUACCUCAGGAAUAUUCUCAAGAGAUUGGUCUAAUUGUGGUACUGUCAAGUCAUGGAAGGGUUGUUCACUUUCAAUUUCCCUAACUUCUCCAUUUUGAUAUACUCUUGUUGGUUGUUGUUCGAUCUCUGCUUCGACAUGCUCAACAUUUUCAACUUCUCCUCUUUGAUCUAUCAGUAUUGCCAUUGGUUCUCUUGGCUGAACCUCCCUUAUAUCAUUUGAAGUUUCUUCGAAGCCUGGCCAAUUUUCCCAAUUCUGCUCUUCACUCGUCAUCUCCCCCUGAAGAGAGAAGUGGGAAGAUUGAGAAGUGAAGAAAUUCUCCUAUUCAAUAAAGGUGACAUCCAUGGUGGUAUAGAGUCGCCUUGUAGCUGGAUCAUAACAUCGGUAUCCUUUCUUGUGAGUUGCAUAGCCAAGAAAAACACAAUGGACAGCACAUGGAUCAAGCUUUGUCCGUUGAUUCUUGUGUAGAUGAACAUAUGUAACACAACCAAACUUUCUUGGAGGAAGCAUUAGAACUGAUGGUAAUGUCACAUGUUGUGCGAGAACUUGAAGAGGGGUUUUGUAGUGCAAAACUCGUGAUGGCAAUCGAUUCAUUAAGUAUACAGCAGUCAUUAUUGCAUCUAGCCAAAAUCGUUUAGGAACAUAAGCAGCAGUCAAGAAAGCUCGAGUGAUUUCCAAGAUAUGUCUAUUCUUGCGCUCUGCAACACCGUUCUGUUGCGGUGUUUGAGAACAAGAUGUCUCAUGAUGCAAACCAUGUUCCUGAAAGUAUCUGUGAAAUUGUGCAUUAUCAUAUUCCCCACCAUUAUCAGAUCAAAGAAUUUGAAGUUUAGCAGAAAAUUGUGUUCGAAUCAUAUUAUGAAAUGAUCGAAAUAUUUCAAACACUUCAUGUUUAUUUUUCAUCACAUAAAGCCAAGUCAUUCGUGUACAAUCAUCGACAAAGGUUACAAACCAACGAACACUAGAAGAAAUAGUAAUAGGAGCAGGGCCCCAAACGUCAGAAUGAACAAUCAAAAAAUGAGUGUCACAUUUAUUCAAACUGAUUGAAUAAGGUACCUGAUGACUCUUAGCCUGAAUACAAGCUUCACACUUAAAAUCUGACUCAUUAAACUUCGUAAAUAAAUCUAGAAAUAAACAUCUCAAAUACCGAAAUGAGGGAUGCCCCAACCGAUUAUGCCAUAACCAUAUCUGUCUUUCCUUAACUCCAGCAGAAUGCAUAUUAUUUGCUCGACCAUAACUAAAAUCAUCCAUGUAAUACAACCCUUCCCUUUUAGUACCACGACCAAUAAUCUCCUUGGUGAGAAUAUCCUUAAACAAACAAAAGUUAGGGUACAUUAGAGCAUAACAAUUCAAUUCCUCAGUCACUUGUCCAAUAGAUAACAAUUAAUUGGAAAGUGAUGGAACUAGUAAGGUAUUUGGUAAUGUAAAAGAAGGAGAAAGAGCCACUGUUCCAACCCCUGUUACUGGAUAUGUUACUCCAUUAGCAUUGGCAAUGCAUAUUCGUUUUGGUUGGGUGGCUUUAGAGAAGUCACAAGGGUCAAAGGUCAUGUGGUCUGUUGCCCCAAAGUCAAUGAUCCAGCCAUCAUGGUUCCCCGUUUUCGAGCAAGAAAAAACAUAACCUUGGUUACCUGAGUCAUUCUGAGCAAUCUGUUCACUAGUGGAGAUAGAAUAUUCUUGUUGUGGUACGAGAGAUAGUUGAGGCUCUACGCUCAUAAGAGCUGCACAACCAAGAUUGUCGCCUCCACUUGCUUCACGCUUUUUCUUUGCCUUGAGUUCAUGCCACCAAUCUGGAUAACCAUGUAGUUUGAAGCAUGUUUCUUUGGUGUGUUUUGUAUUCCCACAAUGUGUGCAGCCUCCUCCUUCCCCUUUUGGUUUUGUGGUUGUGUUAGGCUUUCCAUUUGAUGGCGUUUGAAAAGAUAAUUGGUGUUGAGGUUUAUGUUCUCCUCUUGAAAGCAUAGCACCACCAGAUAUGGUAUCUUCAUUCAUCAUCAUUACGGAUUGCCUCAAAUCCUCUAUUCAAACUUGCGCAUAAGCUUGUUCCACUGUUGGGAAUGGUUGUAUCUACAGCACAUCUGCUCAGAUCUUGUCAAGCCGAUCAUCAAGUCCGUCUACGAAAGUGUAGACUCUAUCCUCCUAUAAAAUAGAGUUAUAUUUUUGUAUAUUAAUAUCACAUUCCAUAGGAUUUGGUCAACGAAAGUCGAUUUCCCUCCACAAGCCUUGCAGAUUGUUGUAGUGUGUCUCGAUAGAUCCUCCUUCUUGUUUGAAUCUGGUUACUCUUCUUUUGAGAUCAUAUACUUGUGAUGUAUCAGUGCCAUCAAAGUACGUAAUAGCAAUAUUAUCCCAAACAGCCUUAGCCAUUGAGAAUUUGAUAAAGUUACUGACUAACUUUGGAUCCAUAGAAUUGAUUAGCCAUCCCUUCACCACUGCGUUUUCGGUUCUCCAUUUUCUGAAUGCAGGAUCUGUUUGCAGGGGCUGUGGAAAAUCUCCAUUUAUGUAUCCCAACUUGUCUUUACCUGAGAUAUACAUCUCGACAAUUUGGGACCAUAGUGCAUAAUUGGUACCAUCUAACUUGAUUCCAAUCUGUGUAGCAGGUUCAUGACUUGUGAUAUGGUUCUGAGUUUGGUUGUGGUUCAGUACUUGUGUCAUUCUUGUCAUAAGAUCUGCGAGAAUUGAACUCUCCCCUUCGUGUUUUUCCACCCUAAUAGGAGGUGUUUCCAUUUUCCUCUUUCUGUUUUUUUUUUUUUUCUGAAAUUCUAUGGCCCUAGAAUCUCUGCUCUGAUACCAUGUUGAAGAGAAGAAAAAUGGUAUUCUUCUAUAUAUUGAAAGAUACAGCAGAUGAGGGCUAUAUAUAACCUAUACAUGAAGUUAAUUUGGAAGAAACUAAUCACACUAAUCUAGGCUACAAUCUUGGAUGAUUUACAAUAAAAUAAAACUAACUUGGUAACUAGAAUAUUUUUAUUUCUAUAAUUGCUCAUUCAACAACUCACGUCAAUAAAAUCAACCCUAGUUAUUCAACAUAAUAAAAAACAUUAGUUUCCUUAUUGAAAAUGGUAAGGACUAAGUAAAUUGAUAUAAAAUAGAAUGCUUUAUAGUUUAUGAGGUGAAGUAUUAGCACUAUAAAGUUAAGUAACUAAUUUGCUAAAAUUACUAGCUAAAACUUGAAAAAUCUUAUCUAAGUGAAAAAUAAAAUAAAAUAAAACUCUUUAUUUUACAUAAUAGCAUAUCUAUAUCCCCUUAAAUUAUGAAAUUCAUGUUGUUUUUUCAACAAAAAAAAAAAAGAUAGAAAAAGAAAAAGAAAAAACCUAGAAAUGCCUACUCAAAAAGAAUAGAUUGAUACACUCCCUAACCAUAAAAUUGAGUUGUAAAUAUAAAUUAUAGUUCAUCCAAGUCUAUAUGCGACUUUUAGAAAUCAAUAGCUAGUUUCAUUUACACCAUUGGUUCGCAUUUUUUUAUUCCAUUGAAAAGAAAGCAAUAAAAAUGAAUUGAGACAAAAAUGAUAAUACAAUCCAUAAAACAUCAAUAGAUUUGUAAACUCAUUAUAAAGUUCAUAAAUUUUUAGAUAAAAAGAAAAACAAUAUAAAGAGGAAAAAAAAUUAGGAACUAUCAAGUUCAAAAAUAGAAUUUAUGGUAAAAAAUAAAAAAUAAAAAGAUAUAACAAACAACAUUUUAAAGUAAGGGUACAAUAGUUAUUAAAAAGAAUCUCAAUAAAAGUUUUCUAAAAAUUGAAAAGAGAGAGAAAAAGUUUUUGGUAUGCUUUUAUGGUUUAGGGGGUAAAAGUUCAUAAUACUCGUCAUUUUAUCAUCUUUAUAGGAAAAAAAAAUUAGACUCAACUUUAUCACAACUCAUAUGAGUUAAAAAUCUCUUGAAUGUAUUUUCUCUCAAGUUUCUAAUGGAUACCCCUUUAUCAAAGGUAUGGACAUUGAGCUAAAUUCACCAUUAAAAUUCAUCAAGUUCCUUUUUUCCUUUUCCUAAUUCAUCAAGCUAUAUUUAUGAAAUAUCCUAAUUAUUCACUUGUAAUAUCAUAUUGUCAACAAAUCCCUUAACAGAUCUACACCUAUCACUAGUUAAUAGAUAAAAUAACUUAAUAAUUAGUUUUAAGUUUUAAGGACUUUACAAGACAAGCCAAGAACCUCAGAUUGCUUGCACACAAUUGACAAAUUGAUUUGUUUUAAAAAGUCAAAUGCUAAAGAAAAUCCACAACACAUAUUGUUUUAAAAAUAUUUGUAUUUAUAUGACAAAAAAAAAAAAAAAACCAAUAGUUUAAAUUGGAAAAGUUUAUGCAAAUUAGAUGAGGAAAAUGCAAGCCAUAAAAUAACAUUAAACUGUUAUCAUUCUCUAAGAAACAUCAAGAACAUAUUGAGAGAACCAUUGCUUGACAUAAUAAAUUGGUCUUGAAAGGAAAAGAAAAUCAUCAAAGCAAUUAUAUUUGUGAUGCAUUCCUAUUUGCAAUAGGUUCCAAUAUUUGAAGCUCACAAAUUCUUCACAUUUGGAUGAACCUUUUUAUUGCAAACAUAGAUCAACCUUGUGGUGCUUACCAAUGGGAAAACAAUUAUAGUAAGAUAUGUAUUGCAAAUGGUGCAUGCUUGCUGUAAAAAUAAAAAAUAAACAAUGAUGAUUGGAUAAGGGAUAGAAAUGGAACAAAAGACAUUGAAUUGUUAUAUGAAUUAAUAUAUUUUAUGUACUCAAAUACAAAAGCAUAUUAUAAUAAUAUUCAUAAGGCAAAAACCACUAUUUUUUUUAUUGGGAAACCCAUAUGAGAACAUGGCAUGGGGCUCAUCAUUGCACACACCACAUUCUCCACAAAAAACCAUAGGACUAACACCAUGAAAACCCAUCAUUGGCACCAUCCUCUUGACUCUCAAUCCCUUAACCCUACACAUUUUCAAACCAAUGUCAUCAACCACUCAUAUCACACAACUCAUAACCCAUCUCUAAUUCCACAACUUUCACCACUGUUGUACUACCAUUCACAUCAUCUCUAUCUCUAAAAACCUACACUCACACCUCUACAAAAUGUCACACUUCCUCACCUUAUACAACACCACCGCCUUAUUAAUUCAUCCAUGCCUAUGGCUAACAUAAAAAAACCCACCAGCACCCUCAUAAAAAAACAAUACUAUUUCAAAGUUACACCACAUUAAUGUCACCAUGCACCUUUCCCUCCAUUGAAUAUCCCAUACAAUCUCUCAUUAUCACCCUCGUCAAAUUCGCAAUGUCUCUCCUAAAUCCUGUAUGACUCUUAGUUUUACCAUUUAUUAGGUUAGCGUCCUCUAGUUCUAAUCGCAACCACUCUAACUUCCAAAGAAAUAAAAUGAUAAAUGAGCAAGUCAUGGAGAUUUCUCUUCCUUACAACCUUUUGCUCCAAGUGUUUUGGUACCCUACUAUUUGCACAUAUAUGUCUUGACAUUAACUUCUACUCAAAUAUAAUCUCUUCUUGUUUUCAUGCUUACCUAUUUUAUACAUCUUUUUUUGUAGAUUUUUUAAUUAUUUAACAUCUUAAGGUUUGCUUUGGUCAUGUUGUAUUGUUUACUUUGCACACUAACCAAAUGUCAAGGCCCUUUUACAUACAACUGGUUCUACCUUAGUCUUUGCAAUACCUUCCUAAGGUAGACCAAGUGAUCUUGUAGAGUGUAGUUGUAGAUCACUAUAUCGUCCAAAUAAUACACCACAAACGAGUCUAGGAAGUCAAAUAAGAUGUUGUUUAUGAGGUUGCAGAAAGCGGCAAGGGCAUUAAUCAACCCGCAAUGCAUGACCAAGAAUUCAUAGCUACCAUACCAAGUCAAACAAGUUGUCUUUGCAUCAUCUCUUUAAGCAAUGAAAACCUGUCAAUACCCUAAUCAUAGGUUUAUCUUGGUAAAAUACUCCACUUCACAAAUUGAAGAAGUUUGUGUGUGUGUGUGUGUGUUUGUAUAUAUAUAUAUAUUAUGCCAUAGCUUUACAUGCCAUCUACUUGUCUCCAUUUCAACAUUUGAUCAUCACCCAUGGAUGCAUUAUUCUAACUAAAUCCACUUCUCCUUCUUUCAUCCUCUUUCCAUUUUGCAUUAGAAUUAAUCCAAUUAACACCACAUAUUGCUUCUCCGUUACCCCACAUUGGUAUAUAUGCAAUGAACUUUUUGGUUUUAGCUCCAAUGUUUUAGCUACAAUUAGGGCCAACUUUAUAUUAUUAUGUACCUCAAAAUUAAGCAUUGAAUAAUGCACCCUACUCAUCUCCAUUUGGUUCAAAUGGCUUGUUGUUGUUCAAAUUCAUAGUCUCUUCAAUAUCUUGUAGUUUUCAUGAAUUCCAUUUGGAAGACCAAACUACACAUGUAUUUUACAAAUAGUAAGCCUGAAUUUACAACCAACGAUCUAACAACUACACAAAGAUUUAUAAUUUCAAUAAAAUCACACAAUAUUUAUGCCACCUAAUUCAAUAUUUUGAGCACCAGGGAGUGAGAAUUAAUGGUAUUAGAAUAUUUAGGUAUCUUGCAGUAUGGUUACAAGUUAGUUAAAUAAUUGUUAGCUUGUUAAAUAAUCGUUAGUUGCUUUUUCUAUUUUUUUUUUUUUUGUUUGCAACUGGUAAACUAGUAGGUUGUGAUAGCUUUUUUACCAAUCUUUAUUAUAAAGGCUUUCUUUGUAUUACUAAAACAUCAAGUGAGAAUAUUCUAAAAUUAUCAGAGAACUCAUUUUCUCUUCUUUCCUUUCUCUAGUCAAUUUUCUAAUAUGGUAUUAGAGUCAUUUCUUUUGUCUCUGUGACUUCUCUAACUUUCCCCUCCCAUUUAUCUAAUGGCUUGCGGUGGUGGCAAUGUUAAUGCCAAUCGAGCAGUAGUUAGUACUCCUAAUUCCUCUAUAAUGGAAUAUUCGAGCAGUCCAUUUUUCAUCCAUAGUAAAUAUCACCAAGGCUUGGUUCUUGUCUCAUAUCAACUUACUGGAGCUAACUAUAAUUCCUAGAGUAGAUCUAAGCACAUGGCUCUUAUAGCUAAGAACAAGAUCAGCUUGGUUGAUGACGCUUUUCUUCAACCUCCAACAGACAAUCUCAUUUCCUUUGUUUGAAUCCAUUGUGAUAGUAUGGUUACAUUUUAGAUCUUGAACUCUAUUUUUAAAGAUAUUGUUGAUAGUCUUCUCUAUGCUAAUAGCACUUUUAAUGCUUGGGUUGAUCUUUAUGAUUGAUUCCACCAAAGCAAUGUCCCACAAAUCUUCUAAAUCAAGAAGCACGUAGUUGUUCUUGAGCAAAGAUCUAUGGAUGUCAACACAUACUACACUAAGCUCAAGGUCCUCUAGGAUGAGCUCAAAAAUUAUCAACCCAUUCUUGUCUAUCACUAUGGAGGCACAAAGUCUUGGUUAGACACCAACAAUAGGAGUACAUCAUGCAAUUUCUUAUGGGUUUGAUUGAGUCAAAUGCUCAAACUUGAACACAGAUCUUAAUGAUGUCUUUGCAUUAGUUGUUCAAGAAGAAUGCCAAUGUACUAUCAAUUAAGGCUUUUUUUUACUUACCGAUUCUCUUAUUCCCAACAUUUCAAAUUCCUUUACUUUUGUUGCAACAACAAAUUUUUCUCGAAAUUCAACUUUAAAACCUAAGCGUGAGUGACCCUAAUGUUCCCAUUGUGGCUUGCAAGGACAUAUUGUAAAUAAAUGCUAUUAGUUACAUGGCUAUCAUCCUGGCUAUAAGUCAAAAUCAAAGAAACCUGAAGUAAAAAAUUCAAGCCACCUAGGCCAAUGCAACUAUUAAUGAGACUAUUAACUUUGAUUCAUCCCUUGGAUCUCUUACUUUAGCUCAGUGUCAUCAAUUGCUUGCAUUCUUGAGCUCUCAACUUCAUACCAACUUUCUUAUUAUGCUAGAAUCUCAAUAGCUAGAACCCUUUGUUUCCCAGUUCAAUGGUAUACUAUCUUUUUCUUCUAUAUCAUAAUUUUCCAAUUUCUUUUUCCAUCUGGAUUUUGGACAUAGAAGUCGCACAUCAUGUUUGUUGUUACUUAAGCACAUUUACACAAUCUACUCCAGCACAAAAUUCUUUUGUAACUUUGCCUAAUAGUCAAUCUGUUGUUAUUAAUCGUAUUGGUUAUGUAUUUUUGUCUCCUGAUCUCAUCCUUAAUAAUGUCAUGUUUGUUCCUAAUUUCCAUUUCAAUCUUCUCUCUAUUAGUUCUCUCACUCAGAGUUAUAAAUCUUCUAUUAAUUUUAUGGUUGAUUCUUGUACUAAAGGCCAUACAUGGACCAAAACGAUUGGGAUGAGUAGAAGACAUGGCAGCCUAUACUUCUUAAAUAUAGUCAAUUUUCAUGCCACUACACCACAAAUUUUCAGUCCUUGUAAUAAUGUUUCUUUGUCUCAAAAUGAAAUUUGGCUUUACUGUUUAGGUCACCUUUCUUAUGUAACGUUACAAACACUCAAAGAUGAAAUAGAAGUUAAACCAAAUUUUGGUGAUUCAAGUCAUUGUUUAGUUUUGCAUUUAGUCAAACAAUGCAAAUUACAUUUAUUUCUCACAAUUAUUUGUCUGUUUUGCCUUUUCAACUCAUACAUUGUGAUGUUUAGGGUCUCCUUCACACAUUUACCAUUGAAGGUUAUAGAUAUUUUUUACUAUUGUUAAUGAUUGUACUCAUUUUAUUUGGGUGUAUCUUUUGCGUGCUAAGCCUGAUGUUACCGAAGUUAUUCCUAAUUUUUUUUUUCUCAUUGAUUCAAACUCAGUUUAGAACACAAAUAAAAUUAGUUCACUCAGAUAAUGCUCCUGAAUUGGCAUUUUUUUUACUUCUUUCAUUCAAAAUGAGUCAUCUCAUUUCAUUCUUGUGUUGAUUAGCCUCAACGGAAUUCAAUAGCAGAAAGAAAGCAUCAACAUAUCUUAAAUGUUGUAUGGUAUUUAUGUUUCCAAUCGCAUAUUCCAUUGGUUUAUUAGGGGGAUUGCAUUCUUAUUAUUGUACACUUAAUAAAUAAAACUCCAUUCCCACUUUUGUCCAACAAAACAACAUUUGAACUUCUUUGGAAAAAGAAGCUUGCAUAUUCACAUCUUCGUAAUUUUGGUUGCCUAUGUUAUGCAUCUACUUUAGAUCGUCAUAGGACAAAUUUCUCACCUCAUGUCAUUCCUUUUGUCUUUCUUAGGUACCCACCUGGUUAUAAAGAAUACAAAUUAUUGAAUCUAGUCACUAAUUCUGUGUUUAUCUCCCAUAAUGUGGUAUUUCAUGAGUCUAUAUUUUCUUUCAAAACUACUCAAACUUAUUCUCCUCUUCCAGAUAUUUUCUCCGGCUAUUGGGUGCAAAUAGGUGUACAAAAAUAAGUAUAGAGUUGAUGGAACUAUUGAACAAUACAAAGCUCACCUUGUAGCUAAAGGCUGCACACAACAAGAGGGCAUAGACUAUCUAGGUACCUUCUCUCAUGUUGUCAAAUUGGUUACUGUUAAGGUUUUGCUUGCUUUGGCUACCAUUAAUGGUUGGAGUCUUCCUUAGUUGGAUGUCAAUAAUGCGUUCUUACAUGGUGAUCUUUUUAAGGAAGUUUAUAUGACUAUGCCUCCUAGUUAUCACUUAAAGGAAAAUCAUUAUCCUCACACUCUGUUUACAAAAUUCAGAAGUCCUUGUAUGGCUUGAAACAAGCAUCACGACAAUGGUUUUCCAAACUCUCCAAUUUCUUACUUGUUAAAGGUUUUUAAACAUUCUAAUGCAAAUCACUCUCUUUUUGUCAAAGUUGUUAGUACUUACUUCAUUGCUCUAUUAGUUUAUGUGGAUGACAUUGUCAUUGUUAGUAAUAGUGAUGAGCAAGUUGAGAAAUUAAAAGUUCUAUUUAGGAAAGCUUAAAUACUUCUAGGGCCUUGAGGUGGUGAGGUUUAAUAAGGGAAUUUCCCUUAGUUAGCACCAUUAUGCCUUACAAUUACUAUCAGAUGUAGGCUAUGUUGGUUGUAAAACAAGGAAAACACUUAUAAAUCCAUAGAAGAUCUUUUAUUUUACGGAAGAAUGAUAGGCAAAUUGGUUUAUCUAACCAUAGCAAACCCAGAUUUAUCAUUUUCAGUACAUAAAUUCAAUCAAUUUCUUGCAAAGCCUAGAGUUCUUCAUAUGUGGGCAAUACAACAUGUGCUUCAGUACUUGAAAGCAUGGUUUGAAAUAUUGGUAAACACGGAUAUAUCGAUACUUGGAUUUUAUGGAUAUAUUGGAAAUAUUGGUAAAAUAUCGGUAAAUAUUAAUAAAAUAUCGGUAAAUAUUGGUAAAAUAUCGGUGGAUAUUUUGACAAAAAUAUUAGUGAAACAAAAAUUAUUCAAAAUUCAUGGAAAUGUUUGGAAAACUCUAAAAAAAAAAUGAUAAAAUAAGCAAGAAUACAUAUGUUAAAGUUAUUGUAAGUGGAAUUGACAUAAGUAUGGUCAAUGAGAAAAAUAUUGAGGGAUAUAUCAGUCUUAAUAAUUUAUUAUUUAUCUUAUCAAAUUAAUUUUAUUUUAUAAAAUAUUAGAAGUUCAUUAUUUUUUUAUUUUAGUAAUUUUUUGAAUAAAUUUAUAUUUUUAAUAUUUUUAAAAUAAAAAAAUUCAAAAUCAAUAAAAUUAAAAGGAUAAACAUAAAAAAAAAAAAAAGUGAAAUGAUAGUAAUUUCUAAAAAUAAGAUUAAUGAGAUAAAUGAUGAUACAUUUAAUAUUAAAACUAUAAUUUAUUUAAUUCAAAUACAUUCAACAAUGUAAAAUAAAUUAUGAUGCAUAUAUAAUUUUUUUUAUAUUUAUAUUUAUUUUUAUAUAAUUGUCAUAUAAAUGAUAUAAAAUAAAAUAAAAUAAAAGACUUAUUAAGAAAAUUAUAAUGAUGGUUUUAUACUUUUAUCAAUUAAUUAAAUUAAAUAAUUAGAAUUAAUUUAUUUAUUCUUUUAAUGAUGAAUUUUAACAUAUUUAUUGUGAACAUAUAUUUACAUAUGUGGACUUGGCCCAAUAGUAGCCAGGCUUCACCCAAGCCUUUUGGCCUGGGUUUGAAUCCCCUUGGAUGCAAUAGAAAAAAAUUUGAAGGAAUUUACACGAAUAUCGGCAUCUUUUCGAUAAAGUCGAUUGACUUUCAGUGUGCAAUAUCAUGUCAACUCUCCUUGAUAUUUUGACGAUUGACUUUCAGUGUGGAAUAUCUUGUUAGCUCUCCCUAAUAAGCAAAAUAUCGACAAUAUUUCACCAAAAUUUUGCAACAUUUCAAUGUGGAAUAUCAUGUUGACUCUCCCCAAUAUUUCAACAAUUGACUUUCAGUGUGAAAUAUUGUGUUAGCUCUCCCUGAUAAGCAAAAUAUCGACAAUAUUUCACCAAAAUUUUACAACAUUUCAAACCGUGCUUGAAAGUUAUGCAGGACAAGGUUUAUUUUAUUUUAUUUAUUUAUUUUUUUCAUUAAUAGAGUUGAAAGGGUUUGUUGAUUCAAAUUGGGCAACUUGUGUGGUCUGUUAGUGGGUUUUGCUUUUUUUUUUUUUUUUUUUUUAAUUAUUGGUGAUUCCUUAAUUUCCCAGAAAUAAAAAGGCAGCAUAUAGUUUCAAGAUCUUUUGUUGAAGUUGAGGACAGAUUUAUGGCAAAUGCAACAUGUGAAUUGAUGUGAUUACUUUCUUUAUUUAGAGAUUUGCAUGUAUCUCAUCCUAAGCCUGCCUUGCUAUUUUGCAACAAUCAAGCAACUCUUUAUAUUGUAGCUAAUCCAAUUUUUCACAAGCACACUAAGCACAUUGAGAUCGAUUAUCACUUGGUUAGAAAGAAACUGUAAAAUGGAAGCUUGAAGACACUACAUAUUUCAUUUAAACAUCAAGUGGGGGACUUGUUGACCAAACCUUUUUCUUCACCUCAAUUUCAUUUUCUUCUUAGUAAAAUGGGAAUUCACAACAUUCAUUCUCCAUUUUGAGGGGGAGUAUUAGAAUAUUUGGGUAUCUUGCAGUAUGGUUACAAGUUAAGUAAAUAAUUGUUAGUUUGCUAAAUAAUUGUUAGCUUCUUUUUCUAUUUUUUUUUUGUUUGCAACUAGAUGUGUCUAUUCAAUAACUUCAUAUGGUUAUAGUUAAUUAAGAAUCCUUUACGUAAUAACUAUUAAAAUAAUUUGUUUCCAACUUUCCUAUUAAAUUUUCUUCUGCUUAGUAUUUCAAAAAUUAUAGUUCAAGAAAGCUCUUUCGAUUUCUAUGUUGCACUGUAUCUUCUUAUAUGUUAGUACAAAUCAUACUCCUCUUUUUACCUCUUCAAUGAAUCCUUUUAGGAGUAAGACCACCAAGUGAGCACCCUUAUAUCGAUCCACAAGCUUUUUAUUACAUAUUUUUGGUUUGUGCACACCACCUCAAAUUUAAGUGGCCCAUAAAUUUUAUACUUUGGAUACCUUACCAUCCAAUCAUAAGCAUAAACUAAAUUUGAAAGGAUAAGUUUAGUUUAUUUUAGAGAAACUGAGCUCCAAGUCCCCUAGCCAAACAUGAAGUUUUGAAGCAUGAAAUUUUUGUGAUGGAACAUAUUUGCAAUCCUUAUUAAAUUGACCAAUUGUGUUAUGCUAAGAAUGCAAAUUAUGCAUGGCAAAGUGGUUAGAAAGUGUACAAAUGCACCAUCUUUUUACUUGUUUUUUUACUCAAAUUUCUCUGUCAAUUUUUUUUUCAUUCUUAUCCUUCUUAAUUGAGGCAAACAUGUUUUGGCUAGUGCUUUCAAAUGCCUUAAAUAUAUUCUUUUCAAUAUUGUAAACAUUUGGCUUGGUCAUUGUUAUAGUUAUCAAUUGUGUCAACUUUUACUUUCUCUCAUCCCCAAUUACAUAUGCACUUUGUAGUUUUAAAUUUUUUUUAGUGAUUAAUCUUAGUUUUUAUCUAAUUGUUUGCCCUAUAGUCUCUGACAUAACUAUAAGUGGAACAUGCACCUCUCACAAACCAAAAGACAUCACUUGUCUUCUUUAAUUUAAACAUUUUUGCAUCUGUGUAAGAUUUGAAACUAGAAUUUCACAAUAUCUCAUAGUCAUCUUCUCUAGUUGUUUCUCAAAGCUCUCUUCAAGAUUUAGUUCAUGUUCAAUUACCAACUUUGAGUUUUCAAUUUUAUUUUAUUUUUUCCUACAAGUCAUGAGGAAAUGAAUUUCAACUGUGUUUCAUCUAUCCAUCUCUCUUAAAUUGUUUUAUUCAAUAGUUACCAAUUGUAGAAUUGUUUUUAUAUAUUCUUUUCAUAGAUAUUGUUAAUAAAUUAUGCUAAAUGAGUAGCUUCCUGAUGUGGUGAGAGCUAAUUUUAUUAUUGCUAGGAUAAUAUAUUUUUAACUUUCUUGACUUUUUCCGAAUUAUAAACCACUCAUGCUUUGACCAAUCUCCAUGUGUUUUUCAUUUGUUUGGAUUUAUGGGCUUUUGAUUCUAUUUAGUGAAUAGAUAAUAAGGAAUUAAGGAUCUGAGAUUGACAUUAUUUUAAGGAUGUUUGAAGAUGGCAUAGUGAAGUAUAGAAUAUUGUUUUGGGUUGUAUCUCCUCGUUUCUCAUACUUAUGGUGGACAUUGAUGAGUUGGAUUAUUUGAAUGAAAUGAGCUUUGGAAAAAUACUAGUAAUUACAUGAAUUGUUGCAAUAUAUUUGAGUGAAAAUAUUAUGUUAGUGUCUCUCCAUGUCACUAAUUCAAACCUGUGACUUUCCAUUGUAAGUGGUAGAAAUAUAUCUUUUAUUUUCUAGAAAACAUUACUCUAACUUGUGAAAAAGGUUCUUAUGCCUCCAUGUUAAAUGUUAUAUGAUGGAAAAAACCUGAAUCUCUCUGUUUCCUCAAUCUGGAUCAAGUUAGGAAUAUGCAUAACUAUCCUAGGCUUUUUCUAAAUUCUAUGCACAACAAAAAAUUAAUUUUUUUUUAUACUUUAUAAGGAUCUAGAAAGUGCUAACGAAAACUAUACCUCAAAUUCGAAUGUUCCCGAGUCUUUCGCCCGAUGACUCAAACCUUGAUCUUGGCACACUUCUAAUGGGGAGGAAAUAAGGGUGGAGGCUAUAGUUCUCUAUCUCUCUGGAUGGUGGAAGAUAAAAUCCAUGGAAACCCUAACCUCUAGGGGGUAUUUAUAGGGUUCCUAAGUUGGCUUAAGUGACUUGAGCCCAUACAGACUUAGGUCACUUAAUCUAACCAAAAAUGAGUUCUAAUUAAUUAAUUAACCCAAUAAGGCCUACUAAUUAAUCAAUUAGCCCAAUCAAGAGACCUUGUUCACUUACCCCUAUACAACCUUGCGUAAUUAUCAAAAUGCCCUUAUACACAAAAGUGAACUUAGAGUCAAUUCAACCCUCAUAACCCAUGCUAACAAGGUGUAUGAGUUCAAAGCGGGGACCAUUGGGACCCAUAGAAAUACUGACUCCCUCAAAAUCCAAUUCUAAAGUUGAUUCAAUAUCACACUACAGAGAAUCAACUAAACUUCAAUAUCCUAUGUAAAUAACAACGAGACACUAAGUGAUCGGGUCUAUGACUUGCUAUCCAUUGUGUUCAGUCUCCCCAUGAACUAAUGUCUGUCGUUUAAUAAGGUGAAAGCUAUUAGUCUUUCAAGACUACCUCUACCUCCUAUUUUGUGUUCAAUUGACAUAUCUUAGUUCUCAAAUUGCCUAUGUCAAGUUCCAUUUAAUGAACUACAUGACCAUAGUUUCCAUGAAUAUACCUCCUUAAGAUCACCCAAGGGGACACACUGUCUCAAUCCCAAGAGAUAUCAUAGUGCCUCUAUUGAAAAUACCUAUUACUACCAGCUUCUACCAAUAAUGAUCUAAUCCAUAUGGAAUAUAUGAUCAACUUCCGAUUUCACCCGUAGGUCAAAGUCAUUGCCAACUUUAGCACAAGCUCAAUAUUCUCUCAAGGUUGAGAGACAACACAAUGAAACAGCUUGGUGAGGUCAUGACUCAAUAAUAGCCUUAAGUCAUGACUCACCAUAGGUCUUGUCCAAUGUGUAACCAUACACACUAGUGCACUCACCAUAGGAAACCCAUCCCGAUAACCAAGACCAGUGAUCCCUCCAAUUAGGAGGUGGUGCACUACAACCUUUAAUGGGUUGCCUAGACCCAUGAACCAGUUGUGAACAAGUCAUCUAUUUGCAAAGAACCCAUGACUUAGAUCUCCUGUGCAACUCCUAAUGCACCUAAGUCACGUACAAUAGAAAAAAUGCAGACAAAAAGGCUCAUAAAGUAUAAUAUAUGGAAUAAGAAUAUAUAAAAGUGAAACUGGAACAUCAUUAAAUAAAUAAUGAAUUCUAAGUUUAUUACAUCAUGUCAUGCUUUUAAGGGCUUUAUCCUAACAUUAUGUAUUUGAGAUAAACAUGAUAUAAUGAGAUUUAUAUUUCUCUGUUAUAAUAUUUCAAUAAGUAAUUGUGUUUUAAUUUUAAUAAACUAUGCUUGCAUGAAACAAUUCAAGUAUCAUUGGCAUCAUUGUGAGACAAAAGUUUCUCUUAUUACAUAUUAAAGAGAUUUAAGUUAUCAAAAAGUGAAAACGGUUUUAUCUAGGCUAGUUUCAAGUUGACAACUUUUAAAUUGUUUAUCAUGUGAUAAAGAACUUUUCCCCACAAAUGAUACUUGAAUUGUCUAAUUAAACAGUGUAGGAAAACAUAAUAUCUAUGAAGUUAAUUGUUUGUUCUUAAUUCAAUUUUUAUAAAUUUUGGUAGUCUUUUCUCUUAUUCUCUGGGUGCAUAUUUGGAUAAAGUUGCAUAGUAUGUCUUGUCCAUUUUACAUACUUAGAGAACUAUAGGGAAAUUCUACUAAAAUUUCUUUAAAAUGAAAUUGACCACAUUGGUCAUUGACACAUAGAGAUUAUGUAUUUCUAUAUGGGAUAGGAACUACUACUGAAUUUAGGAUGUUGGAGAUGUUAGAAUGCAUAAAACAUGCAUCGAAAUUUGACAUACUCAAAUGAUUUUCUUGUGUUGCUUAAGGAGUUUAUUGAGAAAAUUGGUAUAGACAAUGUUUGAUGCAAAGGUCAUGGACAAACCCAAUAUAAUAAUAUUAAUAUGAACUAGUUUUAUUGAGGUUAUACAUCCCUUUUAAUGCAAGUAUUCAUGGUCAACAACAUUUAUAACUUAUUAGUCACUACUACAAAUAAGAUAUACCAUGACCUUGUUUUUUCCCUGGCACUUUUAAAAAUGUUAAUAAUUAGCGUGAUAUUUGAAAAGUGUAGAUCUAUCUUCAUAGAUCAAAAUGGUUAGAACAAUGCUUACUCUUUUUCUUUUAAAUUUGGCAUCUUAACAAAUGUUAAACUACAUUUUCUUGAUUAUUAUUUGAACAAAAAAAAAAAAAGAGGUUGUUAAACGAAUAGCAUAGAAAAUGUUGUUAUUUUCUUCAAUUUGAAGUUUGAUCACUAUUGAAAGUUUGUUCUUAAAAAAUGGAUCGUUUGUGGAUUUCAAAUGAUAGAGGAUUAAAGGAGUAUGAGGAUGGGGUAGAACAUUUUUAUCACAUUUGCAAUAUAAAAUUCUGCAUAUAAAAACUCCAUUAAGUGUCCAUGCUUGUAGAGUGGUAAUAUGAUAUUUCAUACUCCUCAAAGAUUUCCUCAAAAGAUUAGAGAGCAUAUGUUUUUCUAUAGAAUUAAUUAGAAUUACCAUAUAUGGUAUUGGCAUGGGGAAGCAACUCCAAGUGAACCGCCAACUAGAAGGGUAGAACAUUAUAAUAUGGUUCAAUUUAAUGAUGUAGAUAGUACAAUAGAAAUGGUUGAAGUUGUACAAGUUGAAUGUCAAAAUGACCUAAAAUUGCUUAAAAGAUUACUUCAAAUUGUUGAAAAACCUUUUUAUAUCAUAGUUGUAGAAAAUUCACACAAUUGUUUGCAUUGGUUAAAUUAUACAACUUGAAAACACACUAUGAGUAGUCUGCUAAAAGUUUUUCAGAGCUUUUAAAAAUGCGUAGAUAUAUGCUGCCUCUAAAUAAUGAGUUACCCUUAUCUAUGUAUGAGGCAAAAAUGGCAUUGAAUACAUUAGGAAUGGAAUAUGAAAAAAUACACACAUGCCCCAUGAUUGUAUACUUUAUAAGAAUAAGUUGAAAGAUGCAUUUCAUGUCCUAUCUAUGGAACUUCAAGGUGAAAGGUAGAUAAUAUAGGAACUAAAAAAAUGACGAGAGCUCCUGGGAAAGUAAUGUGGUAUUUUCUUCCAAUUCCAAGAUUUAUAAGAAGGUUUCAAUCAUCAAAAAUCGUAAAAGACCUCUUAUGGCAUACCUAAGGAAGAGAUUUAGAUGACAAAAUGUGUCAUCCGGCUGACUCUCUAUCAUGGCUAAUUGACCAUAAAUGGCCCAACUUUGUUUCAAAACCUAGAAACUUGAGACUUCCCAUUUUAGCAAAUGGUAUAAAUCCUCACAAUUCAUUGAUUAGCAAAUAUAGUUGUUUGUCCUAAAGAGCUUGAAGCAGUAACUAUGGACAAUGUUUUUUUUUUAUCAUAAAGAGCAAGUUAUGGGCUACACUAUGGCUGCAGAUAGAGGUAAAACCUUUAACUUGUUUUUAGUUUGAUUUUUGUUUUCUUUCAUAAUGGAAAUAGAAAAUCAUCUAAACGAAUAGGACCUUAAUAAUUUAUUUUUUAUUCUACAAUUUAUUUUUGAAUAAAAUAAUUUAAAAGAUUUCAUUCUUAUAUUUGUUAGACUUUUUUUUUAAUGAAGAAAAAAAUAGUCUCCCUUUUAGCAUAUAUAUUAUAUAUGAUUAACAAUGGGUAUAAUAAAAUUUAUUUAAUAAAUAAUUGAUGUGACAUUCUAAAUUGAAAGUCAUAAAUUAGCUCAUUUGUUUGAUGUUGUCCCUAAAACUACAAGACCUGAUUACAUACUUAGAUUUUGUUCUUGAAAUUUAAGAGAUAAUUGAUGUGACAUCUUGAAUUGAAAGUCAUAAAUUAGCUUAUUAGUUUGAUGUUGGCACUAAAACUACAAUUCCCAAUGACAUAAAUUUUGUUCUUGAGAAAUGUCAUUAUGGUUCAUAGUAAGGCUUAGUUUGGUGUGUCAGACCAUGCAUGCAUGAUAUCUUUUCACAUUCUCUUGCUUUUUGACAAACAUGCUACCAUACUCAAGGUGUUUGUCAAGGCUCAUCUUGGACUACUCAAAACUUUAGGGUCCUUUCUUUGAGUUCACAAGCUUCUUUCCCCUAGUGUUAACCCCAACUCCCAAAAUCCACUCCUUAUUAGUGCACUGACGAAAUCUACAAAUGCACCAUAAAGUGAGAAUGACAUCAUGAAAAUGUAUUAAUGCAUCUUAGAUAUGGGAACUUAAAAAAAAAAAAAAAAUCUAGAGUUUAGACUUGUUUCUGUUAAUUAGAAAUUACUAAGCAAUGAAUCUUGCUAGUGUGGAAAGCACCAAUAGAUUGACCAAGGAAGGUAUAUAUAAAAAAGAUUGACAUUGUCAAUUGGGAAAAUUCCUCUGCAAACGCCAAUCCUAUCUUUCUAACCAUCAUGGAUGUUGAGAAGUAGAUAUCGAUGACUAUGAUGAGGAUCACAAAGGAUUAUCAUACCAAGGAGUUAGACAUUUGUUGGGUUAUCAACAAUUUUAAUGAAGGUGGUAUUAACUAUUUGGUUGUUGAUAGUGUAUUGCGUAGUUCAACCAAGCCAAUCUGCUCCUACAUUGAGAUCAAUCUCGAUGAAAAGGUAGCAUAUAUUUUUCAUUUCCUAAUUAUAUCAACUGCUUCAUGGUGCCUUUGUCUGAUAAGCUUAACAGGUUCUUCUACAUUUCCACCCUCUAAUUCUCUAAAGUUCAUCAUGAUAGGGUUGAAAUUUCAUCAUCAAAUCAAAACACAUCCUCCUAUAAGAGGCCUUUGAAUUCUGAAAUAAUCAAUUCACUUGAUUCUCAUAUUGGCAAAGACAAGCUUACACUAUUGGAAAGACUACCCAUCACCUUUGCCUUCCCAAAUAGAAAAGAUGAGAGAUAACAUUUCACAAAAUCACAAGAAUUAUUCAAGUUUGGAAUUCAUAGGCAUUGUUAUUGAAUUUCAUUUGUAUAAAAUUGGUGUGUUGUGUUUAUUUUGUUGGUAUUAAAAUUGAAUUUUUUUAAUUGCAAAUUGAUGAUUUUUUUUUCUCACAUUUAUACCCAUUAGAGUUUCUUAUUAGGGUUUGUGUUUGAAAUUUGGAGAAAGUAUGGUGCAAUUGUUCACCAGUGUGGUGUACCAUUUUGUUUGUUGUAUCUGAUCUUUGGGUAUUUGAUUUAAUUUUAUUGUUGUUGAAAUUGAAAGUUGAAAUCCAAGUUAAAUGUUUAACUAGAUAUUUGUAGUUGACUUGUUUGCACCGAUCUUGAUUGCCCAUUUCAUGGGAAUAAUUCAUUCCAAUUUUCCUUCAUGAUUACUAAAAAUAUAUUGUAGGUGAAGGACUAUUAUGGAGUAUAUUUAAUUCACAAGAUUGAAUAUUGAACAAAGAUAUGCCUUAGGUCUAGCUUAUAUGGAAUAGCAUAUCUUACAUUUAGUUAAUUAAAUAUACUAUACAAAUUUUGGUUAUAUAUAAUAUCUAUGUUACAAAUUUGGAUAAUUCGAAGUCUAAGUGACUUCAUAUAAUUAUUGUUACAUCUUAAAAAUGAUUUCACAAAUUAGAAUUACAAUGACUCCUACAUAUCUUAGAUUCUAACUCAAAUUCUCACUUGAUUUUAUUUUAUUUUUAUUUUUUUGUUUUCAAUCAAUUAAUAAUAUGUUAUGGGCUAGUUUAGCUUAUAGUUGAGAUGAAUUUUAUCUAAGAGCACCUCAAUUUGAACCAAAUUGAAGAAAAAAAUGACUUAUUAUACCUUAUGAAAGAUAAUAUUAUUAAUUUCCAUGUUUUUUUUUCAAAUAACCUUUUCAUGACAUGAACUUAUAUGGAACAUUGUUGUAUUAAUUGAUUAGGAAAUCACUAAGCCUAAGAAAGUGAGAAAAUUUAAAAGGGAAGGAAUGUCACCAUUGCAUUUUAGCACAAAGGAAGAUGAUCUCUAGCUAUGACGAAAAUUCAAGAAAUGAACAAGUUCCAUUAAAGAUGAAGGCACAAUUGGGUGACAUUUAAAAAAAAUGUCAAAGGAAGUUAUUGUUUUAGCUACGGAUAUGUUCUUUUUUUUUUUUUUUUUUAGACUUCUUGUGUUACUCAUAUAUGUAAUAUGCAAUGUGAUUUCUCUUUUAUAUUAUAAAUUUAUUACUCUUAGCACUUCAUUUAUGGGAUAGAUGAAUAAUAAUUACUUUAAUUUUAUUUAAUUGUUGGAUAGUUGUUGGAUGGAUAAAUAAUUGUCAUUUCUUUAUAUUUGAGUUAUUUCAAUAUCAAAUGCCAAUUAAAAUAAAAGAGCAAUAGGUGAAGCUAAUUUUAGAUUGUCACAAUCCUUGGCACUUCCACUAAGUGUCAAGGUUUAGAGCAAUCAACAAUGGAAAAGGUGAACGAUGAUGCUUCCAAAAAGCGUCAAGGUUAUUUCAUCUUCAACAAUACCAGUUUUUGUAAGUGUCAUUAUUUACAAAAUCAACAAUAACAUUGGCAAAUUGGUACGCCUCAAUGCUUCUAAAAAACAUCAUUAUUUGUUCCAUAUUUACAAUGACGCUUUUAAAAGUGUCAACAUCGCUAAACACUCUUUACAAUGACACUCGAUUUCAUGGUGCUUUUAAGAAGUGUAAUUGUUUGUAAAAACUUAUUAUGACAAGCUAAGAGAUGACACUGCGGAGAAGUGUCAUUGUUUGUCUUUCUUGACAUUGUUUGUCUUUCUUAACAGGUAAAAAGUGUCAUUAUUGAUCGAUUUUUCUUAUAAUGAAUCCAAUUGGUUGUGAUUGAGUUAAUGAAAUGAUCACCAACUUUUUUGCAACCAUACAACACUACAUAACCUUAAUACCUAUUGUUCAUUAUGAUGUUGUAAGAACAUAUGCCUUUAUGUGACCUAUUAAAUAAACUGGUCUUAUCAACUGAAAAAUGUUCCUCUAGUUAGUAAAAACUUCAUUCAUGUGGUCAUUUAUUAGCAUCAUAAUAAUCCAUAUUACAAAUAUUUAAAAACAUUAAUGCACUAAAACAUUGAUUUCAUCAACAAAAAUACACUCAUUCUUUUAACUUAUAGCAUUCAAAGAUGUUUAAAAAUAUAUAUGUACAAUAAAACAUCAUCAAAUUUAUUAACAAUUAAACUUUUAACCCCAAAACAAUCCGUUACUUUAGUAGAUAAGACACUAUUUGGAAUAACAUUAUUUUUAGCUCAAGUUAGAAGUUAAAAUGAUAAGGUUAAAAGAACAAAACCAACAAAAAAAAAAGUUAUUUUUUGUCAAACUUGACACUAGUUCAAGUUAGAUAAUGUAGCUCAAUGCCCUAUUGAAUUGAGUCAUAUAACUAAACUCCCUAAUUAUUUAUUAUGAUACACACACAACCUUUGGUUUAGUAUACAUGAUUAAAUUAAAUGCCCAACCUAGUUUGCAAAGCUAAAUUGGAAUCCCAAAUCUAGUUCAUCAUAAAUACUCUUCAACUGACUUGCUAUGGCAUUCAAAUAAGACAAUGACAAUGAUAGAAAACCAAAAAAAAUACCUAAUAUAUAAUUGAAAACUCCUUCCUAAAGGAGGUAAAAAAAAAUCAUGAAGUAACUUUCUUCUAUUAAUAAAAAAUGGGAAUACAAUGAUCUAUAUAGUGUUUUAACUCGAAACUUAUGGUACUACAAAUAUUAAAGAAGAAAUUUAAAACACACACACACACAACAAGCAUGUUGUCAAGCUUAUAAAAGUUGGAGAAAUCUCUGCAUACAAGUGUUCAAAACAUGAUGGAGAGUAACCUUGAUAUUUAAGUCAACAAUAUACAAGGAAAGACAACCCAAAAAGGUACAACUUUGAGAACAAACUCUCCUUUUUGCUUUUUCACAUAACCCCUUCUUUUUUUCUUUUUGAAAACUUCUCUCAUUUCCUCUAAUUGUUACACUAUACAACAAUCCUAAAAAAAUAGAGUUUAAAGGUCUGUUUGAUAAUCGUUUUUAAAAAUAAUUCUGAAAAAUAGUUUUUGAAAAUUAUUCUCUAAUGUUUAAUUUGUAGAACAAAAGUUUGUUUGGAAACCUAAAAUAUUUUUAACAUGUUUUUAAUGUUGUUAAAUAUGUUUUAAAAAUAAUUUUAUGUCUAGUAUUUUAUUUUUAAUCAUUCUACAUGUUUAUAUAAUUAUUUUUUAAAACAACUCUAAAAAAAUAAGUGAAAAUAACAUAAAACAAUUAAAAGAUGUUAUCUGAAAACACCUUAUUUUAUUAUAACAAAAAAUAAAAAGCGGUUUUUGGUUGUCAAACAUGUUUUCUUAGUUUUUUAUUCUGAAGAAUAGAAAAUUGUUCUUGAAAAUAGUUGUAAAACAAGAAUCUUUUCAUAUUAGUCUAGGUAUCACAUUAGUUAUUGCCCAUUUUAUGAUUUUAAUUAUUGCUUAAAAACUAGUCUUUCAACUAAAAAAGAAGGUCCACUACUUAUGGGUCAAACCUUCAACUUUCAAACCCCAACACAAAGUUAUAGUCAAGACUAAUAUUCACAUAUUAGUAUUAAUAUAGUUCAUUAAAUAUGAAUUUCUAUAGAAGGCAAAAUCAAGUUUUUAGGGGAAGUAACAUUCACUUUCAUAUUAAGCACUUUUUAACUCAUAAGUUAGUACUUGUAACAAAAUUUCUUAAUAGAGACUUUAAUUGAGUUUUAAGAAAAAAAAAAUUGUUUGUAAAAAACCAAUUCAAACAAAAUCUAAAACUAAUAUUAUUAUCUAAAAGGCAUAAUGAACAAAAUAAACCAUAAACUAAAGUGGUAGUGACAACCAGUAUGUAGCGUCCAUGAAUAAUUGAAAAUAGCCUCAUUUUCUAAUGACCUCGGACCUAGAAGCUCUAAAAUCCUUGCCUAAUUCUUUGUGAUGACUUUAGUUUAACCUUAAUGGCGAGGGCAAAAUUCUAAAUAAUUUUUGUCACAACUCAUAAAUUUAGAAGAAAAAAAUGAGAAUAAAUGGAAUCCCAAACAAGAAAUUGUUAUUUUUCUCUUUUAUGACAAAAAUCUACUACUAUUAUUUAAUAACGUGGGAAUUGUUCUUUCAACUUUAAUACCAUGUAUGACAUAACUUUAACAACCUUAAUUUAUAAGAUUAUUGAAUUUAAAAGGAUAAAACAAUUACAUAUUCAUAAGAAUCACUUCUAUUUUUUAACAACAAUAAAUUUCAUUUUUUGGACAAAAAUACCCUCCAUUGUUUUUAUCAACAUUUCACAAUCGAACACUUAUUGGAAAAAAAAAAAGGUAUAAGGGUAGCUAUAUUAAAAUGAGGUUAUAAUUAUAAUACUCAAUAAGUGGAGAUUGUUUUUCCAAAUAUUGGGAUCAUCUUAUCCAUUUGACACAAAUAUUUCUAAUUUAUAUUAUAAUUACUCUUAUAGUAAGAGAAAAAGAGUAAUUUCACAUGAAAUGGACCCAUAAACAUAGAUUUAUUAUGAGGCAUGUUACUAUAAUAAUAAUAGGAAAUAAGACGAGACAUGUUACCAUAAUAAUAGAAAAUAAGAUAAGUAAUUCAAUACUUAAUAAAGGUCUAAAACAAUUAUGCUUCUCAUUAAAUGAUAUUAAUGAUGGAAAAAAACUAAGGGGUGGUUAAUAAAACUUAAUAUUUAUUACUUAAGGAUUUAAGUUGACUUUAAAUUAAAUUAUGCUUAAAUUGUUAAUUUAAAACUUAUUAAUUCUUAUUUUAAGUAUUAAGACUAUUUAAUAAAAUUAACUUGAAAUUUAUUAAGACUAUUUAAUAAAAUUAACUUAAAAUUUCUUUUAAAUUGUCAAAUCGAUAUAUUUAUUUUCUUAAAUUAUAAUUAAAGUAAAGGACAUCAAGUAACAAUGGAUGUCAUGGAAUAGUGAAAGAGAUCUUAGAGGUAACGAGACAAAUUAUGGUAAAAAAAUGUUAAAUAAAAAUAUGAACUUAAAAAUAAAUUAAUUAUUUAUAUUUAUUACUUAAAGUUGUUUUUUAUUUUAUAUUAUUAAAUUAUUAAAUUAUUUUACUAAAUGUGUUUAAUUUAUUUAAUGACUUACAUUAAAUUACUUUAGGCUAUUAAAUCGGUUUACAAAUAAUAUCGAGUAGGCCCACAGACUGGAGAAUAUUGCUAUCAUAUGUUUUAUCACUACUUUCAUGUAUUAAGGUGCCAAGAAUAAUUCACCACAAAAUAUAUGAUAAGUUGAUAGUAUAGGAUACAAUCUAAAAAAUGCACUUGAUUUCAUCAUCUAAAUAAAUGCUCUUGGCAAAAUGGAUCAUCCUAGCUGAAACCAGAGCACAAGCCGUCAUGGACAGGAGGCAACGGAGAAACCCUUCUGCUUCUUCUUCUGCCUUUUCAUCUCCAACUUCAUCCUCAUCGCGUUUCCGCUCAGAGAAAUUCUCCUCGAAUCCCCCAAAAACUAGUAACUCCCUGGAGGAUGCUCACCAAUUGAAAAGCAAAUGUGGGAAGCCACAAAGACCAGAGCAAGAGGAGGAAGGAGAGCAAGAUCCGAACAAUCUUCUCUCCUUAGUUGGAACUUGCCCAUUCAUGUGCCCUGGUAAAAAUGCGUGCUUAUUUUUCCAUUUUUUUUAAUUCUAUUUUCCUGUUAUUCUGUGUUUGGUUUCCGAGAAAUUGGAGGAAAACAGUAGAAAAGAGAAGUGAAUCUGGAAUUUCUGUGUCAUUUUUGUUGCUUUUACAUAAAUUUUACAAAUAAAAUUGAUAUUUCCCCCCUUUAUUAGAUACCAAUCUGAAGAAGACGUAGGAAUCCCAAAAAAAAAUUCGCUUUUGCCUUUACUUCCCCCAAAUCUUUCAUAAUGGAAAAUGGACUUACCACCUCUUUUAUCACUUUUCCUUUACCAUGUCAGGUUUACAUGUAAUCAAACACUGUAUUUGGAGUAGAGCAUUUAUUCUAAUGUCAAAUGGUGUUGAAAACUUGAAUUACUGGAUCUUAAGACUCCAGAAGAAAUUUGAUUGUUUAUGAUUAUUGCUCCAUGAGAAGGGAAAGGGAUUUCUUUUGUUUUUGCUCACAUACAUGGCCAAAUUGAUUUAUCUCCUUCUCAUACGAACAAAAUAAGGACAUUUCUUGUCUUGCUGCCUUUUAUGCCACCGGUUCCACAUGCUGAUGUGACAACCCUUGUGCUAUUCUGUACAAAUGGUAGGAAAAUUCUGGUAAGACUGGUGGCCAGCCUAUCAUGUUCAGAGAAUAAAUUCAUUGUAUAUCUGGAAUUCACUCUAUAUCAGCAUAGGGUGUUGAUAUUGAUUAUAAAUGACUAAAUUCAAUUUAUUAUCCUUACAUUAGGGAGUGCUAAAAGGAUGCAAAUUGUUCAUGUUAUACCCAAAGACAUACAAGUGAUGCUAGAGAUUUUCACAAUGUAGAUAAUCAUAGAGUAGAGAUGAACACUAUGGAGUCUUUUGGCAUGUGUUCAUUCCAUGUAUGGGAACAUGCAUUGGAAGAUUAUGUUUCCUCCUCCCUCCCCUCCCCUCCCCAAAGUAAGUACUAUGUUGUCAUGGCAAGAACUUUGGUGACAUGCUUCUGAGUGGAAUAGCCUCCUAGAAGUCCAUUUAUGUGGCAAUUGGCAAGUUCUUCCAGUCAAUGAGAACUUUGUGACUGUCUGAUUGUUGUACUAAUCAUCAUCAGAUUUUUUUUAAGUUCAAGUUGCAAAUAGCCUUUCACAGUUGAAGGUAGCAAUGAAGAGGCCUGUUGACAUAAUUAUUUCUUCUGCUUGAAUGGAUUAAAAUCAGAUACCACACCUUCAGCCUAGAAAACUAUGGACUUUCCUAUGUACCUGCAAUUGGCUGAAUACUGGUGUGACACUGACCAAAGGCUCUCUGAUGCUGUUAUUAAUUUCCCGAGCAAAUAAGAGAAAACAGAGAGGUCAUAAUGUGAAUCAGUUACCUCUUGAGUAGGGAUGAAGGCUUUUUAUACCUUUUUACUUUCUGGUUAGGCCUUGGAAGCACUUCUGUGAACCAUGAUUUUGUACUGUAAAAUUAGAUGGGAUGGAUAGGUCACCUUAACUCUACUUUUGGAAGUGAUUGGGGAGUGCAUGACCGUAUGAAUAUUGAUGUAUUCUCCCCAUACAGAGCCCAACUUCUUUUUGAACUAGGAAGCAUGAAGGGUGGGUGCAUGUGGGCUGAGGAAGGAAGAUUUGACUUGUGUGCUGCAGGCCUGCAGUACCAAUUUGUUCCAGAACUUGAUAAGGCCCAUAAACUGGUAGGCAAGUUUCAUUAUUUGGUCACCACUGAAUUUCGGCAGUAUGGCCACAAGGAAGGUAGGAAGGAGAGGGAGAAGAGAAAGCCCCAAUUGCCAAUUGCAAUCUUCCGGUUGGCACAGUGCUCAUUUGCUGACAUUUCCAUUUGAUUUUAACCUUGAAACAGAUACAGCUUAACGUGAUGGACCAGUUUUUCACAAUCUUGUGAUUCAUUACCCAACUUCUAGUAACAGUUUCUCAGCAGAUGACUCACCCAUGACAGGCUGAUGAUGUCUGCACACAACUUGAAAGGUAUUUAUGCCAAGGUGUGAAAGGUAAUAUUGUGACACCAUUUUUCCUAUUCCAGAAAAUGUACCAAAUGUAUGGCUGGUUCUUGACCAAAAAAUGCUGGCAUUGGUCACCAAGUGCUAGGGUGAUUCUUGACAAAAAAUGUCGUAUUGUUCAGAACAAUGAUUUACAACUUCAGAUUGGCCAUCCAGUUAAUGAUGAUAAGCACUUGUUUUACAAAGUUCAGUGUCAUAAAAGCAAAAUAAUUUUGUCAACAAAUAUGGGGAUAACUUUAUCAUAAUUACUACUUAUGGAAUUUAAGGAUAAGUUGGGUAAUGUGAGAAAGUUUUGGUCAGAGGAUAUGAGGAUAACUUUGUUGCAAUUGCUAAGCUACACGUCCUAGGACUACUAGGAGAAAAGUAUGAGCAACAGAAUGAAUUUACAGUCCAUCCCCACUAGCUGCAUGGAGAGGUUGGGCUUAUUGCUGCUAUGGUGGAGGUCACCUUCUUGUAGACUUUGAAAUGUGCAAAUGAAGAGGCAGAUUUCUUAGAAGAAUGGGUAGGAUUCAGCUUGUGGUAGAUAUUGAGCUUAUCGCCUCUAAUUUCAUGUCUUCUCAAUGUGGAUUUGAGGUUUAACGAGAUUUUUGGGAAAUCAUUAAGAUUAAAAGUAAUCGAAGACUUUCACAUUAAUGAGGUAAUGAAUAACCACUGAUACUUCUUCACCCCAAAGUUCCUUCACAAAAAUUUGGUGAGUGAAGAACUAUUACUGAGUUGUGAAGCACCAAUUCCAGCUUCAUUAUCUUGAUCUUCAGAAAGAGGGAUCCAACUUGAUUUGGGAUUUUAUACCUGUCAACCCAGUCACUGGUUUUUAGGAGAAUACUUCCAAUUUACCCUUGGGUUGCUUUAGAAAGUUUCUUAAUAGUGCCAUCUCUCUAGCUUAAGGGGCUUUUGUUAAUGGAAGGCAAAUUCUAGAUGUGGUUAUCAUUAGUAAUGAAAUCCUAGAUAAAAAAUUCUGUUCUAAGGACGAAGGGAUGGUUUUUAAAAUAGGUUUUGAGGAAGUUUAUGAUCACAUAGAUUGGGGUUUCAUGUAUGAUACAUACUUUGAAUAGGGAAGGCCCUUGAACCUGGAUGGCACAAAGGGACUGGAUAUUUUGAGGUUGUUUUUCAAACUGCAGACUCUUUAAUGGUUAUUGAAGCUGAGUGAUUAGCACUCGAGGAAGAUUCGGACAUGGUUGUUUGCCUGGAUGUAAUGAACCUCCAUAUUGAAGGGGAUUCCUUUGUUAUUGUCUUAGAACCUUCUUUGAAGGCAAAGGUCCUUAGUGGAUUGCUCAUCAGAUGGGGUGGCUUCAUAAUCAUGCUAGAGACAUUGCUUGUUCUUCUCUAUUGAGGCCCAGAUCAGCUAGCCAGGUGCAUGGCUAUAUUUUUCUUAUAGGGAUGCUAAUAUCUGAAAUUUUUUAUUGAGAACACUUACCGCUCUUUGAUUGGUUUGAGGCAUGGAGCGGCUUUUCUGUUCUCUUCUUGCCAUACAUGCAUAUCAUCCCUCUUUUUUUAUCUUGUUUAACUCAAUAAAUUCUCAUUUGUUAUAAGGAAAAAAAGAGAUAUUAUGUUACAUGAUGGAAGGACUUUAUUCUGUUAUGGAGUAUGCAAAACCUAGAUCUAUUAGCUAGAGCUAUACAGUAGGCUGUUGGGUUGUUCAGUAUUGUCUCUUUUUUGGAUAGGUUUGGCCAAUGCCCCUUGAUGUUACUUUUUGGUGAUGUAAUUUUCUUUGAUUUUUCUUGAAAAUUCCUCAUUUUUCAAGCUUGCUUGUAUAUCUUUUCUUCUUCCAUUAAUGAUUGUUUGAUUCCUUACUAAAAUAAAUAACAAAUUAUGAUGGAAAGGAUUAUGUUUAUGGAAAAUUUUGAGAUUUUCACCAGAUUAGAGUCUCCGAAGCUGGUAUUUGUCUUUACACAGAUAAUAGGAAUCAUUUUCCCCCCAAACUACAUAAGACAUGUCUGCUACUUGGUAAUGUUCCAUUGGCAGUUAUAAACUCUCCUGUCAAAUGUGAAUCUGUUGUAGCAUUCCGAAUGGUGUUGUGUCGUACAUAGAUUGGUAAUUGAGGACUUUAUUAUGGAUUUCGUCCUGUUUUGGUUGUGCCAACAAGUUCUAUCCUGUUCUUUGUCUUGCUGAUUUGCGUGGUUGUGCAUCAUGUUCCUACCAGCUGUAUAAUUAUGCUUCUGGAGCAUAGUUAUUCUGGUUUUACCAUCCAGAUGAUGGUACUAAAGUAUUUGUAUUCUAGAUUGCACAACUCCUUAUAUGGGAUAUUUUUGCAUCAAAUGCUUAGUGAUCAAGAGAACUCUCAUAUUAAACACAUUCAUCUUCUAUUAAACUAAAUUCCUUAAGUCUGCAGUCUCACAACUACAUCAUACCAUUCUUUUCCUUUUUUCUUCCUUUCUUGCUAUUACAGGUUGGUUGCCACUAAUAUAGUAGAAAGCAAAUUACACGACCCUGCUUCCAUAAGACCUUUCUUAUUCCAUAGGUUGAAAUAGAAAAAACACUCGAUGGGACUAAUGCUUCUCUUUGCAAGCAAGCAAAUUAAAAUGUUUUGAAACCCAUGCUGCCAUGAUCUAGCUAAUUUGCAUUUUAUAUGUCUACUCCUUUCUAUUUACUCAAAUUGUGUAUUUCUUUUGCUUGUAUUUAUUUCCUGAUGAGUUUAUUCUGAUUCUUUGAUCAGGAUUUCUGCAAUCACAUUGCUUGCUAUUGAAUUUUCAAGGGCUUAAUAUGAAUUAUUAAUAAAGAAGUUGUUUAAUUAUUUCAGCAGCUUAUACUUUGUAAUUUCUUUUAACAACUCUUAUCUCUGAUGUUCAUUUGUAAUAAAUAGCUGGAGAAAGGGCCCAACGUGAACGCCUUCGGGACUUAGCUGUGUUUGAGAGGUUACAUGGAAAUCCUGGGAAAACAUCUCCAAGCCUUGCUGUCAAAAAGGUAAACCCUACAUCUCAUGCCUCUAUACCGCAUCUUAGCUUCUCAUCUUGCAUCGGACAAUGAUACUCUUAUUGAAUCAUCUUUACCAUAUCAGCCAUCAACAUGUGCACUUAUUGAGCACUAAUUCAGGCACUGAUACUUGUGCUUUUGUUUUGUUUUAUCUUCUCUUGUCUUGUUUUGUUAUGGAUGUGAUUGUGUUGGAUGACCUGUAUCUGUGUUAGACACCAAAGCCUAUCUUAAUGGUACUGUAAAGUAAGACUAUGCUAAUAAGCUAUUGAUCUGUUACAGGGUUUAUGCCAAACUGAUUUUUUAGUUUCUCUAGUAGAAAACUUGUUUUUUCCCCUGUUAUAUCGGUGCUAUUGUUGGAUUUGUGUUUGUUGUUGAUCAAGCAUUUGCUGAAACUUUUUUUUUUUUUUUUUUUCCUUUGCUUCUUGAUGUGCAAAGCAUUAUUGUUUGAAUUUUAAUGAUCCCAUUUGAUUCACUAUUCAAUAUUUUUAUUUGAUAUUACAUCUAUCUCAUUUGUUUUCUUUUCUUAGUUUUUAUUUUUAUAUUUUAUAUUUUUAAUUUUUUUUUAAUUUUUUGAAUUAGUGACAUUUGAAUUUGAUGGAGCCACCAUUAAUUUAUUUUUCCUUAUUAUUGUGGGGUGUGCUUUAUUUUGUUCAAUUGUUGUUGCACUAUUAUUAUCAUGUAACUUUUUUUUUUCUUUUCUUUUUUUUUUGUUUAAUCUAUUGUUCCUAUGAGCAUUAAAUGCUCCUAAAAUGUAUGGAAUAGGCUAAACCUUUCUAUAGUUUUUUUAAAAAAACUCAUUUAUUAUCUAUUUUCUUGUGCUCAAAAAAUUAUAUUUUUUUAGUAAAAUUGAAAAUUUAGGGAGCGCUUAGGCCCCAGCGGCUCAACCCCUUGAGGGUUUAUGCCUAUUGUAGCAAGAUGUGGACCCCCUUGCCUCUUAUGCUUUUACCUUAUGAAACUAUACCAAGAAAAAAACGCCACAACUCCCUGCUGCCAUCAAAGGAUACUUCAAAUUUUGCUUGAUAUCAAUUUUAAGGCUAAUUAUCAUAGGCUUGUCAUCAUGUCACUAAAAUUGGUAUUGUAACCAAAGUCCUAUUGCGAAAUCUUCAAGUUGCAGCUCCUUUUUUUCUGUUGGCUCUUGUAUUGUUAGGUGGCCGCAACCUGUUGCUUUACUUAUGCUUUAUGAACUACUCCAGUUAAAAUAAUGCUUCGAGUAGAUGCUUUUUGGAUCUUGACUCUAGCAAGAGGCUUAUAUUGCAAAUUUUUUUUGUGGAGUCCUAGAUAGGUUAACUAGGAAGACAAUAGCUUGCUUAAAAGGAUUGCCACCUCUCCUGUUGGGUUUGUAAAAAUUUUGCUUCUCCCUUGACCUUGGGAGUCCUGUGGUUUCAAUUUUGGGUGUGCUCUAGGUUGUAGCCUGUGUUAUGCUUUCUAAAUGGUAAUCUUCUUGUUUUGGUUGGGAUGCUUUUGUUUAUUUUGCUUGUUUGCUUUCUUUGUUUCUUUAUAAUUGUGGCUAUAGGAUCACCAAUCAACUUUAUAUUUUUUGCAAAAACUGUUUAUGUUUCAUAACGAAAAAGGAAAAAACAAAGGCAAGUUAGCCUACAAUAGGUUCUAUCUUGUUUCUUCUUUUACCAUUAGUGUGGAUUCGAACUCAGGAAAAGGCCUUCAAGCAAGUGGCAUUUGUGUUUUUUAAACAUAUAUCUUUGUUCAAUCAUUGUUAAGUGUUUGUUGUCUUGUCUGUUCUUUUGGUUGUUUUUGUCUUUGUCAAAGUGUAUAACUGUAAUAUCCUACAUCGUAUAGAAGAAAAAGUUUCUAGUGCUAUAUAUGUAUGAAUUUCUUUUAAUCUUGUUGAUUCGUUUUUAAGCCGUGAGGGUCGCUUAGGCUCAAAACAAAUAAUAUCCACACAACUGGGAGCAGGUUGUUACAAAUGGUAUCAAAGUCAAUGCUCGACCUUGGUGGGAGAGUUUGUUUGGCCUGAAAUGGGUGUCCGUUUAUUUGACCCUACAAUCCUGUUGGACACAACAAGAACGUUGUGUCUGCAUGAGAGAGAGGGUGAUUGUAAUAUCUUACAUUAGAUAGGGGGAAAAGUUCCUAACGUUAUAUAUAUAUAUAUGUCUGUAUGUAUGUAUGUAUGUAUAUAGACUCCUUUUAACCUUGUAAACGUAUUUUAAAGUCAUGAAGGCCCCUUAAGUAUAAGGUGGAUAAUAUCUAUACGGUUGAGUGCAGGUUGUUAAAAUAAUUACUUUUAACUUUCCUUCCAUAUGUUUAAUUGCAUAACAUUAUUAUAGCAAAAUAUUAAUCUAUCAUAAUGCAACGUCUUGUAAAGCUUAUGUUAGGUGUCAUGAUUUUAUCUCUUGUCAUUUUUAUUAUUUUGAUUCAAUAUCAUCUUAGCUUAUAAUCAUUUAUACACUUGAUGCAUGAGAAAUGAAGAUGCUAUAAAUUGUAGGAUUCUUUUUCUCCAAUUUGUUCCUUGAUAUUUUAUAAUGCCAUGAAAUGUCUAUAUUUUGAUGCAGAAAGCCGUUCACCCUCCAUCUCUCUCACUAGUUUUGCAGAACCAUUGCCACUAAGCACAUGCAGGCGUCAGAUGUGCGGCCACUUCCAGUGUUGGAAGAGACUUUGAACUACCUAUUAAACCUGUUGGAUGCCACGGAACAUCCUUUUGAAGUGGUUCAUGAUUUCGUCUUUGAUAGGACAAGAUCAAUAAGACAAGAUCUUAGCAUGCAGAAUAUCGUUAAUGAUCAAACAAUUCAUAUGUAUGAAGAAAUGGUAUGAAUUUCUUGAAACAUAAUCUCAAUUACCUUUUUUUUCUGAGCAUUCAUCUCCUCAACAUACAAUAAGUUAGCCAACCCAUUGCUAAACACUCACCUAGUUGGAGAAAAUAAUCAAAGUAUACAAGAUAUAAAAUGUUGAAUAAUUGAGUCAUUAUCCUCUCCUUUUGCUUUAUUGAAUAAGAUAAUUUAUUCAGUGGAGUCCAAACGAGGUGAAACUGUGAUCACACUACUUGAAGCCUACUUUACAAUGGAUAAAUGAAUGGUCUGAUUCUAAAUCUUUCUUGGCACAUUAGUUAUUAUCCAAUCCGUUCUAAUUAAAUUAUCCACUAUUAAGUGUCUAUUUCCAGUCACCCUCCAAGUUAUGAAAGACCCAUAGAACCAAAGCAACUCACACCACAUGUGAUGGGAAUUGAUGCUCUCUUCCAUAAUGUCAAGUUUUCCAGUACACUUGCUGACUUUGUAGAAUAUGCCUACAAAAAGGGCUGCCACCUCCUAAUUCCCAAUCAUAGAAGUUUCUUAACCAUAUUUCAAAAGCUGUAUUUCCUGUUCCCCCUCUUAAAGUUUUUUAAACCUAUAUCUCUUUAUCCUAGUAAUUUGGAAAAAUGAGGAAAUUAUUUAACAAGAACUCCAUCAAUUUGUUCCUUAAAAUUUUCUAUAGUUUCUAUCUCUCUCACUUUUGAUUCAAAUUCUUGAAGCAAAGGAACAAAUUCAUGGCCAGUAACAAUUUUAGCCAAGCAAUAGAAUGCACAACAAACAUGCAUAUGAAUGACUUGUGUUUUUUUAUGAUAAUUGAUUAGAUAUUUUAAUCUCAUCCUAAAACCUUGGAGUUAGCUAAAAGCCGCAUCUUAUGUUCUGACUUGUGGUUUGUUUCAUAAUAUAGGUGAAAUUUCAUAUUAUAUCCCACCACAAGCUUCGCAGUUGUAGUAGCAAGCCAAAUUUUUCUUCAGUUCAUUACCUCAAUAUGGAGCAGCUGAAAAAGUGUCUGAUAUCUCUAUAUGCUCUAUACGAAGAAAAUCGAAAUUCAAAUUCUAUUUACAAGAAUGAACCUGAGUUUUGCUCAUUUCACGUUCUUCUUCAUCUUGGCUCUAACAACCAACCAUUGGUGGAUACUUGCUUCCAUUGUUUGUUUGAGUUCAUCUUUUUCAGUAUCUCUUGUAGCCUUGUACUGGUUUCUGAAUAUGUUACUAUUUCUGUUCUGAAGGGAGAGUCACUCUCUUUAUGGUUGGGUCGUGUACCUUCUCUCAUUUUGAAGUCAAAGGAAAUGUGUUUUGCCCGGAGACUUUUAAGGUGACCACAAAGCUAUUAUAGAUUCGAUUUUCAAUUGAUUUUUUUCUCUUCUUUUAGUACCCAAUGUUCAAAUUUUUGUUUUCAUGAACUGAAAGAUCUGUCUUUUCUUGUAACAGAUUAUUUCGGAUGGGCAAUUAUAAGCGUUUCCUUUGUACUACAGCAACUGAGGCAUCUUAUUUGCAGUACUACAUUAUUGAACCUUACAUCAAUGAGGUUGCUUAAAUAUGUUGAUUUUGCUAGAUUUUUCAGUUUGAAAAAUAUAUGCUUCUUUGUUCAUUUAUUGUUUUUCAGUUUCAUUUCUGAGAAUAUAUCUCAAAUCUAGACUCGAGUACUUGUGCUUUUGGGUUUUAUUUUUCUUUCAUUUUUGUUAGUAGUUGUACUUCAUUAUUCUUAAAUUUCUCACCAACUGUUUCUUUAUGUGGUUUAUUGCUCCUCACUUUCUUCAUUCAUCUGAAGUGUUCAAAUUCAAUUAGCUUGUUUCAUAAACUAGUUCUUAUUUAGAAGUUCUUCUCAACUGCCUUUUUUUAGUGCUUCUAAAAGACAUGCCUGAUUUAUAUACAUUUUUGUUGGUUUUCUUUUGACCGUAAAAGGUUCGAGCAUUGGCAUUGUCAUGUGUAAAUUAUUGUGGCUACAAACUUCAUCCAUAUCCAAUUGCACACUUGUCCAAACUCUUGAUGAUGAAGGUAUGAUUGCAUUUACUAGCAUUAAAUUGCUAAAAUUUGUCAUCCAAAGUUCCAAUUUCUUUUGAACCUUGAAGACUUCAUUUGCAUUCUUGUAGGAAUUAGAUGUGGAAUCAUUUUGCAAUGCUUGUGGUCUUGAGACCAGCACUGGUGAGCGGGGAAAUAAGUUCUUAUCAACCAAGCAAACAAACUUCCAUUAUCCCAAGGAAGUCUUUCCAAGCUACUGCCUUCUGAGUUUGGAACACUUUUAGAGGUAACAAUCAAUUGGAACUAGUUACUCUUUCAAACUUCUUAUUGUACAAAUAUAACCUGCAUGUGCAACCAUUUCUGAUCCCAUAAUUUCAAGAAUUUAUGACACCUUCUAGUGGUUAGUUUUUCUGGGAAUAGAGUAAAGCAAUCUAUUCACUCCCAGAAACUAUCGUCAGAGGAACAGUAGAUAACCCCGCAAGACCAAAUUUAUGUAUGUUGCAUGGAGAUGCAUGUUUUCUGCAUCCCAAUCAUGCAGUGUUGUGUCAAAUGGAAUAAUAGCAGGUGAUGAUAAGUGGUAUUUCUAAAAUCUUCUAAGAGUAUUCCAUCUAUUGUAAUAUUGUUUUACUUAAAAUUGUCUUUUUGAGUCUUAUGUGUAAAUAUUCGAGUUGACCUCUUGUAAGCUAUCAAUUGAUGUUGUAACUUAACUUGAAAGGGAAAUUCUAUAAAUUUAGCCUUGGUUUGGCUCUUGGAAAGCAAAGAAAAAUUAGGUUAGUGAGUUGAUUUCUUCCCUUCCCAUGGAUGUAAGCACAUUCUUGAAUCACGUUAAUUAUUUUUUGGUUUAUUUUGUUGUUUUGUUGUUUAUUGUUCAAUUGUCUCCGCAUAACAAGUGGUAUCAGAGUUGUUUCCGACACACUAGAUGAUUCUUGUGCUAACACAAUGUUUGAGGCUAAAUAUAAGAUAGUAAAAGUUUCUAAAAUAUUUCCCUAUGACAGCUGCCAAUAAAGAAUGUACUUAACAGGAAGUUUGUAAGGUGUUACAUGGCAUGUUGAACAAAAUAUCUGAAAUAUUUGGGGCCACCGAUCCAACAAUAGCAGAUUAUAACACAAGAAGAGACCCUCUAAUCACCAUUUUUGCUUUUGAUUCUUCUUUACAAAGCAUCAUCUACUUUAUACAAAAAGACAACCCAUGGCUGAGCCCACAUUAUUCUCUACAUAUCCCAAAAAAGCCUUACAAAUUUUAGGGCAUGACGCUCUUUUUGGGGGUAUUUUUGGUACUAAAUUUGUGGUAGUCUCUCCAAUACCUAAACUAACCUCCAGAUUUUAAGGCAUGGCCCACUCUUUAAGGUGGUGUUUUGGGUACUAAUUUUUGUUAGGAGAGGUUUUAGUGUGGAAACUGGAGGGCUUUAGACAUGUCGCAUGUAUUUUCUUUUGCAUGCAUUACACAUAGAUCGGAGUUUUUGCAGUUACUCACACUUUUUGUGCGUCCAACAACACUAUAGUGCCACGUCACCAUAUGAUGGGCUCUUUAGUCUUUUCAAACCCAAAAAAACACCAAAAAAAAAAAAAAAACGAAUACUAAAAGGAGUGCUAACUAGCUAUGUGAAGGUGAACUUUUAUAGCUAGCUUCUUAGAGGGACCAUGAUCGCUUAGGCCAAGGAAGUUUGAGGUGAUAAUAGGUCUGUGAUGCCAUUAGAUGUUUUAAGCACAUGUGCGUUACACUAAUGUAUUCAACGAGUCUAUAACCUUGACCGACAGGUCUGGGUAAUCUUUGAAAUUUCAUUGUGAUGGGAAGGUUCCAUGCGAACAACACUUGCACAUGGGUUAGUCAAUCUUAAGAGACGGGGGAAGCCCGUCUAACAACGCACAAUGUGCGAGCUUUGAAAGGCAAUCGGGUUAACAUUUCUGAAUUGGGACAUGACAAUGACAACAACAUUAGGUAGUCUAGAGAUGUUGUCAUAUUAAUUGUUAUCAAUAUUUUUAUUUAUUCAAUAGAAAUUGAGGAUUAAAAAAUACCACAAAAAUUAGAAAAAACAAAAUUAAUUACAUGGCUUACAUUUCAGAUAUUUAAUAAAAUAUUGUAUGAAAGUUGAAUAUCAUACACUAUUAAAUGGUUGGAUUCUCCUCUUUAUUUUUUUUAAUUGUCUCAUCCUAUUAAAUUACUCAUCUAAUAUUAAUUUAUUUUAAAGGUAAAAUUAAUUAUAUUGUAAAAACCUUUUAAUUUACUAGAGUUUGUGCACAACAUCUAAUAUAUACUUAAAUACUUUUCCAUGCUAUAAUCCUCCAACUAAGAAAUGAAAUCAAAACUUAAAAAUCAUUUAUAUAUAUAGAUAUAUGUGAGUAAGGGAGGAGAUCCAACGGAUCUGUGCGCGAGCGAUGGUGAGAAAGAUUUCGUUGGCCUGGAAGCUCGUACCAGCCGGUGGAAGAGAAGCUUCGAGGUGGAGUCGAAGACUUUUGAGAUCGAGGUUGAGAGACAAAAAGGCAAAACGCAAGUCUUCAUUGAGGAAAGGAAAAGAGGGGUUUCCUCGUGGAUUAAGAUGGGGCCGGAGAGCCUAGGGUUUGUUGUGGAAGGGUUGGCUUUGUGUAUUAAGGAUACACGAACAGGCAGAUGGGUCAGAAAUUGGAGGGAGAGAGGGAGGAUCUUUUCAUUGCUGUGGGAUGAGAAUAAGGGAGGAAGCUUUAUCCGUCUGGGUGUAGAGGAUCUGGAGAAGAAGAGGUUUAAUAUUUUUAUCCCCAAAGGAAAUGGAGGGAAAGGGGGAUGGAUUGCGAUGUUGGAAACACUUAAGGCGCUGGUCGUUACUACGGAGAGGAAGAAAUGUCAGAAGGAGGAGAAGAUGCCGGUGGCGCCAUGUUUGGGGAGUAGCUACGCGGAAGUGGUGAAGGGACAGAAAUGUAAUGGCCGGUCAGUGGCUAGGGUAGAAGUAAGCCACAAGGACCUAUGCCAAAACCUAAAAAGGCUGGAUCAGUGCAUUGUUGGAUUGUGGGAUCCGAAGUUAGUCAAGGGGGAGGAUUUGAGGAGUUGGGGGAACCAAUUGGCUCGAUUGUGGGGGUUGAGGGGUAAUUUAGGUUUGGCUAAGUUGGGAAGGGGUAAGGUGUUGUUAGAGUUUGAGAGGAGUGUUGAAGCCGAAAAAGCCUUAAAUAUGGGAGGGCUUUUGGUAGGGAAGACACUGCUGCGACUGGAGAAGUGGAACCCUAGGACGGGGUGUCUGUUAGAAGGAGAGGAGAAGAGUGAGGCCUGGGUGAGAAUUGUGGGGCUUCCCAUCUCGUUGUGGGAUCGGGACAUCUUUAGAAAGGUUGGGGAGAAAUGCGGGGGUUCUUAGUGAUUGAUUCUCAGACGGAGAGGCUGGAAGAGUUGCAGUGGGCAAGAAUCCUGGUGAGACUAUCCGGCGAGGAGCCCCCUAGCAUGCUAGAAAUUGGGGUCGAGGGGGUGUGUUACUCGCUUGUCCUAUGGUGGGAGGUAAGGCCGGUAAUGAGAGUGCUGCCGGCAGAAAGGAGGGGAAAGAACAACGGUGAUGCUGUAGGAGGGGUUGAGGGUGAUGUCGCUACACGUGCAGGUAAGCGCGUGGUGGAAGUGGUGGAAGGUGUGAGGUCGAGACCCACAUGCAGUCUGCUGAUGGGACGAGGGAGCAGACAGGUGGGCCGGGGUCCCUUUGGGCUCGGUCCCGAGGCCCAAAAGGGCCGGGUCUGGGGGACCAAGUAGGCUUGCUUGGGAUGCUUGGCCCUACUGGGCCUCCUCGAGGCCUUGACUUGGGUGUUAGGCCCGAUGGGCUCGAUUCGCCUAAGGUCGGGCCGUUUUUCAGUGGGUCUUCGUCAUCUGAAGGGCCUUCGUCCUUAGAGGGCCUUAGGCCAAUGGAGUCCAUUAAGUUGGGUAGGCUAUCUGGGAAGGAAGAUUGUCAUGAUCCAUCUGGAGUGGCUCUGCCUCUGGUGUGGGCUGGCCCAAGUCAACUGAAGGAGUCAGAUGCUGAAGGCUUCCCUUCCUGGGUUUAUGAUGGCAGGCGGAGGCAAGCUGAAAUGGAGCCCUGUCUCGUAGAGAAGUCAAGGACCAACUGCGCCCUAAUUGAAGAAGCAACGAGGUAUGGGUGUGUUCCUAUCCCUUGUGGCUUAAUGGCAUCUGGACUCUCUCCUUCUCCUCUCUUCUUUUUUGGUCGGACCCCGUUGGGGGAUUUUUGCGACAUUUCUAGGGAUGAUAGGGUAACCUGUUUGAGAGAAACUCCCUUACAUAUGCUUCUCCCCUUGGGACCCCCAGAAGAGGAAAAUGCUUGCCGCUGGGAUUUGAGGGAGGGCCCAAGCGCCUGCAAGGAGAGCAGUGGUAAGGAGCUGAGGCUAGCCCAUUCGAUGCCACGUGAUGGAAAUGGAUGGGAGGAGGAAAGUUGGGAGGAAAGUGAGUUGGCCAAAUUUAGUAAGUUCUUGGGAUUUUCUACAGAAGGUCUGGAGAAAGAAAUUUUGGAGUUUCUGAUUAAAAUCCAAAAGAGAAGGGAAAAGGUCCACAGCAAAAACCUUCUAGAAAAAUCCAAGUUUGAAAGGGAAUUGAAAAGGCUGGAAUGCUCUAUUAACUACGAGGGGGGGAAGACGCAGAAGAGUGGAAUGAUAGUAGGAGGGUGUCAGAUUAUGGUGGUCAAAUGAAGCUGAGAAUCUUGAGCUGGAAUGUUCGGGGAGCUAACGACAACUCGAAAAGAAAGGUGAUUAAGGCCAUGAUCAGGAGUCAAAGAGUGGAUCUGUUCUGUUUCUAGGAGACCAAGAUUCAGGCAAUGACAAAGGGGCUGGUGAGAAGCUUAGGCAUUGGCAGGUUUCUUAAUUGGGGUACUCUGGAUGCCCAGGGGUCCCGCGGGAGGGAUUCUGAUCUGCUGGGAUAAGAGGACCUUGGAAAUAAUGGAAAUGGAGGUGGGGAGAUUCUCAAUUUCAUGUAGGAUGAGGAAUGUGGAAGACGGACUAGUCUGGAUGUUUACUGGGGUUUAUGGGCCAUUUUCUAAAGAGGACAGGGAGUGGAUGUGGAAGGAAAUAGGAGCAAUCCGAGGCAUUUGGGAGGAUCCAUGGUGUAUAGGGGGUGACUUCAAUGUCACCCUGUCACUGAGGGAAAGAAGUAAUCAGGGAAGACUAACGAGUGCAAUGAGAAGGUUUGCUCAAGUUGUUGAUGAGCUAGAACUCAUUGAUCUUCCAUUACAAGGAGGGAUGCUUACUUGGAGUGGGGGGAGGAAUAAUCAGGCAUGGGCCAGAUUGGAUAGGUUCCUGGUGACCCAGAGUUGGCUUGACCACUUCAGUGAGGUUGUGCAAUGUAGGCUGCCCAGACCGACCUCAGAUCAUUUUCCUAUUGUGCUGAUGGGGGGAGGGUUAAGGAGAGGUCCGUCCCCGUUUAGGUUUGAAAAUAUGUGGCUUAAAGCUGACGGGUUCACGGAUCUUCUUAGGGGCUGGUGGCAGGGAGUUGAGGUUAGAGGGAGGGCCAGUGUCAGACUAGCCACUAAAAUGAAGGUGCUGAAGCAUAAGAUUAAAGUGUGGAACAGAGAGGUGUUUGGUAGGCUGGAAGCUAACAAGAACUCAGCCCUGCAACAAGUGGAGUUUUGGGAUGGGGUGGAAAGGGAAAUGAGCUUGUCUGAAGGUGAAACUGAACUGAAAAAAGAAGCCAAGGAUUCCUUUAAAAUAUGGGUCUUAUUGGAGGAGACCCACUGGAGACAAUUGUCAAGGGAAUUGUGGCUUAAGGAGGGAGAUAGAAACACUGGAUUCUUCCAUAGAAUGGUUAAUGCUCACCGAAGGAAUAACUCUCUGGAUAGAAUAAAAAUUAAUGGAGUUUGGAUGACUGAGGAGUAGGAGAUGAGGGAGGGAAUAGUGAGUGCUUUUCAGCAGGUGCUUUCUGAGGAACCAGGCUGGAGGGCGGAUAUUGAGGGGCUGCACCUUAAUUGUCUAAGUUCCAGUGAAGCUAAAACUUUGGAGGUGCAAUUUACUGAAGAGGAAAUUUACGCAACCUUAAUGGGUAUGAAUAGGGAUAAAGCUCCGGGCCCGGAUGGGUUCACAAUUGCUUUUUGGCAAUCAAGCUGGGAGCUAGUGAAGGAGGAGAUUAUGGAAUUGUUUAGAGAAUUCUAUGACCAGUGUUCUUUUACCAACAGUCUUAACUCCACCUUUAUAGUCCUCAUUCCGAAGAAAGGAGGGGCUGAAGAUUUGGGUGAUUUCCGGCCAAUCAGCUUGUUAGGGGGUUUGUACAAGCUUUUGGCUAAGGUGUUGGCGAAUAGGCUAAAGAAGGUGUUAGAUAAGGUGGUGUCCGGGGACCAAAACGCCUUUGUGAGGGGUAAACAGAUCUUGGAUGCGUCUCUUAUUGCCAAUGAGGUGAUCGACUUCUGGCACAAGAGAAACGAGAAAUGGCUGAUCUGUAAAUUGGACAUUGAGAAAGCCUAUGACAGUAUUAAUUGGAACUUUCUCAUGAAAGUUCUGGUCAAAAUGGGUGUUGGGUCGCGGUGGUUGGAGUGGAUUUGGUGGUGCAUCUCUACCGCCAAAUUUUCAAUCAUGAUCAAUGGGGUCCCGACUGGUUUCUUCUCGAAUUCUAAGGGGCUAAGACAAGGUGAUCCCCUCUCCCCGUAUCUUUUUGUGUUGGGGAUGGAAGUUCUUAGUAAUCUAAUUAGAAGGGCGGUUGAUGGGGGUGUCUUAUCAGGCUGCGGAAUUCGGGGGAGAGGGGAAGAGGAGAUGAUAGUUUCCCACCUGCUCUUUGCUGAUGACACGAUCAUCUUUUGUGAAGCUAGCAAAGAGCAAGUGUCCGCUCUAAGCUGGAUUUUGGCUUGGUUUAAGGCGGCCUCCGGUCUUAGAAUUAAUCUUGAUAAAAGUGUCCUUAUUCCAGUUGGUGAGGUGGAAGAUAUUGAGGAGCUGGUUGUGGAACUUGGUUGUAAAGUGGGAGUACUGCCCACUAUUUACUUAGGGCUGCCCCUUGGAGCUCACCACAAAGCUGUCUCCAUUUGGGAUGGGGUGGAAGAGAGAAUGAGAAAGAGAUUAGCCCAGUGGAAAAGACAUUAUAUUUCAAAGGGAGGGCGUAUCACCUUAAUCAAGUGUACUAUGGCCAGCCUUCCUAUUUACAAUAUGUCCCUUUUUCGAAUGCCGAAGAGUGUUGUAAAGAGACUCAAAAAAUUACAAAGAGACUUUCUUUGGGGAGGGGGCAGCUUGGAGAGGAAGGUCCAUUUAAUUAAUUGGGAGGUGGUGUGCACUCGAAGGGAGAAGGGUGGCCUUGGCAUUCGGAAGAUUGACUCCUUGAAUAAAGCUUUGUUGGGUAAAUGGGUUUGGAGAUUUGCCGUGGAAAAGGAUAAUCUCUGGAGGUUAAUGAUUGGGGUGAAAUAUGGUCAGGAAGAGUUUGGGUGGAGAACUAAAGAAGCCCGUGGUACUUAUGGAGUGGGGGUUUGGAAGGAGAUUAUGAAGGAAGCUAAGUGGUGUUGGGAGAAUAGAAAAUUUAAGGUAGGGAAAGGGACUAGAGUAAAAUUCUGGUUUGACUAGUGGUGUGGGAAUGAGAGGCUGUCCCAUUCUUUUCCCCAACUUUAUGAGAUGGCGGUCAACAGGAAUGCAACGGUUAAUGAGAUGUGGGAUCAUAGCAGUGGUCCAGGAGAUUGGAAUCUUAGAUUUCAUAGAGGCUUUAAUGAUUGGGGGAGCUGGAUUUGAUUAGAGGACUGCUUAUUGUGCUUAGGGACUUCAAGCUAUCUUCAGAGGAGGAUGUGGUGCUUUGGAAAAGGGGGGGCCAUGGGAAGUAUGGGGUGAAGGAUGCCUACAAUGGGCUGGUUGUUAUCAAUGCUUGCGACUUUCCGUAUAGAGGCGUUUAGGUGGACAAGGUCCCAACCAAAGCGGCUUUUUUUGCUUGGGAAGCUGUGUGGGGGAAGAUUCUCACCUUGGAUAGGCUUCAAAAAAGGGCUGGCAGUUUCCUAACCGGUGUUUUUUGUGUGGUUGUGAAGAGGAGAGUGUAAAUCACAUUCUUUUACAUUGUAUAGUGGUAAGGGCCUUAUGGGAAAUCGUUUUUGCCCUUGUGGGGGUUCAGUGGGUGUUCCCAGAGUUUGUGAAGGAGGCGCUAUUCAGUUGGAGGGGCCCAUUUGUGGGGAAAAAGAGGAAAAAAAUUUGGAAUUCUAUCCCAUUGUGUAUUUUUUGGACGGUAUGGAAGGAAAGGAAUAGGUUAGCUUUCAAGGGAGGGGUGUUAAAUAUUCAGAAACUCAAGAAUUCUUUUGUUUGUACCUUGUGGAGUUGGGCUAGGGUGUAUAUUGGAGAGGAGUCCUCUUCUCUCUUAGGUUUUUUGGAGUGGCUAGCGGCCACUUAAGGGAGGGUAAGGUGCUUGUUUUUUUGUGCUCUCGUUUUGAGGCAGAUUUGUAUACGUCCUGUAUGCUUGGUGGCCUUUGCCCUUUAAUAUAUUUGUGAUAUUUAUAAAAAAAAAUAUAGAUAUAUGUUAUUAAGUUUAGGUAGUGAAACAAUUAAUGUGGAUAUAAAAUUAAUGCCAAAACUUUUGAUUGAUCCUUCACAUUCUCCACAACCAAACAAAGGAUAUAAGAAAAAUAAAGAAAGAAAUUUAGGGUAGCUUGAUUUUUUGUUCUCAUCUUGUUGUGAAGUUAAUAGAGGAAUGCUUAGGUUGGUGCUCAAUAGUUAAGUGACACCAGGGUAUAAUGAUUCUUCCAAUUGUGUAAACAUUAUCCGCUUUAAUUUCAAUGGAUCAUCAUCACUUUAAAUUGCAUCCACAUGGUUAAGAGCAACUCAUAUGUAUAUAAUAUCAUGAAUUUCUUCUUAUUCGAUAUGGAAUAUCAAAUUAGGUAUUGUAUAAGCGUUUCAACUCAAAUGACUUGGCUUAAUGUAUACUCAAAGCCAUGACAAAGGAACGUACAUGUAAUAAAGUGAAAAUUAAACCUUGUCGCCCUUCUAUCUCUAGUAUGAAACACAACUCCAUUAGCCCUUAAACAUCUGCAAAAAAAGAUAUACACAUCUGUUACAUUAAUUAAAAUAAAUGAUGCAAAAAGAGACUCUACAUGUCCAUGUACAUAAUUUGAUUAGAUUUGUUAUAUAUAUAGACAGAGAGAAAAAAAAACUGCUUAGAUUAAGGAUCUCAUUAAUUAAUACCUAGAAAAUAUAAAAUAAUAAGAAAAGAUUAGAAGGUGUGAAUCAUAAGAUAAAACUACAUUUUUGAAUUAGAUUCAUCGAAAGAUGGCAUAUUGUAUGAACAUUUGUACUCUAUAUAUAAAAAUUCAUAUUAUGGUUGAGAUGUAUUAAUUUGUCAUAUUUUUGGAAAAUUAAAGUAAUGAGUAAUUACACUAAAUUAAAUUAUUGACCUUAUUAAUCAAUACCUCAAGAGUAUAAAAUAGUAAGAAAUGAUUAAUACAAACUUCAUUGAAAUAUUUUUAUACACAUUGUGUAAAUAUUCUUAUUUAAUAAAAGUUUAUAUGUCAUUAAAUAAAUAGAGAAUUUUAACAUUAAUUGCAAUGCUAAGUAGAGGAGAUCCCAUAUUUAAGUUGUUGAUUAAGGCUUAUUUGAUAAAACUUAAUAUAUAUUACUUAAUAACUUAAGUUGACUUUAAGUUAGAUAAUAUUUAAGUUAUUUCCUUAAAAUUUAUUAUUUAAUAUUUACUUUCAGUGUUAAAGUUAUUUGAUAAAGCUAAUUUAAAAAUCAUUUUAAAUUUUCAAAUUGUCAUAUUUACCUUCAUUAAUUUGAUAACUAGAUGCAGAUAAAUGAAAAAAAGAAAUGAGAUUAAGAAUAAGUUAAUUAUUUUGAUUUAACACUUAAAAUUAAAAGUAACUUUAAAAUAUAAUAUUAAGUUAUUUUAUCAAAUAUAUUUAAUAAUUAAAUUAAGUUAUUAAGUCAAUGACUGAUUACCAAACACCCUAUAAGACCUAGAAAAUCGAAUGAGUUUUAAUAGUAUUCAGGAUGGGUAUGACUAGGUGGUGGUUCAAUGUUGAUUAAUCAUAAUUCAAUCAAGGCAAAAUAUGUAACAAAUACAUGUCAAACUGCACCAUCCAAAUGGGCGCCAAGAAUGUUACAUUUGACAAAUGACAAAUGCCAUUAAACCUUUACAGCUAGCAAUUAGAAGAUCACUCUCUUCUUGUAUCUCUCUUUUUCUCCAAACUCCAGGAGGAAAAACUCGAACUCCAUUAUUUUGAUCACAGAAAACAUGGCAAAAAAGUGUGUUGUACUUCAUCUUGAAGCUCAUUAACUUCAUCUUAAUUUGAUCCAAAUUGCAGAAACAUUCGAAACUCCAUGAAUCUAUGGUGCCUUGGUGGCCUACAUUCAUAUAACUGGGGACACUUUGGUUUGCACUACAAUGACCCCCAAACAUGGUUUGUAGAGACUUUAUCAAAAUCACUAGCUUCAAAAGACUAAGGAAAGAAAAAUGUUCUCAAUGAAAACUUGGAGUCGAAUUGCAGAUAAAGACCUAAAACUCCCACUCAAUGUGUUUUAGGAAUUGUUCUUUCAUGGGGAUAAGCUGUUUGGUUUGUACAUGUCUCCUUGGUGAUACUUAGAGAUUGGUGAAGUAUACGUUUCCUUUGUGAUCUGGUUUGUAUCUGGGCAGAUGAAUGUUCAUGCCAGGUUCAUAUAUGUUUAUGAUAUAUGUCACCCUGGAAGGAUCUAGAUCAAGGGGAUGAGUUUGAAAAGCUUGAGUAGGUUUAAAAUGUUCCGAGAAUUGGUGAGCAUGAUAUAUAUCAACAUAUUGCAGAAGACAACAGAGCUUCUGAAAUAUGUCAGAUUCAAUAGUAGGACAUCUUAUCAGCUGUCACUUACUGUAAUUCUAUGCUCUCAAUAUUCAUUUGUUGAAGAAGAAAAAAAAAUUGCUUUAACACUAUUCAAUUACAGGAGAAUGUUCAAUUAUAGAAGAAAAUAAUAUUCGCUAGUCUCUUUCAACUGAAUCAACAUGCAGAGAAAGCAGUCAGGUGACCAGUUAUUCACAUAAUAACUUACAUACAUUGUCUCUCUACCUCUACUUGUUACUCAUCAGCCAAGCUUACAGUAAUAUAAGCUUGGGUUCAUCUCUCUAUGCCACUGAUGAAAACUCCACAUGGGCUUUGCCUUUCUGGUGAUUUUGCAUUUGGAUUCCAACCCUCUCCAAGUGAAGUGGACUUAUUCCUUCUUGCUAUCUGGACUGCAAAUGGAAGUUAACCGGUGCCAAGAGGAUCAAAAGUUGGGCUUACCACCAAUAGACGGCUUGUUCUCUAGAGGCUAAGAUAUGUGGAAGACAGACUGGUAAUGUGAGCAGCGAACCAGUGCAUGGUGCCAUGCUUGGAGAUGGAAAUUGCAUACCAGUGUAUGGGAGAGCUUCAAGCACCCGACUAAUACCAUAUUGCCAACCCAGGGAUUGGUGUUGGAGCCUACUGUGCAGUUGCUAUUUAUGAGGACCUGAGGUUUCCAAAUGGAACUGGAAGCUGUUGGAGGAAAAGACUUACCUCUUUCAAAUGGGAGGUUGGAUCAAACUGCUGUUUCCAGAAGUGCUCUAAUCAAGAUAUUGAAGUCCAGUGAACUAACUUCAGGCAGAGGCAACCAAAAUAAAGCAAUUCUAAUACUCUCAGUCCUCUUAGGCCCCUCUGUGUUCUUCUUCUUCAUUUCUCUGGCUGCAAUUUCUCUAGUUUUCUACUGCUUGAACCUCAAAAAUCUGCAGCUUUAUCACAGAAUCCUGAGUACAAGCGAUGGUAGAAGCCUUUGGCACUGUCUAUAAAGGGAUAUUACCAUCAGGUUCUGGAAAUUCUGUUGCUGAAAGAAGUUGGAGAAGGUGGUGGGAGAAGAUGAGAAAGAAUUCAAAGCAGAAGUGAAUGUGAUAGGCCAACUCACCAUAAGAAUCAAGGACACUAGCUGCGUUACUGUUGUGAGGGUGAACACUGAAUACUGGUGUUUUUUUUUUAUGCACAAUGGCUCUUUAUCAAGGUUCCUUUCUGGAGGCGCCCAAGGACUUGUGUACCUACAUGAAGAAUGCAGUAAACAGAUCAUCCAUUGUGACAUAAAGCCCUCAGAACAUAACUCUUGGAUGAUUCUUCUACAGCCAAAGUUGCAAACUUGGACUGGGAAAGCUUCUGAUAAGCAACCAGACUAGAACACUCACAGGCAUCAGAGGGACUAUGGGGUAUAUUCAGACAACUCGGGCAGCCUAUGUCUCUUAUAAUAACACAUUGUGAAGCAUCAGCUCAAUGCCGGGGUUCAAUCUGCAAAGCAAGGGAUUCAUCAAUGUUUCCUUCAAACUAAAUGAUAAGGAACAGAAAUGGAUCAUUCUGCAUUUUCAGUGGUGUUUGUUAUAGCAUUUAUACAAGAACUCUAGGGGUUUCUAUGUAUAACUUCAUUCCCAUUUUGUAUAAUCCAAAUCUCUUCAAUCGAUUAAAUGUAUAAAUGAAUCCUAUUCAUUGUUUGGAGUAACAACAAAAUUCUGGAAGACUGGGAAAGUUUCAACACUGGAGAGAAGACAAAAUGACAAGACCAUAAAUUCUGGAAGAGGGCUUUGCUUUCUAACCAUUACCAUAAUUUUUGAGCUCAACCCGGAUGAGUAAAUUAUAUUUCAGAAUGUUCAGGAGAUAAUUCUAAAGUGAUGAACCUUCUACUCACAGUUUCUUGUUCUUCUUGAACAGAGCAAUGAACAUCAAUAGUUCAGCACCCAGGAAUCUCCCCUUCCUCCAAUUCCCCCACUGGGAAAAGUCACCUUUCCAGUUAAGAAAAUCAUCAGGAUUAAUUUGAGCAAAACAUCAGAGUAUACAUCAAGAAAGCCUUGAUCAAAAUCAAAAUACAUCAAGAGCUGCCAUUUUCUUCUAUUUCCUCUUCCCUGAAUGGAAUGUCUUUUGGACUGAGGUGAUCAAUGGUAACAGUCUAACAUACUCCUUAAGCUCCGAUUGAGGUCAACGGGGAUUGGCACAUUUCAUGAUUGGCAAACAUGAAUCUCAGGAUAAUCAACAAGUCAACAACUAUCAAUCAGUAAGGAAAAGGAAAUACCUUUGGAUAUUUACAAAUAAAAAAUUUGAGAGAGUCCAGCUGCUCUGUACAGAAAGGCUUGAGCUUAUUCCAUGGCCAGGCUUUAGAUGGUUCUGAAUUAAGGAUGAGAGGGUUGAGUUUUCUUUCAUUCUGCAAUAAGAUUAAAAACAUCAAUGAAACGCUAAAAGUUUAUAUAUAGAAGCCCUUCUAAAGAUAAGAAUUGGUAAGAGAGCCCACCCAUGGUCUAGUAAAGCAACAUCUGUUAGAUAAGUAACCACCAUUCUAUUGUCCAACUAAUGCAUUUAGAUCUAAGAUAAGAUAUGGAAAAAUAGUCGAAAAUAGUUAAAGACAGUCCAAAAACUCAUUUGACUAAUAAUUUUCUAAAAACAGUAACAUAAAACCAGGAUGAAGAAUCCACCCCUCUACCUGACACCACUUCAAUACCAAAUAAAAUGUUAUGAUGACCAUUUAUGGUCUUAAGAGACAGUGGAUGUUGUUUGGGCUCAAGACCUAAGACAAGCCAAAAAUCAAGAAGAAAACAACAUCAAAAUUGGCACAGAAACAAGUACAUCAACUAUCUAAUAAAGAGAUUUAUGCAUGUAACAAAUGCAAAUGAAAUAUGAUCCAAGAUUUUCAUGGAUUAAACAAAAAUUAUUUGAAAUAUGAUCCAAGAUGGCAAAAUAGAAGGAUAAGGUCACAGACAGGACAAUAUUAAAAGAAAUUAUUAUUUUUCUGACCUGAAAAUCGAGGCAUUCAGAACAGUACAAGUUUGUAAGUAGUCCAUGGAAACCAGGGAACAUAUGCAGACGUUGUAUUCUAUUGCAUAAGGCAAACACUCAAUACUUACAAGCAUAAUCAUGCCCAGAAAGCCAUGAAUCCCUUUCUGUUUUGCUUUUUUACCUAUUCUCAUCUCUUAUGGCCAGAAGUGCCCAGGAUGAUACAACCUCACCAAAUAAGUUAGAAACCAGCCCAUUCAGCAGGUUGAGUAGCCAGCUUGCCCUCAAUCUUCUUUGAGUCAACAAACAGCUGGGCAUUAUUGCCUCCAAUGGAGGGUCUGGAAAUAUUAGAGCCGGCAGCAGGGGUGGCUGUAAAACUCUCUGUUCCAAAACCCCAAGUUUCAGGGCCAGAAGUUCCUUCUGUGGCUGGUUUGUUGUGAUGGCCAUUUCGGGUCCUAACAGACUUGCUAUUGUUGUCUGGGCACCUGCCUCAGAGAAAGCCUGCCAAAGAUUAGAGUCUGGGCCAGGGGAAACGGAUUUUCUUUGCUGGAGUUCCCAGUCUGUUGCUUCAAUCUUUUCUCUGUGCUGUUACGAGAAGAAAACCUAUCAGACACAUGAAUGGGUACAAAGAGGUAAACUUCAGGUUUUGGUUGUAUUGAAAAGCACAGGAAACUUCACAAGAGGCAAAUUAUACCCCAGGCUUAUUGAAGAAAAAUAAAGUACAAUUGACUUACCCAAAUGUCUACUUUCUCAUUUAUAGGUUUCCUCCUAAACAAAUCCCCACAUCUAGGACAGGAAAAGGAAGAAACUGGGAGUCGACAUUUUUUCAACCAAAAGCACUAACUUAUCAAAAAACAUAGUUUUCCAUUCAACCUCGGGAGCUGUACUUUCUGAUAUUGUCUUCUUCAAUGCCCAUUUCUUCAGGCUUCUUAAAGUGCUUAUGAUUGGUGGAGGUGCUUCCAAAAUCACACAACUUCCAUAAUCCAUUAGGGCCCAAUGGAAGAUUCUCAGCAUUUAUAUAAGAACUUCAGGGUUUAUACAUAUGAUCAUGUUACAGUAUAAAUCAUAGUGAACUGGUGGAAUUUGAUCAUUAGCCAACCUCAUCAAAAACUGUUUCACAGUUGAGGGGAUUGUUAACCUUGCCAUGGGCCAAGCAGCAAUUUCUGAAGAAGCUGGGUGACAAAAAGUACCAUCAUUUGGACUAGUUUCAAUGGAAAUUCCUCUGUUUUUAUACAUGAUAUCUUCAGCUUCAGCUUUUCCUUUUGCUUUUGACAUGGCUGAAACUGAUCCUGAAAUCAAAAAUCCCACACAAGUAGAUAUUUAACAGAAGAGGAUCCCAAUCUCUUCAAUUGAUUAAUGUAUAAAUGAAAUAAUAAAAAUAAUUAUAGGGAGAUGAACCUUAUACCUCUUGAGUUUCUUAGUCUUCUUGAACAGAGCAAUGAGCAUCAAGUGUUGAGCACCCAGGAAUCUCCCUUCCUCUACAGGGAAAAUCUGACAAUCUAUCUUUCUUCAUAUUCCACUUCCUUGCAAAAGUCAAAACAUGAAGAAAAUAUCAUCAAAAUUGAGGCAAAAAUAAGUGCAUCAACUGUCUCAAGAAGAGAUUUAUGCCUAUUGCUUACCUUUUGCAGAAUUCCACUUGGUUAGAGCACAUUUUACAUGGCCGCCCAAUCACUGCAAGCUGCUGAACCAAAGGAGAGUUCAAACAUCUAAAAAAUUUGACUAACUCAAGUAUCAUAAAAUACUUCACAUGAAUUCUAAAUGAUCUCAUAUCUAAAAAACUUUGGCAUAAAAUUAUUGUUGUUUACCUUACAUGUUUCUUCCAUGGUCAUAAUCGAAACUUUGUUUAUCAUAAGAAAUCUUCUAUGCUCAUCCUGAUUACUUACAAUGAACACUGAAAUGAAAGAAAAAAAAAACACAAAAAAUUUAAAUGUAUUUAAUUCCAAUUAAAUGAGUUUAAUCAAACACAUGAAAUUGUGAAUAAAAUUAUUUAAAAGCAUUGAAAUUCAUGUCAUUAAAGUUGUCCAUAAAAUUUGGUAUAUUGAAGCAAGAAAAAAACAAAGCAAUUUGAAUGACUUGCUAAUAAAGCAGGUAACUAGAAUAUGCCCUAGAGUUGUUCCGUGCCUUGUAUAUAAGAAAUUUAAAAAAAAAAAUCCUAAAAAGAAACAAACAAAAUAUCCAUGGUUCUUACGUUAUUUUUUCUUAAUUUUUCAAUAGUUAUAAAUGGUUCAUUUAAUUCUUGCAAACCACCAAAUCAAAGCAGAACAUGAAAAUGUAUUCAAUAUUUGUUUCAGGCUUGAAGCUUCAAGAAAAAGAAAAUCUUAAAUCAAAUAAAUAGGACUAGCAAAUGAAUUGGAACUUGAAAGAAAAGUUCAAGCGCAAAAGAAUUACCUGACUCUAUAUUGGCGGAGUGGCACUUUGAUUAAUAUAACACAUAAUUGAUCGUUAUUUUUGGAAUGUGAGCUAUAUAACGCCAUUCUUCCCCUUUCUCAAAUUGACACCGUUUUUCCAGUAAAGGACAUUUGUAGAUGUACAGAUCAGAGAGGGAGUCUGGAAGUCUCUCUUUUGUCAAGUAUUUGAGCUUACGACAGUUAUAGAUCCCUAAUGUUUUAAGAGAGGUGAGGUGUUGAAGACCCACUUUUGUCAAGGAUUGGAGCAUUGGGCAGUAAUUGAUCCCCAAACUUUCAAGAGAGGUGAGGUGUUGAAGACCCACUUUUGUCAAGGAUUGGAGCAUUGGGCAGUUUUCGAUCGACAACAUUUCAAGAGAGGUGAGGUGCUGAAGACCCACUUCUGUCAAUGAUUGGAGCCUCGAGCAUCCAUCAAUUUCUAAUCGUUUUAGAGAGAUAAGGUGUUGAAGAACCGAUCCUGUCGAGAACUGGAGCUCUGGGCAGUUUCUGAUCUGUAAUUGUAGAAGAGAGGUGAGUUGUUGAAGACCCCUGCUGUCAAGAGACUUGAGAUUCGAAAGCUCUACAAUUUGAAGAGAAGUCAGAGAAGAGGGCAGCAAACAGUCCUUGGGAAAUAAUUCAAUGUCUUCACAUCCACCGUUGAUUGUGAAAUGAGUAAGAGAG
rnacentral:lncRNA from 1 species